CAGCCGAGAAAAGACAUUUUAUUUACUAGAAAGCCCAAUGAAACAUUACAAGAAGAGAUUUGGUUGAUCACGUGGCUCACCCUUGUCCCUUAAUAAGUGCCAGGUUUUCAGUUCAUAGCAACACGCAGCACCACUGUCUCAUUCGACACACACCUCGUGGACUUGUUGGAAGCUUUCGGUUAAGUUGCACUGAAACUCCCUCAACCUUUCCAUCCCAUGUCUCUCACCUUUUCUUUGUUUUGUUUUGUCUCCUCAUCUUUUACUUUUCUUUUGCUCAUUUUCGUUGAAGAAUAUAGCCCCACAUCGAAAACCUGACUGCAGUAAACACUAUUUAUUUUUGUUUUACCAGUAGUAGUAGUAGGCCGUUGAACCGUCUCUGAAACUUUAACGGUUUUCACUGGUACAUAAUUGAGAGGAGAGAGAUGAAGAUGAUUGAUGCAGAUCGUAUAUACAACCAUCAAUGGUAUGGACCCCUCUUUUGUCUGCCACCAUAUUUUGUUUCCAUCUUAUUGUUUAACUUCCCUCUUCUUCUUCUUCUUCAUUUCUUUGGAAAAUAUUUCAGGACCAAGCAGCUUUUCAUGGUGGAAAAACUGUAUCAUUUAUAAGAGAAAUAUAUACAUAUAUAUAUAUAUAUAGAGAGAGAGAGAGAGAGAGAGAGAGAGAGAGAGAGAGCUACACUUGUUUUCUUUGUCGGUUUUGAGUUGUUAUUUGGAGGUUGAAAUUAAUGGCUGGAAUGCUUCCUGGUGUGGAAUGCGCUCGGAGGAGACGAGUCCAUCAGAGCGGAGAGUCACCGUGCGUCGGCGGCAUCCAUGGCAGCACCAGGCGCUCUUCUUUCUGUUUGUAUGCUAGCAACCAUGAAUCUCACCACACCUCCACCUCUUCACUGGUAAUUCUAUCGCUCUCUGUGUUUUUCGCUCUCUCAUUUUCUUGGAAGCAUCCGAUUUUUCUUACCCUCGAAAAUGAAUGAAUCAAACAAGAAUCAAUCGAGGAAAAGAAGAAGAGAGCGCAGAAGGAGAAACGAGAAACUGGAGUGUGAAAAUCGCUGUCCUACCGAUUUAAAUUACAAGCAAAUAUAAUUUUCUCCUGUUGUAUAUGGAUUAUUUUUCAUGAUCAUUGUUUCAAUUUGCAUGUUUGAAUCAUUAAUAACAGUAUUAAUUUAUUGGACACAAUAGCAAAGAAGCAUACUGAACCAAGCAUACAUGGAUGAGAAGCUGGGAGUGGAAGCCAGAGAAGCCAAGGGGAGAUUAGAUGAAAGACUGAGAACACAAAGAAAACCACAACCCAAAAGGUAAUUAAUUUACCAAUAUGUGGUCCGGCUAUGAAACAAAUUGUUGCUGACACAUCAAUAAUGCCUCGAUAUCCAUGUUAUUGAUGCGUUCUUGACAAUAUCAAUGAAACAGUUGUUCCUUCAUGCACAUAAAAUUUCUUAACAAUAAUGGUUCUUGCACUAACAUACGCGACGGGAAUAAAUUUCCUCUCAUUCUUUUCUCCUUCUGCAAUACCUGUUUAUUUUUGUCUCUCGAUUUUCGAUAUGUUUUAACUAUGUGUUUUAUUAUAUUUGUGAUAAAUUUAGGCAUACUAAUGGUGGUAACAAGGGACUGAAAUGUGUGGAUGGAGGAGGAAGAUCAUCUGUCUUGCUUGGGGAGUUGCAGAAAGAAGUUUACGGAGCAAACAAGAGUAGUAGUAGUACAAGUGGGUCAAAGAAGUUCAGCUGGUCAAAGCUGACCUGGAAGUCAUCGGACCAGGAUGAGUGUGCAGUCUGCCUGGAGAGGCUCAGGCCAGGUGAGACCCUGGUGCACCUGCCCUGUGCCCAUAGGUUCCACUCUGGUUGCAUGGUUCCAUGGCUUCACAACAAUGCCCAUUGCCCCUGUUGCAGAAUGGAGAUUAUCUCCUAGUAAUUGUAUUGGUAAUUUGGUAAAUGCAAAUUGUAAAAUAUAGAUUGAGCUUGCAGUUGCAGUUGUAGAGUUGGUUUGAAGUUUGAACAAUUAACUUUGUGGUGCUAAUUGUUUGGUUACAAUAUGUUUUUGUUAAAGUGAAUAGUUGCCAAGUAGUCUUUGUGUGAGUAGAUAGUUUAUGCAAAUUUGUGGGAGAUUAUAAUUCCACACAUUAAUCUUGAUGUAGGACAAGAUAUGGGUCAAUUCCGACGAAAAAAUAUCAAGAAAAUAAAAUGUUUUAGAGUUUGGAAAGAAGAAUUAAAGUUGGGCUAUAUCAGAUUUAAUUAACAUCGCGACAGAAAAAGUAACAAGAAAUAUUAUCGUGCUAGAAUUGAGAGUAAUAUGUCCUUUUUGAAGAGAAUGCAAGAAGAACAAGACUCAUGGUUAUAAUAUGAGCCCGUCAUGUUUACGGCCAUUCGAGGUUGUUUAAACUCCCAAAACAACAUUUUUAAAGUCUAAUAAAACAACCUUUCAUGUCGUUUAAUUUACUAAGACCCUGAGCUUCCCGAGGGGUUGUGUUUGUGUCUUUUUAAGUCGUUUGGCUCCUAAUGUAAUGUAUCAAUUCAAAAAAUAAUCAAACAACCUUUCGAUUUUAUCCAUCUAUGAUGGAUUCCAAAAACCUUGGUUCUUCAAGAUUUACGUUUGUAAUCCUUAUAUGCUCGUGUUGCGUCAAAUCUCUUCCACAUCUUUCGGGAAAAUGCUUGACUAGUUAUAUGUAGCGUUUCUCAUAACAAACAAAUCUCAAUCUGACUUUUAUAAACGAACUUUUUCAGUUUUUAUUUUUGCAAGUCACUUUAGUAUAUGUGAUAGUCUACAUAAGGAAUAACUCUUUAAUUAUUGUAAAGAGUUAAACAUUAUUCCAAAAUUCUCAAUGAUUUCCAAAUUAUUGAACCAACAUGUGAUCUCCAAUACAAAAUUUUAAGAGGUGCAAUCCCUUUUGUGAAUGAAUGUAAUUGCACUACAUAUCACUAUCCAUCCAUCCAACCUCCCCACCUUGAAAUUGAAUAUCAGAUGAGAGAAAAGGCUCCACUCAUGUGACGGGUGGGACAAGAACAGGUGAAUUAUAGGACAGUCUUUGCUGUCUUGGUCGACCUUUCUCUUGUUUAGUGGAAAUCAUUUGUUCUUGCACUAAUCAAAUGUUAAUACCAAUCUUCGCUUCCAAUUAAGGGAGAUCAUGGUGAGAUCAUAACAACUUAAGUCGCGAAAAAGAUGGGCAGUAGUGGAUCCAUGAGUUUUUCGUUAAUAAGUGAGGUCAUAAAAGUUUGGUGCGGUGUUCUUACUUAAGUAUUUUUUUGGUGGGUUUUUUUGGUGCGGUGUCGCUUGAGCCUUCAGAGACUGAGGAACGAGGAUGGAAAUUGAGUGACGUGAGUGAAUUUGGGUGAAAUAGAGGAUAAGGGAAGCGUACUGAAUGGGACACAAACGCAAACCUAAGAAUAGAAAAGCUAGAAUUCACUAGAGAUUGGGAUAAACCCGAAAGAUUUUUUGUUCAUUUAUGAAUCAAUACAUUACACUGGGAGCCAAAUGGCUUAAAUAGACUUAAUUUGACUUUGGGAAGUUCGUAUCAAACCUUGUGAAGUUCAUAGAAAGUCUAAUGAAAUACAAAAAUAUUGAUUAGAUUGAAAAAUGAAAAGUCUGAUUUUAUUACCAACUUUAAAAUGCUGUUUUGGAAGCUGAAACGACAUCAGAUGGUUAAAAUCUGUUAAGGAAUUUUCAAACCUUGUGAAGUUCAUAUCUUGUCCUACAUCAAGGUUUUGGAUAAAAAUAAGAUUUGCAGCCUUGCUUCAUCCUGUUUUGUUUAGCUGUUGAGUUGGCAAAAUCCGAGUCAUUUUCAUUAAACAAGUUUGCCAUAAAAAUGGAGUAACAAGUUAAGACUAAACCAGAUAAAAGAUUCGGUUCUCUCAAACAAGACCGAAAAAAUAUCAAUAAAAUAUAUUCUAUGCUUUGAAGGUGGAAUGUCAUUUUCUCCUAUAAAAAUGAAGCAUGCUAACUUGGAUUUUAUCCUAAUUUGGGUAAAAUCUUCUUCUUUUCCUACCCUAAUCCUUGUUUUUGUGUCACGACUGGCUAGCUGGAGGUCACUAAAGAAUGGACCCAAUUUAGCUAAUUUAUCUUUGUCUUGAUUAUAUAGAUGGAUAAAUGAUUAGGCAAGGAUUGAUAAACUUUGAUUAAUUAUUCGUUGAUUGAUUGGAGUGACGCAAGAGUCCAAAACUUUUCAAAGUUUUCAAUGUGAUGUGUGACUAAGACAUAACUCGGAAAGGAUGAGCGGCACGAAUAAGGUUUCUUUAUGUCCAAUCAAGACAAUGUCGCGAUCGAAAUUGAGCCGAAAUUACAAGCAGUAUAAAUUUUGAAAAUUAUACAAGUUUUACAGUGUAGGGUUACUAUGUGAAGAAAAAAAAACCACGCUUUUAUAAAACUUUAUUUUUCAGCCCACUCCAGUUUACUGUUUUGUAUUCCUUCAAGUUUUAGUACAUAUUUCCUGGUGCGACAAGAGUUUGUGGCGGUUUUGACGAUCUUGACACAAUGUGGGAAUUCAUAUUUUUUUAUUUUAUAUAUAUCCAUCUUGUGUGGGAUGAGAAUUUAGUCUUACUUCUUGACCAUUUAUCUAUGCUCUGACACUCUCGUAUGUAUAAAUAGGUUCAUAAAAGAAAAUCAAUAAAAAAUAAAAAUAAAAAUAAAAACUUUUGCCAAGGGGAAGGCAGCGAACGACGCCGUUCGGUGGACCAAUUAUUUUCAUUAUUUUGGCACCUUUGCGAAUUUUACCAUUUUAGACUCUUCCCGCAACGGCUAGUUUCCUAGUGACCGUUUUCCCGUCUCCCAAAUUUCAAAUCUGCAAUCGACCUUCAACCCACCAUUAAUCUUCUUCACAUACCGCAACUCCCAGAAAUCUCCUUUCACUUUUCGAAAAACACCCGCAAAACCAAAUCCAAAUCCAAGGCUCUGGCAACUUGUCGAAUUCGAUCUCCGUUAAACCCACUUGGCAAUUCAAAUCAAGGACCCAGAAUUUCAAAAAUGGUAUAUUCAUACGCGCCCGCGUACUACUCCACAAUCCACGACUCCAUGACCUCCCUGUGCAAGUCCAUUCUUCCCUUCAGCUUCAAGAAGCGGCGGUUGCCUGCGGCGGAGCAGAGGCUUUCGAAGCUGCAGUCGGAUAACCUCAAGUGGCAGCAGGACUCUUUCCACCAGAUUCUGAACUUGAUGGGUCUUCACAAAGAAGGCAUCUUGGCUGAGACCGAGGUGUCCGCUUUCCGAUUGCAUUUGCUCGAAACCCUCAUUGCCUCUCAGGUGGCGGAGCACGAACAGCCGGUUAUUCUGAGAGACAAGUUGCUGUUCUUGCAGGUAAAAUGCCAGUCUGCAAUCUCAACUCUUUCCUUUUUUUUUUCAUUUCGAUUGGAUUUUCUUUCUUGGUUUUCUGAGUAACCAAGCAAUGUUUAGGAGCUCUUGUAUGCGAAAUGCAUAUCGGAAGACGAGUACCAUUCUUCGAAAAGGCCGUUGCUGCAGCGAUUAGAGGCACAGGGAGCUGAGAUCGAGGCCAAAGAUAUAAUCGCUUCAGGGUCGCUGCCAGCGAAGGAUCCGAAAGAGAAUACAGAUCAAGAGCAGUGGUCGGAAAUUGACUUGAAGGAUGAGAAAUGCUUGCUAACGAAAGAUAAAGAGGGUUUGAAUUCGAAGAACAAAUCGAAACACAGCUCGGCAGUGAAACAAAUCAAAGGGGCAGCUUCGGUGUUGGGAUUUGUAUCACCUUACAAACAUGGGAAAAACAGGGGAGAAAAGAGCAUAUUCGAUUUGCCUGAUUCGUCAAAAUUCUCUUCUUCCAGCUCUUCUAAGCAUCAAGCAGGAGAUCAAUCGUCGAUUCUUAUGCCGGAAAGCUUGCCACAGGUGCCGGUGAAAGAGAACGGCAGCGCAGAUCGAACAAGGAGGAAACCGUUUAGGAGUCUGUUUCAGAGAGAACAGAAAGAGGGUCAGGGGGAUCAUGCCCACGAAAAUGAACAAACACCUUCGAAAUCGGCCAAAAAGCAAUGGGGUUUUGAUGGAUUCAAGAAAUGGAAGAGGAAUGAGUCGGAGGACGAGACAACUCCGCUGCCGCUAAACGAACGAUCGGAUAGUGAGGCUCACUUGAAGCUUGUUCCAAUCCCCAUGGGUGAAGGGCCAGACACUAAGCUCAUAAAAAGGAGGCUGCUUUCGGAUGGUUCUCCUUCCGAUUUCUUCAUUGACAAGGUUCAAAACCGUAUGAUUUAAUUUCGUAAUUUGCUGGCUUAUAUUUGAAGCAUGAUCCGAAAUUGAAGGUUGUUUUUUUUCUUAUUUUUGUAUGAUCUGAAGGUUUUAGGGGAGAAGAUAAAGAAGGAGCUGUCAAGAAUUCAGUCAGAGCUUUGCGCUUCAAAUCCAAAUCUUCGAUUUACGUAAGCCUUUUGAUGAGUCUUUCUUACAUAUACAUUGGUAUCGAAAAGCAAUCUUUUUGUAUCGAAAACAUACGAGUUUGAUUCUUGUGAUUUGCUCAGGAAUGAACAAAUUGAAGCUAUUUCGACCAGGCUUCCGGUGGACAAGGCUGAUCUGAAGAAGUUCUUUCCCAAGUGAGCAAAUCUUCUCUAACUAAAACCACCGCCCCCUUGUACUUUCUCUCUUAUUUUUCAUUGGAUUUUUGUUUCGUUUUCAGGUCGUGGUGCGAUCGGUAUGGAGAAGUUGUUCUGGACGUGGUGAGGAAAGAGUUCAAGGAGCAUGUUGGGGAGAUGGAGAGCUUGAGAAAUGCGGCAAGAGAGAAACACGGUAUCCACUCAGCGCGAUGGACUGCAUUCCAAGAUGACGAGGAGAAUUGUCACCCGAAUCUCUUUGCUCCGCCGCGAGACAACAACCACAAUUAUACUUCAAAGUUCCAUGAAACCAAUCCGUUCUGUGAUGAUCACAUUCACACCACCCCUAGGAAGCUGAGAUCGAAACCGGCAACUUAUACACAAGAGCAGAACCAGAACCAGAAUCCCUUUUGGAUCCCGGGCACGGCUACUAAUGCGUUUUCGUUGAGUAGCUGCUUAAUAUGUAUUUUGAUUGAGAGAUCGCUUGAUAUGUUGUAUGAACUUUGAGAGAAGAACGCUGUUCUUCCAAGCAUUCAAACUUUAUGUUUGAUUUGUAAAUGUAGGCAAUGUAUUAUCUCCUUCAAUGUUUCGGAACUCGAUUCGCUCCUUGAUUUUUAUUUUCUUAGUUCUUCUCACUCACUAUUUGAAAUCCUCUAAAGGGCCUUCAUGCAAAUAUCCAACACGCGUGUAAUACAAGAAACAAAUCAAUCGAAACAUACGACAUGAUCAUCAGGAGUUGGGGUUACUUGCGAUGCAGGUAAAGUGGUCGAAUUGGAUUGGAAAUCAAGUUAAAAAUCGCAAAUUCGGCAGCAAGAGGAAUUUUUUGCAGACACCUGAACCCCGAGUCGUCCUAACCAGAGACUAUACCUUGACAACAAAACUAGCAAGAUUUAUUCAAGACAUUCAAGUAAAGGCAAAGGAAUCUGCAAGCUUUUGAGCAAAAUGGAAGGUCCGUUACCAAUAAUUCCAGCAAGAAACCCACUAUGUGAAAAAGAUAAAAGAAAAAGCAGAUAACGCUUCACCCCAGUCGUGAAAAGCAAUCAUGCUUAUACACCUUGGGGCGGAUUAAAAGAACUUUACAACAUUACAAAGAACUUAAAGACAUUAUAGCUAUCCUUGGGUUUCAAUCCCUAAAGAACUUCAAGACGUUAUAGCUAUCCUUGGGUUUCAAUGCUCACUGGUCCCCUCGCUCUUAACAAUUAACAAUCUAACUUACUAACGCUAUCGUUUGUCUAAAAAUAAAAGCCAAAAAUACAUAACCAAAAAACACACUAUAAGAUCCCACAUCGCCCACACAGUGAUCCUUAAAUGUAUAUUCUCAUCCCUAUCUAGCACGAGACAUUUUGGGAGCUCACUAGAUUCGGGUUCCGUAGGAACUCCAAAGUUAAGCGAGAAGGAAGCUAGAGCACUCCCAGGAUGGGUGACUCACUGGGAAGUUGCUCGUGUGUUCCCAGAAGGCGUGGUCGGGACCCAAAGCGGACAAUAUCGUACUACGGUGGUGGAGCGGACCUAGGAAGUGGUCCGCCCCGGGCCGGGAUGUGACAAACACCAAGGUAAAAAGGGAAAAUACUGAAAGAAAAAAAAACGAAAAUCCCAGGGUUUGCUAUGUUUGAAGCCUCUUUGUUGAGAUGAAGAUGCCAAUUCAUGCACAUUGAUAUGUAAGUAUCUCGUUCUUUCAAUCACUAUAAAUCCGCAUCAAGGACGGCAGACGCUACAAUAUCGUGGAUUUCGGAAAAAUUCAGAUACAAGUCAGUCUUGGGGGACCAAAACAUGUCCUGGUAGAUGCGAAGAACCAUCUUUAACUAUAUACAUUACUGUGUAGUAUGUACAAUUAAAUCAAAGAGAAGAUAUCUCCGAGUUAGGGACAGAACAGUCGGUGAAACCCUCACGAACAUCUCCUCGGCAAAGCGGGCAAACUCUGUAAGCAGGAAUGAACAGAGAGAAUUUCGGUGAGAAAAAAUACAUGGGGAAAUGAAGGACAAUCAUGAAGGGGGGAAAAACAGAGGAUGGCAAUGACAAUACCCGUGUAUCUCUUUGAGCCACUUAUCAACGCAUGACAUGUGAUACUCGUGAUGGCAGGGAAGAACUCGAAUUUUGUCUCCUUCCUCAUACUCAGCGAGGCAUAUGUAACACCUAUCAAUUAUUAACUCACCAUGAUCAAACAAAUUCAUUAUGCUCCCUACUGAUGAAAUCAUUUAAGUAAAACUUACUGUUCAACAUCAUCCCCGGACUUUGGUUUGUCAACCUUUGUGUGACUUUUAAGAGGAAAACCAUCAACAAGAGAUGCUGGGGCAGGAGCUGAGACCAUCGACAGUGAAAGUGACACAGGUUGGCGGUGAAUCUCAUCCAAAACCUGCACAUCGCACAUUACAACAAAAUUAGGUUUGAUACAUUCAUAAGGUACACAGUAAUCUGUUGUGUAAUAUCUGCCCCUAAGCUUAACCGUCAAACAUAGAUAAAAACUGCGCAAACCAUAUCACAGCCGUUCAACCUAGAUUGGUAAACAUGCAGCCAAAGCCCUCAAAGAGACCUCAAGAAGAAGAAUAUACUAAAAUCAUCGCUGAUUUAAUUACGUUGCUUAAAUACCCUCCUAACUUAAGACAUAUGCAAGAGUGCAGAAAGAAAAUUACCUCAAAUAGAGCUUCGGCGAGCAUGACAAUUCUUGAUAUACUUGCCCGAGUACUAGACUCUUCAGCCAUCAAGAAUGAGCCACAUGAGCACAUGCCACGAGGGUGGAUUCCUGUGGGACAAGAGGUAUUACGCUGGCCAUUAUCAUCAAGGCCAACACGAAGUCUUUCCCAGACCUACAAAGAGUCAUGCAGAUGCAAAUCAAUGAAAAUUACUAGUGGGACCCCAAAAAAUAAAGCUGCUAUAGUUUACGGAUUUCUCCGGCCCGUAAAACAUCUGGAUAUAACACUUCAUAAAGUAUAAAAGAACCUUUGAUGAAUGAUAUAUUUGUAAACCAUGUAAAUGAACAUACACAUAUACAAAAUACAGUUAAGCCCCCAUACUCUCGCAAAUGAAAAAACUCAAUUUUAAGAUCCAAGUUAAGCCACGUGACUGAAACAUCAUAAUAUUUUUUAAUGUUAAAAUCUAUCACCUCAGAUCUAGAAUGUCGCCGUCGUUCACUCGAGUUGGGAAUUCUAUUAGCCCGGUGACCAGAAUCAACUCCAAUUUCAUCAUCAAAGAAAUCACCACUCAAACCAAGCAGCCAUCUGUCAUGAAAUCCCAUAUCCUCGGUAUCAUCAGUAGAGAAAAGAAUGGUUGGUGAAUCAAUAAACCUCCUGGAGCUGCGCCUUGAAAAUGCAUCCCAGAACAGUCGCCUGCCAUUCCUUCUAGCCUCACGAUUACUUGCAUCAGCAUUGCUACUCCUCAAAAAGUUGGAAGAAAUGCUCAUAACAUCAACAUGAAGUACACUUCCAUCUUCCUGGCCUUGUUCCCUAUUGGACACAAGGAAUCCUAAACCAGAAGGUAUUGCCUCCCGAAGGGAAUCAUUUCCAAGUGAGUCGAAAGUCGACGGAGUUUCAGAAACAUUAGCAGAAUCAGUAUCAGCAUUAAAACCCUGUACACCCCUUACGUCAGCCACAUGAUUCUCAACAGACACUUCCUGAGAACGGGAAUUCCGAAUCCCUUGUGGAGAUGAGCUACUUGGAAGCAUAACCUCGGGACAGGUCUCAGAUACAUUCUUGUCUGCUGAAAUGUCAAUGCCAUUGACUGAAUCCACAUUAGCAGAACCAUUCAAAGAGACUGUUUCUGAAGAUUGUUCUUGUCUAAACGAAGUACUAGCGGUAGUACUAUUAUCCCUACAAGAUUGAUCAUGACUAUAAUCGGCACUUACCUGAUGAGGUAUUAGUUCUUUACUUUUGGACAAGCACUUCCCCCGGUUAAUUGUGUCAACACUGCUUAAUCCUUCUUCAACAGUGCUCUCAGAUGAUGAUCCAAUUUCAAUAAUGGGGCAGGUGAACAGUGGUCCACUACUGGAGACCAACGAGGAUCCUUCUCCAGAGUUCCGGACUUGAUUGAUAUCAAGAUCAGAUUGCUCUGCAUAUUUUACACGACACUCAGGUGCGUGAUCUUCCAUCUGCAGGAAAAGUACUGAAGCAAAUCAGUCUCCUUAUGCAAUCUAUAUGACUAUAACUACCAAGUACAAAAUGAUUCACGAAAUUUGAAGGGUAUUGGUAGAAAAGGUCAAAAAACACUAUCAAGGCAUGAAGCAAAUCAGUCUCCAUAUGCAAGCUAUAUGACCAUAACUACCAGGUACAAAAUGAUUCACGAAAUUUGAAGGGUAUUGGUAGAAAAGGUCAAAAUACACUAUCAAGGCAUGAAGCAAAUCCGUCUCCUUAUGCAAUCUAUAUGACUAUAACUACCAGGUACAAAAUGAUUCACGAAAUUUGAAGGGUAUUGGUAGAAAAGGUCAAAAUACACUAUCAAGGCAUGAAGCAAAUCAGUCUCCUUAUGUAAUCUAUAUGACUAUAACUACCAAGUACAAAAUGAUUCACGAAAUUUGUAGGGUAUUGGUAGAAAAGGUCAAAAUACACUAUCAAGGCAUCAAUACAACUACGUAACACCACAGUUCUUUGGCCACCAAAAAAGGUAUUAAACUUACGUUUCUAUACUGUCCAUCAUAAGAGAUGUGCAUUUACUCCCAAAUGAACACAAGUAACACAAGAAUAAAUAACUUCAGUUAUACGCUAAAUAGACUAAUGCUAGGUAUCUCAACUUCAAACCAACACCAAGCAAAAUUUCUGCUUCAUGACUUCAUGGAAAUAAUAUAUUGAGGUUGUCAUCACAAGUGCAUCGCAAAGCACUAAAUAAAAACAACUGCAAUCAUUUGAUAUCUAAUUACAUGCCUCUACUUCUCCAGAAGAUUCCUAAUACGUUCGUCAUGAGGACUCCCAUGAACAAUAAUAGACUUGCACACAAUUAUAUACUUAUAUUCUAGCAAAAUAUCUUUACUCAUCCAAACUUUUCUAAAUCUUCCCUAUCUCCCGAGAAUGGGGGCAUAUAUACACAGAAACAUUUUUACCAACCACUUCACACUACUACAUCAGCAGCAUGAUUGAUUCCCAGCUCAAGAACAUAAGUUGCGCUAAAGACUACGUGAUCAUUUAUCCGCACCAUUAAGAACCUUGACCUUCAAGUUCUACGAUCGUAAUCAAACUUUCUCCAACCAUUUCCCUGAGCAUCCUACCAACCACUCAUCGGGGAUCAUCAUUAAAGUUCAUAUUCAAAAACACUAAAAAAUCAAACAACAUAGUUCAGACCCCGAAAACAAAGUUAAAUCCUUUUUCCUCAUUCACGAUUGUUAUACUGGACUUGAACAAAUGUAUACAUUAAAACAAACAUAACUCGAACUGUCAAUUCAAUGUCCCCAUUAAUUAAAUCCCCAAACUUUUUUCAACAACACGGUCGCAUAAUUAGCAGUUUUAAAAUAUGAAUACAAUAUUCACAAUUGCAGGGAAAUUAUAACGAAAAUUCAAAGUAACUGAGUCAUUAUGAUAUUACCGAGCACAGGGCCAAUCUUCUGCAUCAGCUGGACAAAUCCCAUAGAUUUUUAUUGGAUUGUAACUUGAAUUGAGGAAAAUCAAACCCCCAAGAAAAUUAAUUUAAUGAAAAAAGCUUAAAAUUCUUCUAAUUUGCACCAAAUGAUCAAAUCCCAAAUCAUCCAAAACCAGUAAAAAUCGAAUUUUGCAUCAAAAAAUGUAAAAAGUAUGAGAAAUCCAAAAAUGGGCAUUGACGAUUGAAUUGAAGGCAUCGAUUUUAGUGGAGGACGAUGAAGAAGAAGAAGAAAAGGGUACCUCGUGAGUAGCACGUGCAGAGGAGCCACCACAGACGAAAGAGGAGAGUAUGGAACGACUGGCGGUGCGAUUGACUCGGGGCCGAGAUGGGCGCGAGCCCAGUCGACUGCUGCUCGAACCCAUUUGAGAGAGAGAGAGAGGAAGGAGAGAGAGAGAGAGAGAGAGAGAGAGAGAGAGCGCUUCAGAGAUGGUGAUGAAUGAUGAUAAUUGAAGCAAACCGGCUGAGAGAGAGAGAGCUUUCCAUUUUUCCUUUUUUAUUUCAAAUUCAAUUUUCAUUGUGAACUAAUGGUUUCUACAGUGGACCAGGCUUGACCGACCCAUCAAAUAUAUGGGUCUGGAUCAUCAAGUUUCGGCCCAAUGUAUUCAGUAAAAAACAAAGCUAAGAGCAACUCCAUAUUUAAAAAAUGAGAUGACUCAAAGUCCAUUUAAUCCACCAAAAUGAAUAGUAAUUGACUUUAAUGAACAAUAAUUGUCCAAGUGCAUCAAUUCCUAAAAAAUGAGCUGGGUAAGAGUUUAGUCAAUUCGUAUUAAAAUAUUAUUAAUUUUUUUUAUAAAAAAUUAAAAAAUAAUUUUAUUUUUAAUUUCGGAUAGAAUUUUUAACCUCUUGUCACGUUACGUGUCAUUUUCCGAAAGUACAAUUUUUGUGAAAGAUGGUUAGGUAUAUAUAUAUAUGUAUAUAAUCUUUUAUUUUUUUCUGUAUUUUUAAACAAAUUUUUAUAAUUUUUUAUUAAGUUAAUUAAUCUGGAUCAUUGGAUUUCAAAAAAUAAAAAAAUCCAAUAGCCUAAAAAUGGACAUGUGACCCAUGGUAAGAUUCUGAUAUUUUUUUUAAUGCUGGAACGCACACCUACGCAAGCGUGUAUCCCACGGGCCAACAGCAAAAAAAAAAAUUCACAUGGCUGACGUCAGCUUGGCCUCAUGUAGGCCGGUCUAUUGCUCAGUCCAUUAUGUGUUGGGCUCAAAGGUGGCCUCCACUUUGGGCCAACCUAUUGGGUGGGGUGAAGUUGGUUUUUUUUUUUUUUGGGGGGGGGGGGGCAGCCUAAAAAUUAGACUUUGAGCUAGCACAUUUGUUAGGGAUGAAAUGCUCUAAUAGAAAAAAUGUUAGGCUUAUCAUAUUUUUAAUAUUUCAUGUGUAUAACAUUUUUAAUAAAUAUGGGAUCUACAGUGUUAUUUGCACACUAAUUUUUAUCUCUCACAUAUUCUUGUUAAUUUUUAUUGACUCAUCUUCUUCAAUUCAUAUUGUCGACCGAAAAUUAAGAGGAGUGCGUGAGAAGAAAAAUGAGUGUGUAGAUAACGCUAUUGUAUAAAAAAUUUGAUAAAUAUAGUAUUUACUCUUAUGAUAGAGAUAGGGUUACGUGUUUGGUAUAUAUACGAGUACAAUGAAGCCAUGACAUUUGUAGUGGUGAUUGGUUACAUUGGUAUACUUGAGAUGUGAGGCAAAUUUAUUACCAUCACAAAGAUAAUUAUGAAACUUAUGGGCCUUCUAUUUUACUAAAAAUUGACCUCCAUCGUCCAUAUAUGAAACUUAAACUUGGAGAAAGAUCGUAUACGUUUUAUGAAAGGUUUUUUUAUCUGACAUGGAAUGAGAUAUGGUUUUCUUAACUAAGAUGUGAAAGACAAAAUUAUUCCCAUCACAAAGAUAAUUAUGGAACAUGGGCCUUAUAUUCUACUAAAAUUUGACAUAUUAACUACAUUUUACUAGAAAGAUGUACAUAAAGUUAUACCCAUUUUGGGAAAGUUAUCUAAUUUGACAGAGAAAAUCGAUAAUUUCAAAUGUGUCAAGACGUGUGAUUAUCUCUGUUUAAUUAUAAAUUGGAGGUAGAGAAAAAUGGCAGCACUUUAAUUGUAGUGUGUUUGAAUAGUUGAUCAAGGUAUCGGCAGAGAAAUAUCGAGUUGAAUUGUAGGUAUUCAACUACCAGCAAGACAACCAUGGAUCCAUGGGUGUGACUAGCAGUUGGUGCAUAUGAUGGACACGUUUUACCACUAACAGACGAAACACCAUGUCUGUAUCUACAUAGCUUUCUAUCCUUUCUCCACGUACUUCUGCACCCCAUUAACAAAAAGGCAAAUUAAAAUAUAUUAUACAAAAGUAGACCUAACUUUAAUGCUUUAUCCACUCCUAUAAAAUCUACAUAAUCGUCGAGUUCCAACACACUUCAGAACAAUAUAUCCACUUAUAGUUGCAGGGAACUAAGAAAAAAAAGAAGAUCGACUGAGAAACAUGCCUGACCAUCCACCACCACCACCGGGCCAUGAUCACGGACCCCCUCAUCCUGAGCCUCCUCCGCCGCACGCCCAUGCUCCUCCUCCUCCUCAGCCGGGCGGUGGACCUCACGCACCUCCCCCUGGCCCUCCUGAACCACACAAGCCACAUCAUGAUCCCCAUCAUGGUCCCCAUCAUGGUCCUGGUCAUCACCACCCAUGAAUCAUCAUUCAUCGUAUGAUGAAUAUAUACAUGCUUGCAUGCAUGUAUGUAGAUGUAUGGUGUACGUUGUGAUGUAAUUUCUAGUUUUAACUAAGUCGGUGAGUCCUCUCAUGAUCAUGCAGUUUUAAUGAAUGAUGACUUCGUGUACCCAAAAAGUAUGCAUGAUUAUGUAAAUUAAUAAGAUCGGUUUGUGGUUUUAAUUUCCUCUUAAUUAAUUAGUUAAUUUGGUACGCACUGAGCUGCUGAUCAAAGUGUGGUUUAAGAUGCAAAAUUUCCAUUCCUUUCAUGUUUUAAUUAAGAUGCAAAUCUAAUUACAAACAAAUACGCUGCAACUAACUAAAAACCCUACGUGCAGCAGGCCAUGGAUAAUUUUUGGUCUUUAAUUCGAUCUUUUACUUUAGAUAAAUGUCUAAUUUAAUUGCUGCAAAAGCUAGCUUCUGAAGUAUGAUCAGUGUUAAGAAACAAAUAAAAUUAAGAUAUAUAUCAUCAUUAUAAUUAAAUUUUCUGAUGUAGGAGAACAAAUGAAAUAUGCGUAUAUUGUCGGUGCGUAAUCCGCACUAAUAAUACAACGUUAAAUAAAAAUAUGUAUGUAUUAUUGUAUUAUACAAAUGUAAUGCCACAGUAAGGUUAUUUCCAACCGAAUGAGGGCCAAAAUGCUAUCUUUAGCUCUAUAGUCUUGCAAGAAAUUAUAUUUUAAUGAAUAGUGCUAUGCUAUAUUUUAUACAUCUCAAACUGAGAGGAUCAAAAGACAAUAGGCCAAACAUAGCCCUUUGAAAAAAACUAUCUCCAACUGAGGGAACCAAAAGAUCAUAGGCCAAACAUAAUUUAUUAUUUUAAUUAAAUUAAACUACUAUAUUUAAAAAAGGUUUUCAGACAUAUUUUGAGUCACUUGUCGUCAAAUGAAUAAGCCUCCGGAUUUCUUAUCUAUAUAUAAUCUCAAUAAUUUUUUUGGAUAGAAUUUCGAGUAACACGUGUAGCUAACAUGAGGAACUCUUCAAAUUUUUUAUCUUUAUGUAAUCGCAAUAAUUUUUCGGAUAGGAUUUCGAAUGACAUUUGUCGCUAAAGUGAGUAACUAUCCAUAUUUCUUAUCUUUAUGUAAUCUUAAUAAUUUUUCGGAUAUGAUUUCGAGUGCCACGUGUCGAGUGUUGUGCUAGGAUAGCACCAAACCUUAUGGAACCAACUCAAGCUAACCCACAUGAAAUAUAUCAAAUGGAAUGCAAGAACAAAAUAUAAAAGAACACCAAGAUUUUAACGAGGUUCCUCAACAGUCAGUGUAGCUGGAGUACGUCCUCGGAGCAGUAUGAGCUCACCCAAUAAUCCACUAUCAACCAAAUGGGAGUUUACAAAGUGUUGGCAAUCUCACAACCCAAAUAACCUAAUACACCCAAUAGCUCACACACACCAAAAAAACAAAUAGAGGAAGAAAUAUAAUGAAUAAUUUCUUCUCUAUACAUAUAGCUCAAAGCUAUUACAACAACUACUUUGAUAGAUGAUUACUAACCAAAGAGACGAGCACUUUAUUUUCUCUGAGGAGCUACGGCACCUUUUAUCUGUUGCUCUGCUGCUCUCUGCUCUCUGCUCUCUGCUCUCUUCUCUCUUCUCUCUGCACUCAGAAUGGGUUUUUCACUCUCUUCAAAACCGAACUAUUUUUCCACACAAGAACCAACAACUUUCUUAUCACCAAAGAAUAAUGCUCCAUCCGAGGCUAGCCUUUUAAAAUUCCACAAAUCAAUAAGAAACAUAAUUAUAAUGUCUCCCCAUUUUUUAUUUUUUUAUUAGCCAAAAGAUAUAUAAUAAUUUGGCCCUUUUUUCUUUUGUUUUGUUUAAUAGCUAAAAGGUGAUGUUGAGUUGCCACUUGGCCACAAUUCAACAUCGAGAUGUAAUUGGUUGUGCAAAUUUUAGAUAGGAUUCGUAUCUACAUGACACUUCUUAUCUUCAGCUUUUAAUGUUGUAGAAAUGAUGUAGGUAUUUAUAGGAAAAAAUUAGAUUUUUUUUUAAAUUCGUCAAAAAAAAAAAAAAUCAAAUUCCAACGGUAACCUGACGACAACAUGAUGUUAGCUAGCCGUUGCUAACUGGCGUCAUGCUGCCGCCAAGUAGCCGAACUAGAGAGCUGGCAAAAUGUCAAAUUUGACAUUCUAGCAUUGGAGGACUGGCAAAAUGUCAAGCUUGACAUUCUGACGCUGGAGGGUUGGGCUAGAGGGCUGGCUGGCUAACUAGAAAUGGCCAGCUCGCUGGCUUGAUUUGGGGGUUUGGGUGGGGCCUACAAGCCAUUUGACCUAACCCUCGGUUGGAGACGAUUUUCGUGUCAUUCUUAGCUAUUUUUAGCUCUAUGAUCCUUUAACCGGGUCGGUUGGUGGAGAUGACCUAACUACAAACUCGUAACAUAAAAUCCGUUUCUCGACUUGUAGAUGUGGGCUUAUGAAUCUUGUGGUUGCCCUAAUUCAGAGGAAUGACUACACACAAUGAAAUAAGACGGGAACAAAAAUCUUCUCUGCGUGAUACACAUGAUUAACUUGCAACAUAACACCGACCAGAAAAUAAAAAAGAAUCGAUCCCCACCACUUUUAUCAUUGUUCUUUUAGAUGGAUAACAUUUCAUAUAAAAUAUGAAAGAUCUUUUAUUUUUUAUGUGGCGCCUGUCGCGACGAAGAAAUGUGGCUACCAGCAAGCACGUGAAGAUAAUGUACGUGGACGUUGAUCUUUUACUUUUUGUACCGACACCAUUGCACUAUAAAAUCCCACUACUUUCUUCAACAGUUUCGCCAGAUCAAUAAAAAAACAAGAGAGUAGCUAGCUAGAUCGAAGAAUUACAAGUCUCUGUGUAACUGCUGCAAAUUAAGAAGAUUGUCGAAAAUGCACCAACCUCCAGGCCCUCCGCCACCGCAUGACCACGGACCACCGCACCACGGGCCACCUCACGAUGGUCCGCCACCACCUGGCGGCCCUCCAGGUCCCGGCCCUCACGGCCAUGGACCUCCAGGCGGUCCAGGUCCCCAUGGACCUCCAGGCGGUCCGGGAGGACCAGGGCAUCACGGCCACGGGUGUGGAGGUGGACCGGGUGGUCGCUGCUAAGUGCUAACUAAUGAUCUUGACCAAGAACUUUCUGGUGUACUACUUGUGGUUUAAUAUGUGCUAAUCAUGUUUUCUAGUUUAUUAGUUUACUAAUCAUGUUCAAGAUCACCACCAGACUAGCUCAGCUCAGCUGGAGAGGAUCAUGUAUCUGUCCGUAAUGGUACUAUGUUGAAUAUGCUGCGUAUUAUGAUAUCAAUAAAAUGCAUCUCCAUAUUAUAAUUAUACAUCUUUGAUCAUUCUUAAUUAAUUGAUUGGAUUAUAUUGAUAGGUAAAAAUUACUAGAAACAAUUUUGACGCGCUAAGAAUAUCCGCUCGUAUUUGAGGAGAGAAAUUUACACGCAAUCAAUAAUAAGAAGAUGGUUUUUUAAUCCUAAGAUGCGUCAUUAUAUAUUUUAACUUACUCACGUAACAUUGCGUAAAUGGUUUGAUAUAACGUCAAUUUCGCAGCUUAGUGGCAUGACAUGUAAGUUCUUUUCAUAUUACUCAAAGUUCAACUCCAAUUUCGGUUUCGAACCGCUUCUAUAGAAAGCUUUUUUUUUUUUUAAAUUUUAUUUGAACAAACCUUAUUAUCUAUAAUAAAGGGUAGGAGAAUGAGUUAAGUCUCACAAUCGACUAGCAAUAAUGUGGUUCAAAUUCGCAUUUGAUGAGAAUCGAACCUAAGAUCUCUAUUUACAAGUAAAGAAUAACACCACUAAACUGUAAUAUUAAGUGAUUGCUUCUAUUGAAAGCAUUAACCUUUAACAAACACUUAUACGAUCCAUAAACACUUUUAAGUUUUUAUGACCAACCAAAUUGGUUUCGCAUAAAUAGCCAUUCGGGCGCCCUAAUUUUAAUAUUUUUUAAUUAACAAGAAAAAAAAAAGUUAUGUACAUUCAUAGCUAUUGAUUUAGUGCUUGUUUAGAAGUGCUUCUAAAAUGACUAAAAACGUUUUUGUUAAAAUUAUUUUUGGAACUAAUCAUUAAAAAAAAUGCAAGUGAAUAUUGGAAACGCACUUGAAGUGCUUCCUACAAGAAGCAUAUAAUUGGUGCUUCUUUUGGAAAGAACUUCUAGUGAUUUUGGAACCCAAAAAUAUUUUCACAAAAAUCACUUUUAAUCAUUGUAAAUGCACUUCCAAACAAGGCUUUAGACUUUGUUAUCUCUCGACCUAGCCCCAAAAAAGGCCUAAAUAAAAAAGAGCCCAAAAUAAUGAAGCCCAAAUCAUAUCAUCGCAAAAUAGGGCCCAAUCCAGUUAAAAGACUAAAGCACCACUACAAAACACAGAAGUGAAAGAAAAGAGACGAAGAAGUUCCGCUAUUCGCACACCGCCCAGAAACCCCUCUAUAAACCCCUCUCUCUCUCUCUCUCUCUCUCUCUCCUCCCUCUCUCUCUCUCUCUCUCUCUCUCUCUCUCAACUCCGAACAGUGCUUCCGACUCUGGGCUCUGCCCUUGAAGCUUUAGAGGUAAUGGUCCCUUCUCUGCUUCGCAUCUUUCACUUACGAAUAUAUGUAUAUUUUUGUGUAGUUAUAUUCAAACCCUGCUGCAAGAUUUCCAAAAUCUGGAAACAAAUUUAAUUCUUUGUAACUUAGAGAAAUUGAGAGCACCAACAAUUUGUUUCUCUUCGGGUUUUGGUUGAAACCCAUUUCAUUUCAGUGGCUAAUUAGUGUUAAAUUGCAUUCAAAGUUUAAACCUUUGUUGCCAGAUUUCCAGAAUUUGAACGAAAUUUUGAUUUUUGUGUUACUUUUAGAAAACUAAGAUGACCAACUUGUUCCUGUAUCGAAUUUAGUCGGAAUCCAUUUGAUUUAUAAGUGAAUUAGUUAGUGUUUUAGUGAACUAAUAGAUUUUUUUUUGAAAUAGCAGAUUUGGUAGGAUGGAUGACAGUCUGUACGAUGAGUUUGGGAAUUACAUAGGCCCGGAAAUCGAGUCUGAUCAAGAGAGUGAUAGAGAGGACGAGGAUGAGGAGCUGCCCGAUAGGCAAGAGGAUAGGGAUGCAUCAGAUGGCGAUGAUGCAGCUGCUGGUCCCAAUGGGUGGCUGACUGCGUCCAAUGAUGUCGAUAUGGAUAACCAGGUUGUCCUUGCUGAGGAUAAAAAGUAUUAUCCAACCGCGGAAGAGGUCUAUGGUGAAGAUGUUGAGACAUUGGUUAUGGAUGAAGAUGCACAGCCUCUGGAACAACCCAUUAUUAAGCCUGUAAGGAAUGUCAAGUUUGAGGUUGGUGUCAAGGAUUCUUCCACCUACGUGUCGAACCAGUUCCUUUUGGGACUCAUGUCGAACCCCUCUCUGGUUAGGAAUGUAGCACUUGUGGGGCACUUGCAGCACGGGAAGACAGUGUUCAUGGAUAUGUUGGUGGAGCAGACUCACCAUAUGUCUACUUUUGAUUCAAAUAGCGAUAAGCACAUGAGGUACACGGAUACAAGGAUUGAUGAGCAAGAGAGGAGGAUAUCCAUUAAGACAGUUCCUAUGUCCCUUGUACUCGAGGAUAGCAAGUGUAAAUCGUAUUUGUGCAACAUCAUGGAUACGCCUGGUCAUGUCAAUUUCUCUGAUGAAAUGACUGCAGCCCUUAGGCUUGCCGAUGGUGCUGUCUUGAUUGUGGACGCUGCAGAAGGAAUGAUGGUGAGCAACUCAUCUUUCUUUUCAUUGAAUAAUAAAUAUGCUAUAUGAUAUUGUGCCCUUUAUUAUACUACGAUUUUAUGUUUUGUUAAGUUAAGAUCUAUCAUCAACAUGAUAUUGUCAUAUAUCACUGCCUCAUCUGUAGAAGAAUGUCAGAAUGGGUAUGAUAUUCCACUUGCUUAGAAAAUUUUAUGAUUUUGAUUGACAGGUAAAUACCGAGAGGGCUAUACGCCAUGCAAUCCAAGAGCGGCUACCAAUUGUGGUUGUAAUCAACAAGGUAAGAUUUUCUCUUAUUUCAGGGCUUCUUUAUUUCUCAUUUUCCCUCCAUUUUAUCACAGCAUGAACCCAUUAACUAUAUUGUUAUUAGUACCAACAUGAAUUUUCAUGUCAAAGGUUGACAGAUUGAUAACAGAACUCAAAUUGCCCCCAAGAGAUGCUUACUUCAAGAUAAGGCAUACUUUGGACGUCAUUAAUACCCACAUAACUGCGGCCUCUUCAACUGCUGGCAAUGUACAAAUUAUUGACCCUGUUGCAGGAAAUGUUUGCUUUGCAAGUGCUACCGCAGGAUGGUCAUUCACGUUGCAAUCGUUUGCAAAGCUAUAUCUUAAACUCCAUGGGGCUGAUAACACGGACGUAGAUAAGUUUGCCUCUCGUCUCUGGGGAGAUAUGUACUAUCAUCCAGAUGACAGGAGUUUUAGGAGAAAACCCCCUGCCAGUGGAGGCGAAAGGUCAUUUGUCCAGUUUGUGCUCGAACCCCUGUAUAAAAUUUAUAGCCAGGUGAUUGGGGAACAUAAAAAGAGUGUGGAGGCAACUCUUGCUGAAUUUGGUGUCACCCUCAGCAAUGCAGCUUACAAGUUGAAUGUUAGACCUCUGCUGAGGUUGGCUUGUAGCUCAGUUUUCGGAUAUGCCUCAGGCUUUACUGAUAUGCUGGUUCAACAUAUUCCUUCUCCUAAAGGUGCCGCAAUGAGGAAAGUAGACCAUAUAUAUACUGGACCAAAAGACUCUUUGAUUUACAAGGCCAUGAAGGAUUGUGAUCCUGAUGGUCCUUUGAUGGUCAAUGUGACAAAAUUGUAUCCCAAGUCCGACUGUAGUGUGUUUGAUGCAUUUGGUAGGGUUUAUAGUGGCAAGAUUCAGACAGGGCAGACUGUGCGGGUAUUGGGAGAAGGCUAUUCACCAGAGGAUGAGGAGGACAUGACAGUCAAAGAGGUGACUAAGUUAUGGCUUUAUCAAGCUCGAGAUAGGAUACCAAUAGCCGAGGCUCCUCCUGGUACUUGGGUUCUUAUUGAAGGUGUGGAUGCUUCUAUAAUGAAAACUGCCACCAUCUGUAAUGAAUAUUACGACGAGGAUGUAUACAUCUUCCGUCCUCUUCAGUUCAAUACUCUGCCAGUUGUGAAAACAGCAACUGAGCCACUAAAUCCAAGUGAGCUGCCAAAGAUGGUGGAGGGACUAAGAAAGAUAAGCAAGAGUUAUCCUCUUGCAAUCACUAAAGUUGAGGAGUCUGGGGAGCACACAAUAUUAGGUACAGGAGAACUCUACUUGGAUUCAAUAAUGAAGGAUCUUAGAGAGUUAUAUUCAGAAGUAGAAGUCAAGGUAAUUGAUUGCUCCAAGUUCUCAUCCUCUCUUCACAUUUUUUCUUUUAACGCAAUUUUUCCACCUCUUAGGGAUGUCAAGAAUUUUUUUUUCUUGAUGGAUAUGCGUUUGUUUGUAGGUUGCGGAUCCUGUUGUUUCAUUUUGUGAAACAGUGGUGGAGUCUUCGUCAAUGAAAUGUUUUGCUGAAACACCCAAUAAGAAGAAUAAAAUAACUAUGGUAAGAAGCAACCUCAUUUUCAGAAAUUUUAUGUGAUUCAGUUUUUAAAAUAUGACAUGCUAAAAACCUUUGUCCUUUUGUAGAUUGCGGAGCCAUUGGAGAGAGGACUUGCUGAGGACAUUGAGAAUGGUGUUGUAAGCAUUGAUUGGUCUCGGAAGGAUAUAGGCAAUUUUUUCCAGACUAGAUAUGAGUGGGAUGUUCUUGCUGCACGUUCCAUAUGGGCAUUUGGCCCUGAUAAGCAGGUAAUACACCUGCUACAGGCAGCACGUUAUUUUGUUUAUGAAGUGCUUUUGCUGUCCUUGGUUCUGUUUUAAUCCUAUUAUAGUAUAAACAUAGCUUCAUAUAGCCCCGCCCCAACCCGCGGAUAGCAAAUCACCUUGUGAAAUCAAAACAUAGCUUUAUAUAUCUUCUAUAUAACUUUCUUUUAUUCAUCUCUCCCUCCCUUCAAAAUUUAGCUAUACGUUCGAGACCUAGUGCUUUUGUUUGACAAAAGGGUAUAUUUGCAGGGACCUAACAUUCUAUUAGAUGACACUCUUUCCACUGAAGUCGACAAAAGCUUGCUGAAUGCUGUGAAGGAUUCAAUUGUUCAAGGGUAUUUUAUUUGAAUUCUUGUUCUUUUCCCCUAUAUUGUUGUUUCAGUUUAUAGCUCAUUAUAAUUUUAUUUCGCACAGGUUUCAAUGGGGUGCUCGAGAAGGACCCCUUUGUGAUGAACCAAUCAGAAAUGUCAAGUUCAAAAUUGUGGAUGCAAGGAUUGCCCAAGAGCCAUUGCAUCGUGGAUCUGGCCAGAUCAUUCCCACAUCUCGACGUGUGGCCUAUUCAUCUUUCCUGAUGGCAACACCGCGGCUUAUGGAGCCAGUAUAUUAUGUGGAGGUAUAUCCUUGCUCCUUCACUUACGUCAUAAUGAGAUUGAUUUUCAAAACAGGUUGUAUUCAAGUCCUCAGGAACUUAGAUUGCUUAAUGUAUGAAUCUCCUCGCUUCAAUGAGGGGCGCUGAAGUUUGAUUUUCUGAUUAAUUUCUGAUGCCCUUCUUUUCAGAUACAAACACCCAUCGACUGUAUUUCUGCAAUCUACACUGUUCUAUCUCGCAGGCGUGGACAUGUUACUGCUGAUGUUCCUCAACCUGGGACCCCUGCUUAUAUCGUCAAGGUAUGUUGGAUCAAUUUUAUUUUGUUGAGUUUCAGUUGCAUUAUACUGAUCUUGGAUUUUAUCAUGAGAGUGAAGACUGUCCAGCCAUAAUAUUGAUUUUUCAUUUAUUUUUCUCGUCCACUGAAUUUCAGGCGUUCUUACCAGUGAUCGAAUCAUUUGGCUUUGAAACUGAUUUGAGGUACCAUACCCAAGGACAGGCUUUCUGCCUCUCAGUGUUUGAUCACUGGGCUAUAGUCCCUGGGGAUCCACUUGAUAAGAGCAUCGUUCUGCGACCCCUUGAACCUGCCCCAAUUCAGCAUCUGGCCCGUGAGUUUAUGGUCAAGACAAGACGUAGAAAGGUAAAACAUUCCCUCUGCUCUCUCUUCCACUUUUGGUACCUCGAGAAUAGUUUAACUCACAUGCUAAAAUUUUUCCAAACUAUGCACUGCUGCCUCGUUAUACGGCUGAGUUUUGUUUUGUUGAAUUUUGCAGGGAAUGAGCGAGGAUGUGAGCAUCAACAAAUUCUUCGACGAGGCUAUGAUGGUGGAGCUGGCUCAGCAGGCAGCUGAUCUUCAUCUGCAAAUGAUAUGAUCGUGGCGGGGGCUUCACAACACGGUGUCCGCUUGUCCAAAGUUGAGGAACGAAAUUGUACGCGAUUUUAUUUGGAUGAAAACCAGUAGAAGUAGUUGUUGAACACGCAAGUUACAAUUUUGAAUGCAAUAGUAAAUUUAGCUGUUGUAACUUUUUGAUGUCCAAUACCCUUUGCGACCGUUGUAUCCGAUAUUCGUCAAAUCCUUCCUAACUUAAUAGAAAAAUUGGUGUGAGAAUUUCUAAAUUGUAAUGUUAUCUGAUGAUAUUGUUCUCUCUAAUUUAUACAUGUUUUAUCCCAUUUUUCUACGAAAGAGACUUGUUUACACCGUUAUACUUUUUAAGUUAAUUAUACAUUGUUACGUGUUUUAAUGUUUAUGUAUGACAGUGUGUGACUAACUUCGUGUACUGACAUUGUCAGCAAGAUCUUCCAUUUCCACGAUUUUGACUUGUCUCUUUCACUCCAUUUGAUUUUUUAAUUUCAAAUUUUAAUUUAAUAAUUAAUUAGGUAAACAGAGGGUUUUCUUGGACAUUACAUUUCCAGGAAAGCCCCAAUCUUUGAAUCUCAGGCCUUCCUCCUUCAAAUUUCAACACAAAUCCGAAAUCCUUAUUAUUUUACUCUUUAUGAUUUUGUACAGAGAUUUCUUUACAAAUUUCGACCGGAUCUCACAGAGGCAAUCUCAAUACCCUAACCCUAGCUUCGUCCCCAUUUCCCCCUCUGCACAAACAGAGAUUUGAUCGGGAAAAUCAGGUAAAAUUAGGGUUUUUAUACAUUUUUCCAUCUUCGCAGCCACUGAAUUUUCUGUGCAUUAAAGAUUCCAUCUUUAUGGAUCCACCAUUUUUUUUGCUGUAAGUAUAGUUACUGUAUAAUCUGAGCAUUUCCGUGGAGCAAUAUUUUGGGAUCGGAUACAAAAUGCGAUCCGAAACCCUAACCCUAGCUCCAGCUCUCAAUUUUUUCCCAAAUCUCAAACCCCCACACAAAACCCUAGCUUUCCACCAAAUUUCAGUCCUAAUCAUCACCUUCCUCGCCUAUGCUUCCUUCCAUGCCUCCAGAAAGCCCCCAAGCAUUGUCAAGAGCGUGCUUGGGCCCACAGUUCAGGCCAAUUCGAGCUCCGUCGACACGGGGUGGGCUCCCUUUGAUGGUCCCCGGGGCACCCACCGGCUAGGAGAGCUUGAUCUUGCGUUUCUUUCCGCGUAUUCGAUUGGAAUGUACUUUGCAGGGCAUGUCGGUGAUCGGAUUGAUUUGAGGUUGUUUCUUGUGUUUGGGAUGAUGUGUAGUGGCAUUUUAACGAUAUUUUUCGGGUUAGGAUAUUGGUUUGAUGUUCAUGUAUUGGGGUACUUUAUGGCGGUUCAACUUCUUUGUGGAUUGGUUCAGUCGAUUGGGUGGCCCUGUGUGGUGGCUAUUGUGGGAAACUGGUUUGAGAAAGGGAAGAGGGGGUUGAUCAUGGGGGUCUGGAGCUCACAUACCUCGGUUGGAAACAUCAUUGGGUCGGUUGUGGCAUCCGGGGUCUUGGAAUUCGGAUGGGGUUGGUCCUUUGUGGUGCCUGGGGUGUUGGUGAUUUUGGUUGGGAUUGUGGUGUUUUUGUUUCUUCCUGUGUGUCCAGAAGACUUGGGGUUUGAGUCUCUGGUGAAGGAGAUUCAGAUGAAUGUGGAAGUUAAUGGCGUGGAGAAUUUGGAGGGGAAGGUAGAAUCAGAGGAAGCUGGGCUUCUUCGAUCAGAGACUGCAGAUUUUGGAACAGAGAAUGCAGAUGGCGAUGCAGACACAGGUUCUUUGGCUGCAGUUGGGUUUCUAGAGGCAUGGAGGUUACCGGGUGUGGCACCAUUUGCUUUCUGCCUCUUCUUUUCGAAGCUUGUGUCUUACACUUUCCUUUACUGGUUGCCCUUUUACAUAAGGCACACAGGUACUUCCUCGAUUUAGAUUUGUAUACAUGAUUUUGCAAUUGAAUUCUUGGGAUAGUCUUGUGAUUAUUGUCGGGUUUCAUGCUUUAGUUUUAAGCGACCACCUUUGUUAAUCUUCUUGUAUUCAUUAUGAGUUUUGUUUCACCUUGCAGCUGUUGCCGGCAUGCAUUUGUCACACAAAACUGCCGGGAACCUUUCAGCCAUAUUCGAUAUUGGAGGAGUCUUUGGUGGAAUUUUAGCAGGAUUGAUAUCUGAUAUGAUCGAAGCUAGAGCUGUAACCUCAAUCGCGUUUUUGUUACUUUCGGUUCCAGCCCUUGUUCUCUACCGGCUUUAUGGAAGCCUAUCGAUGGUUGCCAACAUUGUUUUGAUGUUUCUUUCGGGAUUGCUGGUGAAUGGCCCGUACUCACUCAUCACAACAGCCGUUGCUGCUGAUCUUGGUACGCAGACCACGAUCAAAGGAAAUUCCCGAGCAUUAGCCACUGUAACUGCAAUCAUAGACGGAACAGGUUCUGUUGGGGCAGCUCUUGGCCCGCUUUUGGCCGGGUAUAUCUCCACGACGGGGUGGAACAACGUGUUUGUCAUGCUGAUUCUUGCUAUUUUCUCUGCAACUUUGUUUUUGAUUCGGAUUGCGAGAACCGAGAUUAAGGGGAAAUUGAAUGAGGGAAAAUGGUCUUUGUAUAGCCGCAUAGGAGGCACAUAGUGAUUGAGAUUUUCUAAUUUCUUGUCAUACCACAAAAGUAAGUAGAUUUUAGGCAGAUCCAUUUCUCUACGUUUUUUGUAUCUCAUUGUUUUGUUCUACAUUCAUUAUUCUUUUUUUUUUUUUUGUCUAACGAUAAAUUUUGUUAGAUUAGAUGUUUGAUUAGCUACUCGGCAUUUCAAUGUUAGACAUACUCCAUAGCAUAAUAGGAUUGCAGAGAGAAUAAAUAAGACCUUGGUCGAGAAAGUUCGUUGCAUGCUAUUUCAAGCUAAGUUGCCAAAGAGAUUUUGGGCAGAAGCUUUGAGCUAUGCAUGUCAUGUGCUUAAUCGACUACCAUCAACAACAUUGGAGGGUAUAACACCCAUUGAAGUUUCAAUGGGUCUAAAGAAUCAGCUCGGGACUACGAUAAGCUACUAGUUUUGGAUGCAGUGACUACUUUCAUGUGAAGGAAAACAAACUGGAUCUAUGAGCCAAGAAAGUUGUCUUUAUGUGAUUCAAUAGUGGUGUGAAAGGCUUCAGACUUUCGUGUCUCGAGUUGAACAAGAUUAUAGUAAGUAGAGAUGUGACAUUCGAUGGAAGUCACAUGAAAUUGAAGGAAGAUGUUCAGAUGGUAGAGCUUGGGGAACAAGUAAUUGUGAAUUCACAGCCAAGUAAGGAAGCUGUGGAAGAAGAAAGGCAAGGUGAUCAACUUGAACAUGAAGAGGGUGAUCAUGAAGAAGAAACACCAUCAGAAGAACUAAAGAAACAAGAUGAUUGCAUAGCCAAAAGGAAGGGAAAAAGAGACAUCCCUACCUACGAGAUAUAAAGAUUGCAUGGCCUGCAAGGGAUAUGCAUUGCCAGUAAUUGAGGCUGAAAUUUCCACUAAUUUUGAAGAAGCAGUAAAUGGCCUGAUGCAAUGGACGAUGAGAUGCUCUCCCUUCACAAGAAUAAGACUUGGGAAUUGGUGGAGCUGCCUAGAGAAAGGAAAGCAAUUGGCUGCAAAUAGGUUUAUGCAAAGAAGGGUGAAGUGGAUAACAAGAGCUUGGUAAGAUUUAAAGCUAGGCUAGUGGCUAAAAGAUAUGCUCAGAAUGAGGGAAUAUAUUACAAUGAGAUUUUUUCUACUAUGGUUAAGCACUCAUCCAUUCGAAUAAUGAUUACCCUAGUUGCACAAUUCAACCUUGAAUUUGUACAACUAGACGUGAAGACUGCAUUCCUUCAUGGUAAUUUGGAUGAAGAGAUUUAUAUGAGACAAUCUGAGGGGUAUCGAGUGAAGGGCAAAGAAAGAUUGGUUUGUAAGCUCAGAAAAUCUCUUUAUGGUUUGAAGCAUCAACCUUGAAUUGGUACAACUAGACGUGAAGACUCCAUUCCUUCAUGAUAAUUUGGAUAAGAGAUUUAUAUGAGACAACCCGAGUGGUAUUUAAAAUUUGACAAUUUUAUGAAGGGUCAAGACUAUACAAGAAGUUACUAUGAUCACUGUGUUUAUCAUAAGAAGUUGAAAGAUGGUUCGUUUGUGUACUUGUUAAUCUAUGUGGACGACAUGCUCAUAGCCUCAAGCAAUAUUUCAAAGAUAGAAAAGUUGAAGGAGCAAAUGAGAAGGGAGUUUGAAAUGAAGGAUCUUGAUGAAGCCAAGAAAAUACUAGGAAUUGAGAUCUUAAGGGAUAGACAAAAAGGUUUGGUCUGUUUGUCUCAAAAGCGAUAUCUUGAGAAGUUGUGACAAAAGUUUGGAGUAACAAAAGACACUAAGCAUGUAGGAACUCCAUUAUGUGCUCACUUCAAGUUGAGCAGUCAACAAUGUCCCAAAACUGAUGAAGAAAAGAUGAAUAUGGAUGGUAUUCCAUAUUCUAAUUUGGUUGGAGGAUUAAUGUAUGCUAUGGUGUGUAUUCGUCUUGAUAUAGCACAUGCAGUUGGAAUUGUUAAUAGGUUCAUGCAUAAUCUUGGAAGAGAACAUUGGAAUGCUGCUCAGUGGAUACUAAGGUAUUUACAUGGAACGAGGGACAAAUGUAUUUGUUUUGAAAGAUCUGAUGAAGGAAUUGAUAAGUUCUUAGUUGGAUGUGUAGACUCAGACUUUGCUGAAGACUAAAAGAUUGAUGACUGGGAAUGUGUUUACUAUGGCAAAUGGUCCUAUAUGCUGGAGAUCAAUAUUACAACCAACGGUGGCACUAUCAACCACAUAAGCAGAAUAAAUGGUGAUCGUUGAAGCUAUCAAAGAAGCAAUGUGGACUCUAGGGUUGUUAGGAGACUUAGGUGUAGAAUGACAUAAGUUGGAUGUAUAUUGUGAUAGCUAAAGUGCCAUUUAUUUGGCCAGAUAUCAGGUACAUCAUGAUAGGACUAAGCACAUUGAUGUACGAUAUUUUUGUGUGAGAGAAGUGGUAGUUGAAGGUGAGAUUUGUCUAAAAAAGGUUGCUACAAAAGAUAAUCCAACUGAUAUGUUGACAAAGGUGGUUAAUGCAGCUAAGUUCGAGCACUACUUGGAUUUGGUGCAGUUGAAGCAAGUUUGAUCUUGCGAUAUGGUGGAGCAACGGAAGUUGUUUGAUGCCUCAUUAUGGAUUUCAUGCCAAGGUGGAGAUUGUUGGAUUUGGAAUUAAAUCAACAUGCCUAAACUAAAACAAGGAUCAAGAUAUCUUGGACGCAAGAUAUUUGGAUUUGUGUUUUCUAGUUGGUUUGGAAUUUGAUUUUAUUGUAGGAUUUGGUUUCCUGUAUUCCAAGGACUUUGUGUAAACCUAUGACAUCUAUUAGGAUAAAUAGAUCGAUGUGGGAUAGAAUUUUGUGUGUGAAAGUUAUGAGAGGCAUACGUUUGUAUACUUGAGAACACUUGUAUUUGUGAGUUCUCUUGUAUUUGUUGAUAAUCAAUAAAGCUUCCGUUGUUAGAGAGAUAAUCCUAUAGUGGAGGAACUCUGAAGUCGUUGUGUUUUGUUUAUUGCUUGAUUAUUAUUUUUUGUUUAGUUUACAACAUACUGAACAAAGACGUUGGUUUCCAAACAGUGCGCGACUCUUCUUUAUCAAAGGUGAGCCACCCUCUGCGGAAAGUUAAAUAGAACUCAUUAGUAAAUGCAAACACCCAGAUAUCAUUUAGGGAAAUUAACUGAUAAUAGUUUAUUAAAUAUAUUGAAAUUACUCUUAUAUAUUAUUAUAAAGAACGAAAAAAAAAUUUAUUUAUCUUCAUUAGUAUGUGAAGUUUUAAUUUCGAAUAUCGUGAAUGAUAAGUUCGAUACUAAAUUAUUUUUUAAUUUUAUUUUUUAAUAGAAUUAUAGUAUUAGCGGAUUAGAUAGUAAUUAUUUCUCCACCUUUUAAUUAUAUAGGUGGCUCGUCCUUUAUCUCCAAAAUCUGCUCACCACCACUGAUUUUGUUUGCCCGUUUUAUAGGGAAGAAAAGGGAACUGGAGGGAGACUUGAGUUGACUGCUCCAGCAGAGAACGCCAUACCCAUAGCUAAGAACAUCCCGCUAUACAUCCAAAGGAAAGAAACAUGCUAAAGUGAUGAUGGUGCUUAUCAUCUUAUGUAUUACUUUUAGAUGAGUUUUAGUUAUGUUAGUUAAUUAAGCAGCAAAAGGUUCAAUCCUGUUAAUUAGGGAUUGUUGCUAGGAAUCUAAUAAAAAUUUAAGUAAAUUGUAGCAAUGGUUCAUCAACUUUAAUCAAAUUAGAACAAUGGUCCAUCAACUAAAAAUUCAUUACCAUUGGUCCCUCAACUUAUCAAAAUAUGUAGCUAUAGUCAUUUUCAUCAAUUUCGUCAAAAUUUUGUCAAAAUAAGUUAUGUUGGAAUAACCAUUUAUAUAAUUAGGGUCCCUCAAAUCAUCAAAGUGUGUAAUUAUGAUCAUUUUCGUCGACAACGUCAAAAAUUUCAUCAAAACGAGUUAUGUUGGAAGAAUCAUUGUUACAAUUAGAUUAGAGUUAAGGUAUCAUUUCUCCAGUUGAAUUAAAGUUGAGGGACUAAUGAUAAUAUAUUUUAAGUUAAAGGACCGUAACUGCAUAUUUUGAUGAGUUGAUGGAUCAAUAGUAAUAGAUUUUUAAUUGAAAGAUCAUUGCUUCAAUUAAGUUAAAAUUAAGAGACCAUAAUUACAAUUUACUCUAAAGAUUGUAGUGGCUGCACGAAGCUGAAAAAUUAAGUUUUAAACCACGUGGAUCAUUUCAAGUGAUCGACUUUUGGUUUGGAAGGUGCCAAAAAAACAAAUGUUGGAAAUAAGAGUUAUUAUUCAAGCAAACUACAAAUUAAUAAUUGUGUCCACUUCUUUUGGACGAUGAUGCGUUUAAGUCAGUCAGGCAAGGCAACUUGGAUAAGUCGAAAUUUUGACCAAAGUGUGAACCUUUUGAAGGUACCCCAUGACGCGGUUCACUGUUUGUGUGCUUGAUAAAUAAUAAUAAAAAAAAUCAAGUAUAACAAGUUGUAUACAGUAGAUUUAUGAUUCGUUUAGACGUACUUUUACAAUGACUCAAAAUUAUUUUAGAGAAAAUAAUUUUACGUUCCAAAAGCAUGUAGAUUGCUUCUUGGAAUAACGCAUUAGUUGUGUGCUUUUUUCAGGAAUCAGUUCAAGUGUUUUUUUAGAAUUCACUUACAUUUUUACUAAAAAUUAAUUUCAAUAACAUUUUCAUCAAAAACCAUUUUAACAAUUUUUAAAUCACUUUCAAACAAAUCCUUGAUCAUCAACUCGUUGUCUUUCUUCUCCUAAAAAAAAAUAUCAGUGUUGGAGAACUGAAGAUAACAUACAUGAUGAGAUUUAAAGAUUGUAUUUAAUUUUUCAAGUUAUCCUCCAAGUUAGUUUUUAAGAGGAAAUAGUAUCAAAGUACCAUUUCAAUUGGGUUUGGGGAUUUGGAUCCUCUCCUGAGCAAAGGAGACAGAGCUUCAUGACUUACAUAUACAGACUGUUAAAUUUUGAUCUAACGACUACAAUUAUUAUAACUUUAAAAGUAUAUCAUAUUUGUAAUCAUUAGAUAAAAAUUCAACGGUCUGUGUGUUUGAGUAAUGAGAAUUUGUCUCCCUUGCUCAGGAGAGGAUCCAAAUCAAUCGUGUCUAAUGAAGAUAAGUUGCUUUGUUUACCGAACAAACACGUCGGUUUCCAAACAGUGCCCGACUCUUCUUUACCAAAGGUAGGCCACCCUCUCUAGAAAGUCAAAUACAACUCAUUAGUAAAGGGCAAGGAUUGUUUGCCCUCCCACUUCCUGCGUCCUCCCGUGCCUUCUGUUUGUAUGGUCAUGGUUAAAUCACGUCAACAUUUUAUAUUACUAUUUAUUUUUGUCUUAUUAUCUCUAUGAAAAAACAAUAUAAAAUGUUAACGUAAUUUAAUUAUGACCACACAAAACAGGAGGGCAUCGGAAGUGGGAGGGCAGACAAUCCUUGUCCUUAAAUGCAAUCACCUAGAUAUCAUUUAGGGAAAUUAACUGAUAAUAGUUCAUUAAAUGUACUGAAAUUUCUCUUAUAUAUUAUUAUAAUAAACGAAAAAAUAGUUUAUUCAUCUUCAAUAGUAUGUGACGUUCUAUUUUCGAAUAUCGUGAAUGAUGAGUAGUGUUGAUGCACAAAACCGGAGGUCUUGGAAUAACGUAAAUCCGACCGUGAAUCUGCAAGAAAGUAAAUAACACAAAAUGUAUUGUGGUUCACCCUAAGGUUUGGGUUACGUCCACACUGAUAUUGUAUUUACCUGGAAUCCGCUUGCUACUUAGUUAUAUAUUAAACAUCAUUCAGCAUGUGAGGGAGACUUUGAUUUCUUUUGGUGUUCGUCCUUUAUCUCCGAAAACAUCUCACCACCACUGAUUUUGUUUGCCAAUUUGAAUUUUCUAGGAAAGAAAAAAGAACUGGAUCUUCUCCUAAGCUCAUGAUGGAGAUUUUCAUGAAUAAGCUAUCCCGACCGUUCAAAUUUGAUCUAAUAAUUGCAAUUAUUAUAACUUUUAGAGGAGUCCAUGUUUGGAGCUGUUGGAUCAAAUUUCAACGGUACGGAUAGACUACUUAGGAGGAUUCUUAUCCUGAGCUCAGUAGAGGAUGGCACUGGAGGGAGACUUGAGGGGACUGCUCUACUAGAGAAUGCCAUAGCUAAGGACAUCCCGCUAUAGAUCCAAAGGAAAGGACAGACUAAGUGAUAGCUCUUAUUCCCAACUUGUUUUUUCUUUGCACCUUCCAAACCAAUAGUCGGUCAAACUUAUUUUUUAAACUUGGUGCAGUCACUAAAUUUUUUAUUAGAUUCCCAGCAACAAUCCCCAACUAACAGGACUGAACCUUUAGCUGAUUAAUUAACUAACAACACUGAAACUCAUCUAAAAGUGAUAUAUUGGAUGAUAAGCAUCAUUGUCACUUAUUUUGUCCUUUCUUUUGGAUCUAUACUCUCACCCACACAUUCACACGCCAAAACAUCCAAAUCAGCUUGAAUUAUUCUGCCAUGUUUCCAGUUGGAAAUACAUAUCUCAUCUUUCAUAGUAAAUUAUUAUUAAAAGAUAAUUACAAUAAAACACCAUAACAUUAUCCUUUAACAAUAACAAAAUGAAUUAUCUUCACUUUUCAUCUGACGGUGUGAAGCUAUUUUCACUUAACGACCUUGAUUGCAUGGGCUGAUGGUGUAAAUUUGAGUCCAAACAUUGCCCUCCAGUUUUCUUGAGCAUUAGCUCGUAAACCGAAUGGUUAAGAAAAUUAAUCAUUUAUGCCUGACCCUUAACCGUUCAACAUGUUAUUUGGUUAUCCACCCCAUUCAUUCAAAAGGAAAAACAAAGCGGAGCCGAAAAACACCAAGCCAAAACAUGUUUGCACUCGGCCUAAAGAUUUUUUGAACUAAUGCCAACAACAAAUGACUUUGUGAAAAACCAAGGCCAUAAAAAUUUUAAUAUUAGCCUAAUUCUUUUCCACCAAAUGGCCUCUCAUAAUUUCUUUUUGCUGAUGGGCUACUCUGACACACCUAAAGCAAAUUGGACAAGGAUUGUUUGCCCUCUUACUUUUGGUGUCCUCCUGUUUGUAUGGUCACGGUUAAGCCACGUCAACAUUUUAUAUUACUAUUCAUUUUUAUCCUAUUAUAUCUAUAAAAAAAAUAAUAUAAAAUAUUGAUGUGACUUAACCGUGACCAUAUAAAAUAGAAAGGCACAAGAGGGCAUCAGAAAUGAGAGAACAGACAAUCCUUGUCCAAGGAAAUUAAGCCUUAGAAAUUUAUGGUCUUCAAAAGUGGGUAAUUUUCUAUACCUCCAAGUUUCCAACCUCAUUGUGGGGUCCCAACCUAGUUCUCAUAAACGAUACGUCACUAAUAAUGUAGCUUUUUAUUUUUUAUUUUUUAACAUCCGAGGCCAAAGAAGAAACACGAAUUCAACCUUGCCGAGUAGGCCACUUGUUGAGGAAGAAGAGCAACCAUAGACUAGAUGAUUGGCUUCUAUGCUGAAUAAUCAACAGACAGAACAACGUGGAGAAUCAAUAACCUCGGCAGCAAUAUAUGACAGUACACAGUACACUAGAACACUUUUCAUGUAAGCUAACUUUAUAUAUAUAGGACAAGGAUUGUCUGUCCUCUACUUUCGAUGUCAUCCUCGUGCCCUCCUGUUUUGUGUGGUCACGGUUAAGCCACGUCAACAUUUUAUAUUAAUUUUUUUAUAGAUAUAAUAAGAUAAAAAUAAAUAGUAAUAUAAAAUGUUGACGUGGCUUAACCGUGACUACACAAACAGGAGGGCACAGGGAGGGCAUGGAAGUGGAGGGUAGACAAUCGUCGUCUAUAUAUAUAUAUGACAACACACAGUACACUAGAACACUUUAACUUUAUAUAUAUAUAUAUAUGUAUGUAUGUAUGUAUGUAUGUAUGUGUUGACCCUAGAAAUUACAAAGCCUACGUGGCGCGUAGGCCGAGUAUAUUCUAAGCUAACUACGUCCUUCGGUGAUUGCGGGGCGUGCCAACUCGUCGGCCGAGGCUUGGCCGAGGAGUAAAUUUGAUGAUGCUGCGUUGGGUCGCGCUACUGACUUCUGCGUCUUGUGAUUACGGCCGAGAAAGGAACACGUCUCGGCCUCUUGGGUUCUCGAGCCUGAAGACAAGGCUGCUAUUUCUUACAAAGUUCACGAACCGAAUUCGGCUUGCAAUGUGCCGAAUGUAAUAACUGUGACACCUCACCUCGCCGAGAAGGCUAAUGAGAUGACCUCGACCAACAAAGAUUCGAAAACCCUUCUCGACCGAGACUUGGAUAGGUAAUCGACCGUUCUCGCCGCAGUGCUGUUGAUGCCAACGGAAGAUACUGCGAGACCGACCGACUCUACGGUGACAGAGCUAUCUAUGCCGACUUAAGAUAUCACCGGUUGCUUCCACAGUGCUGUUGAUGCCAACGGAAGAUGUGUCAGCGAAAAAGGAAAAGAAAAAGAUCUCAAGUUGUGAGAGUUUGCGCAGGGCAAUUUUGUGUUGAUUUGCAGAGGGCCUUUUCUGAUGCACAGCGUCCCCUAUUUAUAGUACUGAACUUUGAAUCCGAGUUUAAAUCCUACUCGGACUAGGUUUCCCUCUCCGGAUCACCUCGACCAGUCCUACAUCUACUAGGACUAUGAACCUAGUCCUUAGCUAAGCUGGAUUAGUUUCCUGGAUAUCCGAUCCCGUCGAGACUCCCCAUUGCACUAGGAUUCGUCCUAACCGCCCUAGGUUUGGGCUCCCACGGGUUGACCGAUUCAUGGUCCUUUUGCCGCCCGGCCCCCUGGGCCGAGAGUGAUCCUACCCUCGGCCCAAACUAUUAUUUUGGGCCCAAACAUUGCCCCCUCGCUUCUGAGGUCCUCGACCUGAAACCUUCGGCCGAGUUUCGGCCUUGAAGAAGCGAAUCUACCACUCAGGAUCCCAAUACCCGAGUUCCAAGGCGCAUUUAUUGAGCACGAUCGCACGAUCUUGAUCCUGCCAACCCACUCGCCACGUGGCGUCCUCUAACAUGGCCAAUCCCCCAUAAUGACGUCUAAGGCGUGCGGCAGCCUGAACCGUCUUGCCAUCAUGACCACUAUCUCAAUCCGCGAGCCACUACCUCAGUCCGUGAGCCCACUUGUCAUUGUGCAGGCGUCGAACCGUCUUUCGUCAUUAAUUUCACCGUCACACGCAAUCAUGCGCCCCCAAAACCCUAAAACCUUCGGUCUUCUCAACCGCAUUUCCCAAAUGUUCAUCAUGAUCAACAAUUCCUUCGGUUGAUUUUGCCCUUUGUUUUGAAUUUCGAACGAUUGUUCUUCCCCCCAUAACUCUAUAAAUACCGAAAUUCCCUCAUUUGUACUUUUACGCUCUCAAACUUCCUGAAAUCCUCUGCCAUUGAUUUCUAGUGCAUUUCUCCUAUUCCAAGUCUUCGUCUUUAAAUCCCCAACCCAGACAACCCUUUUACUCCGUGCCUCUUUCUCACAAUGGCGUCCUUCAUCUCCAAGCUUUCCAGGGAAUGUGACCAACACCAGAAGAUUGUUGAUCGGAGCUCGAUCAAGACCAUCUGGUUUGAAAACGACAUGAGCACCCAGUACCAAAUCCUGGGUCCUCUCUUCAAGGCUACAAUACCGCCGACUAUCAUCGGCCUUCUACAGGAGCACUGCCUAACACCCUUGCUUCAAGGGUUUGAAUGGUCGCGAUGGGAUGCGGCUAAACCCCAAGGCUCCUGGCCCUCGACGACCACAUCCUGGGCAGCCUGGGUCGUUCGAAUGGAACGACUCUUCGGCGAGCAAUGGAAGGCCCUUGGCAUCUACGACGCCAUCCUCCUUUCGUCUAUGGAAAUCGUCCCCGACAAGGAGCUUCUCCAAGCCGCUCUGUGCUUCUGGUGCUCGGCCACCAACAUGAUUGUCCUUCCUCUAGGUCCCAUUGGUCCCACCGUCCUGGAUAUCACUGCCAUUCUGGGGACUUCGGCGACCGGGAUCCCUGUCGACGCGACCCUCUCUGGGCAUCCGUCGAAUAUCGACCUGAAAACGCUCUUCGACCGUCGGGCCUUCGAGACCUUGAACCGUGACGGUCAUAUCCCGUCGAAGGAAGAUAUUCAGAAGCUCCACAAGAACUUCUGCAAUUACAACACCCUCUAUCUUCACUUCGCCGGCCGAGGAGAAGAAGACCUGCGAGAGGGAGAGCAUGAAGCCUUCCUCUUCUACUGGUACAACAAAUACGUUUGUUGUACCAAGUCAAACAAGUGUUUGGUCGAGAACAUGCCGGUAGCCGAAGCCCUGGCUAGUGGUCACGUCUUGGCACUGAGUUCCAAUAUUCCCGCCCAACUUUUCCGCUGCCUGGCCGAGGCGACCCUCCACAAGGUCGACCCACACCAGAAUGGUCAUCUCUGGGUCUUCCAACUCUGGUUGCAGGUAUACUUCACCUCCCUUCGGCCGGCCAUAGCUGAAUUCUCACCAACAGAGGCGCUUGGACCUCAACUGGCCUCUCGACCGACACCUCCCCAUCAAGCCGAAGAGGUAUUUCGGUACCUCUUUCGCUCUCGACGACUUCUCCAACGACGAGUUCCUAAUAUGUCGUCGUCGAGACUAUCCUUCCUCCAUCAGGCUGCCUACCUCCCCAUGGAGCGCGGAGGAGGACGCCGAUCUUCGUCAGACCUGGGGGUCGUUUGUGCUUGCUCGCGACCUCCCUCUCGGCUGUGAUAGGAAACGGUCAGGUUGGGAAGUAUAUCAUCCGAACUUCCUUGCCCGACAGCUCGGCUACCUUCAGGGCUGCCCUAUCCCCCUUCUCUCCUCCCGAACGGUCCUAAGCCGUGGACGCGAACCUCGUUCCUCUGAGAAGGAGUGUAGAACCGCCGUGAGGGAAUUCCAAGAGCACUGCCCAAAAUUCCGGCUUCGACCAGCCACCCUAGAAACUCAUUGCACCGACACCUUCGGUGAGUGGUGGGAAAAUUACACCCAAGAGUUCUUUAGUGCGCCGGUCGAAGAUGUGGUGAGCAGACUCUUCGGCGACCGACCUAAGAAGGCCUCGGCCCCUCAUACUCAAGGUACCUGUUCCAUUUUCCUCAUUUCCAUCAACCUUGCAUAUUGAUUUGCCUUACUGAAUUGUCUUUAUCUUUUUAGGUAGUCGGCCUUUGAGAAAGACGGAGGCAGUUGCCGCUGCUACGGCCGGGAAAAAAUCGGUCGUGGCCCAAAAGGACAACCCGCUAGUAGGGCCGUGCUGAUCAAACGGCCUCGCCAAGAGGCCGGGCCGGCUAUCGAGCCUUCCCCGCCUGCCAAGCGGGUCAAACAACUGGCGAAGAAAGGUGCACGGGAGAUCCACGUUAUCUCCAGCCACACGAGGACUCCAAGUGCUUCCCCUUCUCCCGCCGCUGGCCAUUCUGGGGUCGAGAAACAGCCGGCUUCGGCCGUAGAGACGGCCCCAGCGCGGCCUGCCUCUGUGGCCGGCGAAUCAGUUGUACCUCCCUCUGUCGAGAAGGCACCUGUCUCACAACAGGCGGUUCCUUCGACCGAGGGAACCUCUCCCAAGAAUCCAAAGCCCUCGGUCUUCGUGUUGGAAGAGAGUGAGGGGAGUGACGAGGUCCCGCUGGCGCGUCGUCCUCAUACUCGUCGAUAACCUCCUCCAGUAUCCGAGAUGGAGGUUCAAACCGGCCCCUCCCCGGCUAAUCGUGGCAAGCGCACGGUCGAGGAACCGACCCCGGUGGCCGAACCUCUCGUUCCUUCUCAGGACCAGGACGUCCCUGCCUCCACUGAAGUAGCUGCGCCAGUCGGCCCAUCGGCAGCCGACCGUGGCAAACGGCUGCUCGAGGAACCCGAGGCCACGGCGGAAUCGUCGAUCCAUCCUCAAGACCAAGGCUUCCACAUUCCUCCACAGGAGGUUACCUCGGCUUUUGUAAGUGCCUUCAAUUGUCUCCUCCUGAUUGCUUUUCUGCUUUAGAAUUCUAAACAAGGAAAAACUAAAUGUCAGGUGCCUGUACAUUCUUUUCACCGUCAAUUCUAUGCGCCGAAGGGCGUUAUCUAUAUUUCCUGGCCGCCUCAGUGGCCAUCAAACGUAGAUAACCUCCAUCGGCCGCGUGAAGUGAGAAGCAAUCUGAGACAUUGGGCUUGGCCAUUGAGUUCUUUAGGUUCGAGCAAUGACCCUGGGGACAUGGCCGAGGUCUCCUCUCGGCAGGUAAAAAAAUGACACCUUCUUGCUAUUCUUGUCAUGACUUCCUUUAAGCUUAACCUUGUCUAUUCGUGCAGGCUUCAUGGGAGGUUGAAUUCAAAGCCCUCAUCUCCAGCACGACUGCAGAGUCCGGCCCUUCGGCCGCUCCGAUUGAGGCUGCCGAUCCAAGCGCCCUAGCCCAGUUGCGAGAAGUCCUGUCGCUCUCAUCAUCGCAAGUACUUGAGCGCAACGGUCUUGAUCUGCUCGGCGUGUGUCUGAACGACCUUGGAGCCGACGGUCGCCUGAGCGGAGAUGCCAUUGUUCGAGCAUCGUCUGCCUUGGAGCGUGUUCGGGAGACAUUUAGCAUCUUCCAGACUGCUCUGAAGGCCGAACAGGACCUGCAAGCCGCCACAGCCGUUCAAGACACCCUCCGUCCGAAGAUUGACGAUCUACGGGCAAAAGGAGAAGCGUUAGCCGAGCUCGACCGUCAGAUGGCCGAACUAGCAAAACGCCGGUCGGCCAUUGCUUCUGAGCUUGCGAGGGACUUCGAGUCAGGCGGGAAGGAUCGCCUAACUGAGUAUGCGGCGGCAAAAAAACGGGUCGAAUGCCUGAGGCUGGACAAAAAGAAUCGGCAAGCCGAAGUCAUCAUGGCCGACGUGCGGUGGUUGGAGUUGAAAGCUCUGCUCAGCACUCUUCUUCCCUCGUCUCCUUGAAUGUAUUUGACCUACUCAUUUUUGUAAUACCUAUCAAUUUUAAUGGAAUGAUUUUUUCUACUGGUACAACAAAUUUUUUAUUCACGCAUUUCCCAUGUGACCGGAUAGUAUUUCUUCAAGAACUUCCCAUUAAUCGGUAAUUUGUGAACUACUCCAGUCCGGUCUUUAAGAUGAUACGCCCCUUUGCCGUAUACCUUAUGCACAAUGAACGGCCCUUCCCAAUUCGGCGACCACUUGCCGAACCUAGGAUCUUUUAUUCCUACGGGCAACACCGUUUGCCAUACCAAUUCACCCUCGCCGAACGUUUUCUGUCGUACCUUUUGAUUAUAGGCUCGCUCGGCAAUCUGUUUUUGUGCCACCAGUAAGUUAUAAGCGUCAAGUCGCGCCUCUUCCAAAUCUUCUAAUUCCUGUCUUAUGGACUGAUUAUAUUCGGCGCUAAACAAACUACUUUGUUCAAUUAAUCGCAACGAAUUUAUGCUCAACUCGACUGGUAGCACCGCAUCGUGUCCAUAGGUCAAUGCGUAUGGGGUUGUUGCAGUCGCCGAUCGGGGCGACGUUCGGUAUGCCCAUAAUGCCUCGUUCAACUUCAAAUGCCACAUGCCAGGCCUUUCUUUUAUUAUUUUUUCGAGGAUGCCAAUCAACACUUUAUUACUUGCCUCAGCCUGCCCAUUCGCCUGUGGAUAAUACGGUGUGGACUGUUCCAGCCGAAUUCUCAAAUUGGCCGUGUAUUCCUUAAACCUUUCGGCUGUGAAGAUUGUUCCAUUGUCGGUUAUGAUCGUUUCUGGCACACCGAACCGGGUCACAAUGUGUUCCUCCAUGAAAUCGUAAACUUCUUUAGAUGUUAACUCGGCAUAUGAUUUUGCUUCGACCCACUUAGUAAAGUAAUCAGUUGCGACUAUUAUCCAUGCAUGCUUAGCAGCUCCAGAAGUCGGCGUGAUUUUGCCGAUUACGUCCAUGGCCCAUCCUCUAAACGGCCACGGCUUAAUGACCGAAUGUAGCGAUUCGGCCGGGACCCUUUGUAUAGGCCCAUGGAUUUGGCACUGCACGCAUCCUCGUGCAAACUCGAUACAAUCUUUCAGUAUUCUCGGCCAAAAAUAACCGUGUCGUCGGAGUAGCCAUCGCAUUUUCCGUCCAGACUGGUGAGCUCCGCAUACCCCUUCAUGAACCUCUGCGAUCGCUCGAGCACUCUCUUGGGGGCCGAGGCAUAGCAAUAACAAACCAUCUUCGCCCUUUCGUACAACUCGUUCUGGUACGUGACAUAGUUCGUGGCGUGAGCCCGUGUCCUGCGACUAUGUUUUCCGUUAGGAUUGUCAAGGUACUGCAUAAUGGGCUUUCUCCAAUCAUCUGGUACUGCCUCGGCCGCGCAAAUUUCUAUAGAGUCCUGCCGAUCUAACAACGAAGGCAAGGACAUGACCCUGGUGCGUAUCACAUUGUCUCGACGGAGGAUUUGCUGAUCAACCAAGGCCGGGUAUAAUUGUCGUAAUAUUGGUAUCUCCCGGCCUAGCUUGCCCCCCAGGAGUUGUGCACCGGAGGCGAUUUGAGCCAACUCGUCUGCGUCGGUAUUAUGAACCCGAGAAACAUGCUCGAAUGUAAUACCGUCAAAGGACUCGGCCAAAUAGCUGGCGACCAUGUGGUAAGGCGCCAGAGUACAACUCAUGCAGCGAAAAGACCCAUUAAUUUGGUUAAUCACUAGUUCAGAAUCCCCGAGGACGAGGACACGAGUGGCAUGUAGGUCAAGAAGGAGGCCAAGACCAAUGACAAGAGCCUCGUAUUCGGCCUGAUUAUUGGUGCAGUCGAAAUCCAAUUUGAGCGAAAAAUACCAACGAUCGUUGUGAGGAGAUUGAAUGACGAUGCCUGCGCCGGCCGAGGACGAAGUACUGGAACCAUCGAAAUACAUCGUCCAAUAGUUGUCGCGGGUCACCACCAUGCCGAUUUCGACGUCAGCACUCCCCGAAAACCGUAAGGCGAAGGGUGCUGGGCAAGGAAAUCGGCCAACGCCUGUCCCUUCACAGCUUUUUGCGGCACGUAUUGCAAACUGAACUCGGACAACGCCAUCGUCCAUUUCCCAAUUCGGCCCUUCACAAUUGGCCGGGUAAGCAUGUACCGGAUAACGUCGGUCUGGGCAAUGACUUGGGUGACCGACGGGAGCAUGUAAUGCCGAAGCUUGGAUGCAGCGAAGAACACGGCGAGACAGAGCUUCUCAACGGCGGAAUAAUUGAUCUCCGGAUGACUCAGAUUACGGCUGAGGUAGAAGAUAGCCUGUUCCCGUCCGGCAUCGUUGUCUUGCGCAAAGAGGCAACCGAUAGACUCCUCGGCCGCCGAAAUGUAUAGCUUGAGAGGCUUACCGCGCUGAGGAGGGACCAGGACAGGUGGAUUUGUGAAGAGAAACCUUGAUCUGUGUAAACGCCGCCUGAUGCUCCUUAUUCCACACGAACUUAUCUGAGUCCUUGAGUUUCAAAAGUGUGGAAAACGCUUUCAUCUUUACCUGCCGAAUUAGCAAUAAAUCGGCGUAAAAAAUUGAUCUGGCCGAGUAAGGACUGUAAUUGUUUCUUCGUUGUUGGGGGUGGAGCAGUGAUGAUUGCGCGUGCCUUAUUCUCAUCGACUUCAAUCCCACGAUGAUGUACGAGAAAACCAAGAAAAUUCCCGGCCGAUACACCGAAGGCACACUUGGCAGGAUUCAUCUUGAGGUUGUGCUGACGCAUGCGGAGGAAAGCCUGUCGGAGAUCGUCCAGAUGUGUCUGUCGGCGUUUAGAUUUGACGACAACAUCGUCGAUAUAAACUUCGACGAUGGUGCCAAUUAAAUCAUGGAAGAUGGUGUUCAUCGCCCGUUGGUACGUGGCGCCGGCAUUCUUGAGGCCGAAUGGCAUGACAACCCAUUCGUAAGUGCCGAGUGCCCCCGGGCAACGGAAAGCAGUUUUGUGCACAUCGGCUUCGGUAAUAAAUAUUUGGUUGUACCCGGCAUGUCCAUCCAUAAAGGAUAAGAUCGCAUGAUUCGCCGCGGCAUCGAUUAACAGGUCCGAGAUCGGCAUGGGAUACUCGUCUUUGGGUGUUGCCAGAUUCAGAUUUCGAAAAUCGGUACAGAUGCGCAGUGCACCACUUUUCUUUAAUACAGGAACAAUAUUCGCCAACCAUUCGACAUAUCGAGCUGUCCGAAUGAACCCGGCUUUCAAAAGCCGAACUAGUUCGUCCUUAACACUGAGUUGUACUUCGGUCGAGAAUCGACGAGGUGGCUGACGGAAAGGCUUAAACCCGGGCUUAAUACGUAAUUCAUGCUCGACUAAAGCACGAUCUAAGCCGGGCAUUUCAUGAUAACUCCAAGCAAAACAAUCUUUGAAUUCCGUAAGCAAGGCCCGCAACUCGUCCUUCAUUUGUUGAGGAAGUAACGCACUAAUAAACAAAAGCCGUGGGUCAUCGACCGUCCCAACAUUAAUCUCUUCCAAAGGGUCCUUAACAAGGGGCCGAUGAUCUUCGAGCUCGGCCGGGGCGGCUCGAAUUUUAUCAAAAGAUAAUACAGGCCCAUUAUCUCCCUCAGCAAGGAACUCGACGAGGUUGACGCCCGAAUUUGGUUGUUUAGAUAUCGUAUACCAAUGGGCCAGCAGUCGUUCCAUAGUAGAUGAAACCGCGGCCCUACGUGCUUCCCGAUCGGUGUCAAACAUCAGUUUCGGGGAGAAAGUUAGCUAAUCCGAGUCUCGCCGAAUCCUGCUGGACAGUCUCGGCGCCAACCUCGAUAGCUUUCUGAACGGAAAUCCGAGUCGGCCGUCCCUCUUCAUUGAAGCCUUGCAACGUAAUAUAGCCGACGUGAUCGUCAUAAUACCGUGCUUGAAUCAUGUUGGUUUCGAAGGGCUGGCUAUCGGCCGGAUGAACAGUGACCGAUUUGCCGUCCCAAAAGACAAGCACUUGGUACAAUGAGGAAGGAAUACAACUGGUUUGAUGAAUCCAAUCUCGGCCGAGCAGUGCAUUAUACUCGGUUUUGGAAUCAACCACGAAAAAGGCGGUCAUAUGGGUGCGACCGGCAAUAUUCACAGUUAACGGAAGCACACCUUUGGUGUGGGACUUGUCGCCGACAAAACUACUCAUUGUGAUCCCUGACGGAAUAAGCUCGUCAUUUGAACGGCGUAAGGCCUUCAUGAUGUUCAGGGGCAUGAUAUUGACAGUAGCUCCACAAUCGACAAAAACUUUAGAAACCGGAUAUCCCUCGAUGUGUGCCGUUACAUACAAUGGUUUUAAAUGGUGAAGCUUGGCCGAUGAUAAACGAGGGAACAAUUCGGCCAAAGCAGCCUUUAGACUAUCAUCUUUUGUUGUUGGCUCGCCUUCAGCAAUUGAUACGAAAUCAACAUGGCCGGGUUCCUCAGCAACCACAUCUCCAUCGAGGAAAUUUGGUUGAGCCGUGCUUGAUUGAAAAUCGGCAGGUAACACAUGGACCAUACUGAUUUCCAUAUUAUCCAGGACUGACGUGCCCAACUGGUCAAGACCUUCCUCGUUCGGUUGGUCAGCGACUACGGACUCAGUUAUCGUCAGAGUCGGACAACGAGAUUCUUCCGUCCCUUCUUCAAUAAUGUCACUCGACGGAGCCGCUUCGGCCACUUAUUGGUUCUGCGUGACCGCCUCAGGUAGGGUCGAGAUUGACAAUGAACUUGGGGUCAAAACCUGAACCUGCUCCUGGUAGUGUAGCCAAGCAUCCCUAGUGUCAAGAUAAGCAUCCAGACGGGCAAUACGUGCGAUUUCAUCGGUCGUAAGGCCGAAAAGAGAAACCGCCGAAAAUACUUCAAAGUGAUACCGUAAAUACUGAAGGUCCUCCAGCGAGAAAGGAAGGUCAGCGACAUCGAUAUCGGAAUACGGGUCGACUUCAAAUCCAAAAACACGAGCUUCUCGUAUGUGCUGAAACCUUGCUUUCAAUCCUGGAUCUGAGGUCUUCUGGAUAAUCCGCUCAGCAUCCGGACAAGUCAGGAUCAUAUCAAUGGUGUCCUGACACGCCUUCGGCAAACCAUACAGAUCGUUGGCCGAAUGUUUCUUAUGAAAUUCUUGCAUAUACUCCAAAGACUCCCCAAGGAACGGGGGAUGCAAAUUCCGUCGAAUUUUGACCAAAGGCUCUUGUAUAACUAGCGGGGAUAAUUUGCUUUCGGCCUCUUGCCUGAAAUGUUCAAAACGUGCCUUCAUUUCCCCUGGUCGAAUGAGAAGUUUGAUCCGUUUAUCAGCUUCUUCAAACAUGGUCUCGACGUCUUGAUCGACCAGCCGUUUCCCCUGAGCCAACUCUAUCAUAAUUGCUGGAGGUGGUCGCUCCUCAUCAGUGGCAACUGUAUCCUUCGGCCGCCACUUAGGGGCCGAAGUUUCUUGGGCUGCUUGUCGGCGAGCCAUGCAAUCUAUCCGUUGAUGCCGGCGUUUCUGAGAUUUGGACAACGCGGUGUAGACGCCCUUCGAAGAAUGAUAUGUAUACCAACGUUGAUCUCUAGGCUCGGGAGGCUUGAAGGUCUUUUGACUCCGUGAUGAUCUUGAACUGCUAGAAUUACGCUUAUAGUAAUCAUCGUCAUAAAAUGAAGCAUCAAAAUCGAGGCGCCGCCUGACCGGGGGUGUCUCUUCCAUCCGUACUUUAGGACCAAGCCUCUCAAAAACCCCGUGAUGGUGGCCUUCAUUGGCUACCUUUUGCCGAGUUGCGGCCACAGGCUCCGAAGAAGGCUUCUCCUCUGGUUCACUGUCGACCUUCGCUCUACAUUUCCUGCACAAAACCGCCGUCCCACUAUCUUCAUCGGCGCUAUAAUCCAUCAUAGGUUUGACAAUAGCGGGCCCCGUUAAAGCCGUAGGUGGUUUAUUUGAACGAAAAUCGGCCAUGAACCGUGGCCGAACAUUCUGAUUCCGCGGGCGUUGUGUCUCAACCACUUCAGCCUUGCCUUUCCCUUUGUCCUUGGGUAGGUACGCGUCGACCAUGUUUACUGUUGCCGUGGGGAAUGGAUCAGUAUCCACACUCAUCUUUUUUUCGGGGAAUUUCAGUUUGCCAUUAUCAAUCCAGUUUUGAACGUUGUCGCGAAAUACGACACAAUUGUUUGUCGUAUGUUUGCUUGAAUUGUGGUAUUUGCAAUACACCUUUCCUUUAAGCUCUUCGGCCUUAGGAAUGUUGUGACCAGGCCGAAGCUUGAUGAUUCUUGCGAAUAACAGUUGGUCGAAGAUUGCGUCAGCCUUGGUAAUAUCAAAAGUGUAGACCUUUGAUGGUUUCAACGCUCAUUCAGCGGUCGAGCGACUUUUGACUUCUCUAGAAUCAACCUGAGUUAAUGCCUUGCAAACGUAUGACUUAUCUAUCACUAUCUCGGCCGCAUCCACACUAACGCAUUCAUCCUCGGUUGACGCAUAGUUGACAGUAGGAUUUUUGUACAACGUCCCCCGAGAUGGCGUUUUCGAAACCUUCUCCUCACGGAGCAAGUAGUCGUACUGUUCAACAUGCUGGGCUAAUUCAUACAUGUCCCGAAAGUUUGCCCCCAGGAAUUUCUUUUUGUAUUCGACGUCGAGGCCGUUCAAAGCAAGCCUGACAAAUUUGACUUCGGGUAAGGGCACUCGGCACCAAUUCCUGGCCGAUUUGAACCUAGUGAGAUAGUCCAUUGGUGAUUCAUCAGAUGCCUGAGCCAUCCUUGCUAAUGAAGAAACUGACAUCUCCAUCCCUGGUCGAUAAAACUGCUCAUGGAAUUUCUCGACCAACUCUUCCCAGUUCUGGACGGAAUUGGGGGGUAAAUUAAUGUACCAAGCGAAUGCCGAGCCGGUCAAUGAGAAGUUGAACAGCCGUAACUUAUGAAAGUCACUAUUAACAUCUCCACAUUGCGCGGUAAAAUGAGCCACGUGUUCCAACGAAGAUAAGGACGAUUCACCGGCAAAGAGGCUAAAAUCUGGAAUCUUGAAGCCUUUAGGGUAUCCAAACGUUUCCACGUAAGCCGGGUACAGAUGGAUAAACUUAGGAAACUUCGGCCCCUUUUUCAUGGCCGAGUCAAUCAUCCGCUGGACUUCGGUCAUAUCAACAGGUGCUGCUUCACCCCUCUGGUUGGUUCCGUCUGACCCGCUGUUCGACCCUCCACCUUUUUCCAAUUCAAUUGGUUUGGGGCGAGCAGGAAUAGGUUCGGCCGGUACAAUUGGUGACGGAUUGUUUCCUGGAGGGCAAUGCUGGAGAAGAUCGGAAGGCCUGCUGCCACCGACUUUACUAAACAAUAUUUCGAGCAACCUGUUCUGUCGCUCAGCAGAACUGACUAUCGCAUCAUGCAGUUUGUCGAUGCCUCGACUAAAUGUCUGCUCGACUGACCGAGACUGCUCGUUUAGUCGCUUUCGGAGAAACGACCUCGUUGGUGGGUCAGAUCCUUCACCACCAUCCUCGUCACACUCUUCUACUAUCCUUUCAGUGAGAAUGCAGGUGUUCCUGUUAGGGAUUUCUGGACCGCAGAGUUGACUGCCGAGAUUAACUUCUCUCUCUCGGCGAGUCGCGCUUGUGGACUCAGGUGUACCAACGCUAAGGGGAUUCUGCGCCUGUGGCACACUCUGUCCUAUGCUCUGACUCGGUAAAUCGGCUGUCGACUUUCCCAUAGCUGUUUUCUUUUUACCGAUCGUGUUUCAAUUGGCAUGAACUUCGUAGUUUAGCACUGAGUCCCACUGGGUGUGCCAAAAUGUUGACCCUAGAAAUUACAAAGCCUACGUGGCGCGCAGGCCGAGUAUAUUCUAAGCUAACUACGUCCUUCGGUGAUUGCGGGGCGUGCCAACUCGUCGGCCGAGGCUCGGCCGAGGAGUAAAUUUGAUGAUGCUGCGUUGGGUCGCGCUACUGACUUCUGCGUCUUGCGAUUGCGGCCGAGAAAGGAACACGUCUCGGCCUCUUGGGUUCUCGAGCCUGAAGACAAGGCUGCUAUUUCUUACAAAGUUCACGAACCGAAUUCGGCUUGCAAUGUGCCGAAUGUAAUAACUGUGACACCUCACCUCGCCGAGAAGGCUAAUGAGAUGACCUCGACCAACAAAGAUUCGAAAACUCUUCUCGACCGAGACUUGGAUAGGUAAUCGACCGUUCUCGCCGCAGUGCUGUUGAUGCCAACGGAAGAUACUGCGAGACCGACCGACUCUACGGUGACAGAGCUAUCUAUGCCGACUUAAGAUAUCACCGGUUGCUUCCACAGUGUUGUUGAUGCCAACGGAAGAUGUGUCAGCGAAAAAGGAAAAGAAAAAGAUCUCAAGUUGUGAGAGUUUGCGCAGGGCAAUUUUGUGUUGAUUUGCAGGGGGCAUUUUCUGAUGCACAUCGUCCCCUAUUUAUAGUACUGAACUUUGAAUCCGAGUUUAAAUCCUACUCGGACUAGGUUUCCCUCUCCGGAUCACCUCGACCAGUCCUACAUCUACUAGGACUAUGAACCUAGUCCUUAGCUAAGCUGGAUUAGUUUCCUGGAUAUCCGAUCCCGUCGAGACUCCCCAUUGCACUAGGAUUCGUCCUAACCGCCCUAGGUUUGGGCUCCCACGGGUUGACCGAUUCAUGGUCCUUUUGCCGCCCGGCCCCCUGGGCCGAGAGUGAUCCUACCCUCGGCCCAAACUAUUAUUUUGGGCCCAAACAGUAUGUAUAUGUAUAUAUAUGUAUAUGUAUAUGUAUAUAUAUAUACACACUGCAGGCCAAAUGACCCCACGGUCGAGCAUCAGCACUCGGCAAUAAUACCUAUGUUCUGCCAACAUUCUAGUCUUCCUCAGCUGCUGCAAUUAUACAAGGCUCAGCAUCUUUGGCAAAUAGGGCCGAGAAAAAUUGGAUAGCCUAGAAAACUGGGCCAAGCACCACUGAGAAAACACCGCCAAAUAGAAUUAACUCGGCAAAAACUAAUGGUAAAAAAUGUUUAACUUAAACAAAUCCCCCACUUUUCUUUUCUUCUAUUUAACGUAGAAAAGCAGAGAGUUGCCGCAGCUCUCGACUGCCGAGGUCGAGAAAAAUUAGGCUGGGGUUGGGAGACAAACCAUUCUUAGCUCGGCCUAUGACCAAUCAAGGUCAACAAUGCAUCAAAUAAUCCUACGUGCCAAUUAUGCCAAUGUUGCCCUCUUAUUUUUUUAAGCAUCGGCUGAGCAGCCGAAUAAAUUCUUAUUCAUUUUUUUUAGCAAAAGAAAAUGAAAACGGCUGAAUCAUAAUUAGGAGGAGGCCAACGAUCUUUUAUUCCAAGCCGAGAUCGUUUUACAUCAAAAUUUUCAUUGUGAGUUUUUCCAAGCUGAAUAAAAGAUCAUCCCAAAAUAUGUUUGGCUUGACGGAUUUUUCAUCAUCGGCCGCCGAAUGAACUAAAUAAUUAUUAUUCCCCCGAGGCAUAAUUACUUCGUUAAUUUAGGCUUUUAACUCAAAUAACUUGGCCGAAUGAGAUUUCUCCAAAUCGGCUUUAUCGCCAAUAAUCAUAUCAAUUGGCGUGGUUUUGGCAUCUAAGAUCAGGUUUCUGCCAUGUCCAUCAUUAGAACACUCAUCUGACGAAUCAUUUUCUAAGUCAAUUUUUGGCUCAUAAACUUUAACUCUUUCUUCUAGGCCUACCACACUUUUAGUCUCAACUGAGACAACAGGUGGCCUAGGUGUUUCUUCGGCCAUCUUGGCAAUUUCCUGAGGUAGAAUUUUGAUUGUGGCCGAAGCGAAAAAUUAUCCCCCAGUCUUUUGAUCCAACCAUUCUUCAAAUGGAAUUGAUUUGAACCCAAGACAAAAAGGAGUUUUCUUAUCGAACCACUCAUAAAAUCGAGCUCUAUCUUCAUAUAACCAUUGAUCUUGUAAGUUGUGAUGAACCUUCACCUUUAUCAUUUGAGAGAAAGAUUUUUGCAUUUCUUCAUAUGCUUCAAGGAUCUAGUCAAGGAUUUUUCCUUGCUUCUCGACAUUUUCCUUGUAUAGGCGCCAAAUCUCACCCACUAAAGCCUGAUUGAGAUCUUGAUAUAUCAUGUGAACUUCAUAGUUUUAGCACUUGUCCCACUGGGCGUGCCAAAAUGUUUACCCUAAAACUACAAAGCCUACGUGGCACACAGAUCGAGCAAGGAACGCAUCUCGGCCUUCGGGUUCUAGAGCCUGAAGACAAGGCUGCUAGUUUUACGAAGUUCAAUAUCAAAUUCGGAUUUCAAUGUGCCGAAUGUAGUAACCUUGUAACACCCCACUUCGCCAAAAAGGUUGAUGAGAUGACAUCUACCAACAAGGACUCGAAAAUCCUUGUCGACCAAGACUUAGAUAAAUAACUAGUCGGUCUCAAAGUAGUGUUGUUUAUCCAAACUGAAGGUGCUCCUUGAUCGGCUGAUGGUACGGCUCUAGUAUUGUUUAUCCAAACUGAAGAUGUUGCCAGUUGCCUUCACAGUACUGUUUAUCCAAACAGAAGAUGUGUUGGUGGAAAAAGAAAAUAAAAAUCUCAAGGUUGUUGAGAGGUUUCGCGUUGAGCGAGAGUUUGCGCAUGGCAGUUUGUGUGUUGAAUUGGAGGGGGCUUUGAAUGUCGUCCACGACACUGUAUUUAUAAAAGAAAAUGUUGUGUGGCGCGGCCAAAUAAUUUUGUAAAGUCCAAUUGCAAUUCUAAUUCGUGAAACUGAACUUGAUCCGCAUCAAAGGCCAAGGCAUAUCCUUCAAAUUGAUCCGUGGGAUUUGUUCAUUGACUUUUCAAACCUAAUAAAAGUUAGGCACAUCACAUCAGAAACCAAACCUAUCUAGCCUUCUUCACAAUAAUCAGUUUGCAACACACCACUUGUCAGUCAACCAAAUUGAUCACACCCACACAUUCACACGCCAAAACAUCCAAAUUAGCUUGAAUUGUGCUGCCAUGUUUCCAGUUGGAAAUACAUAUCUCAUCUUUCAUGAUAAACUAUUAUUAAAAGAUAAUUAUGAUAAAACACCAUAACAUUAUCCUUUAAUAAUAACAAAAUGAAUUAUCUCCAUUUUUUAUCUAACGGUGUGAAUCUAUGUUCACUCAACGACCUUGAUUGCAUGAGUCGAUGGGGUAAAUUUGGGUCCAAACAAUUCUACUUAAAAAUAUAGGUAAUUUAUUUCACAGCUUCUCAUAUCCUUCUCCUCAAAUCUCUCUUUGCUUUUUGGGACUUCUCCUCCAUAUUAAAGAUAACAGUGUUUUUUUUUAAUUGGAAACAAAAUGUUGAAUUUAUGUUAUUUUGGUCAUAAAAAAAAGAUAAUAAUUAAUUUUGAUAGGGUUUCAAAAUCAUUUUACAAAAGGUUAUAUAUGUCAUUAAAAUUUUCAAUAAAAAGUGGGUGGGAAAAUAGGAUUGAGGGCAGGGGCAGAUCUAUUAAGGGACCUGAGUGGUCCCGGGACCACCCGAAAGCUCAGAUAAUUGGCUGUGAAGACUUCCAAGGACCACCCAAGUCUAGAGAGUGAUGGAGGGGAAAAGCAGCGGCUGCACAAAUAUUCUGGCUUUAUGUCAAACCAGAAGAAGAGAAGAAGAUUAUUUACUUUUUAAACAACAUCCUAGGUCACGACGUCAUGUGGAGCAUUAAAUAAAACGGUGAGUAUUAGUGUAUUGUUUGAGAACACCAUCCUAGGUCGCGUGGGAGGUUGAGAGCCUCACCAUUUUUUAUUAAAAAAAAAACACACACACACACACAAAACAAAAAGGGUUCGACUUUCAAACAAUUCCACUCCACCCAAAUUAACCCCCUAGUCCUAAUCCCCGUUCCCUAAUAUUCCCACCCCACCCAACCGAAGGCCACCAUCUCUUCUCCGUUCUCUUCUUCAGCCUUCACAUACCCAUACAUUUUAAGAUUAACUUGAUAUUUAUAUUCAUUCAAUGCGUUUAAGAAGUGACUUUUCUCAAUUGUAAGGGAUUAGUGAUCUUGCUAAAAAAGAGUAAAAAAAAGGUUGCAUCAAAUUGUUGUUUAUAUUAAGAUUAAGAAUAAAAAGUUGUUGUUGAUCGUUUAUUGUUUCAAUGUUAUUUUCAUCUAAUUUUUUCAGCUUUAUAUUAGGAUCACCCGAUGUUAAAAUCCUGAAUCCGUCACUGAUUGAGGUGUGGGUAUAUCAUGAUUAUCAUCACUCUUUAUUUUGAUGUUUAAAACGAGAUGAGUUUUUGUCAAAGAAAUAAAUGUUAUAUGGACUUAUAUCAAAAGAACCCAACAAUCAAUUGGCAUAUGACGAUUGACUGACGCAUGGAACAUGACGAUUGAUUUUCCAGGUUUCCGCUAUAAAAUGGAGCAAAGCAUUUACGUUUUUUCACACAGAAACCAGAUCAGAAGCCUUUAAUUUCGCCCUACGAAGUACUGCACUGGAAACAAAGUAUACUAGCAAGUUGUUUUAUAGGAGACAAAAUGGCAAUGGAGACGCGAGUUCUCAUUGUGGUGGCCGUGGUGGCUAUGUUUAUAUGCCUUCCCUCCGCAGCAUACGCAGCCGAGGGAACAGCCACUUAUUAUACACCUCCUUAUGUUCGUAAGUAUAUAUUUCAACAUUUUCAAUGUAUUAUCACAAUCUAAAUUACCUCCUCAUUGGGAAACUGGUGUUCUGUACACUGCUGGUUUUGCCAUGGUGUGGAGAAUUGGUGGCUCGUACAUAACUUAUGAUGUCGAUGCUCCUACUGGUAUUAAUUCUUAUGUACGUACCAGUCCGCCUCGGAGCUCGUUCUUAUCUUUAAAUCAAUCUGAAAUAACGUACAAUUUUUAGGGUCCAAGAAUAAGAUAAAAUUAUAUUCUAGUCUGUCUAGAACCAUAAACAUCUUAUGCUCACAAACAUUUUGGUACAUAGAUAUAUGUAUGUAUAGAAGAUUUCAAAUUUUGAGUAGUGCUACAUUUACAAUCUAUUUGUAUCAUUUCUCUAAUAGAGGUAGGGAGCAUUAACAAAUGUGGAUCCCAUCACAUUUAGAGAGAUGAUAGAAGUAGAUGGUAAGAAUAAUUUACCUUUUGUGUAUAUGUAGUCAUAUAAUUUUGUAAUUGUGUAAAUAAAUAGUCAAUGUUAACCCGGCUUAUUCAACUAAUCGUGUCGAAGGACUCAACUCGUUUAUAUAUAUGUUGUGAUGUUUAGGUUAAACUUACCUAUGUAUCUUGUGACAUGUAAACCUAUGACUAAUUUUCUGUAUCUUUUUUAUUUUAUUUAUCUAAAUCUACUUAUUCAUGUUAUUUCUAAAAUCACAUUUAACUUGAUCAAGAACCCUUAAAAAAAAACCAUUAAAAAAUUUAGCUUCAUAAUUGCAUAAAUGUCUUAAAUUGCAUACUAAUAAUUGGAGAAUAAGUGAAUCAGGUUCUGCAUAUAAUACUAGUAAACGUGUUGAUCGUGUCAAAAUUUGGGUUACCGAGUUUGGCACUAACCCAACUCGUUUAUUAUUGAUUGUGCUUAGGAGAUAAUUUCCUGUUCUUUUUUAUAUGCCAAAACUGGCAACAUGUAUGCAUGCCCUUAAUUAUGCAUGUAUUGUUUGGUGGACGUGCAGCAUCCUCAUGCAACGGAUACCAAAAUGAUGGAGUGAUGAUAGCAGCAGCAAGCGAUGCCAUUUGGGGCAACAGAGCUGCGUGUGGAAGAAGGUACAGUGUGACAUGUAUCGGAGCCACCAACCAAGGUGUGCCACAGCCUUGCAAGGGGAAUAGCGUUGUCGUUAAAAUUGUGGAUUACUGUCCUCCUGGAUGCCGAGGAACCAUCGAUCUCUCUCAAGAAGCCUUUGCUGCAAUUGCUAACCCCGACGCGGGAAAAAUCAAGAUUCGUUAUACCCAGUAAGCGCGUGCACACACGUGUGUAUAUAUAUAUAUAUAUAUAUAAAUAUACCAAUCUAUAUAAUUUUUUUUCCUUUUAGUUAAUAAAAUUCAUCAUAAUUAACCUCAAGAGUAUAAAAUGAAAUUUUAUUUCGUCUCGGUUUUGUGGUGAAUAUGCAGGGUUUGAAGCAAGCACGCUCUCCAAGAAUGAAUAAAGUAGUCAUUUAGACUAAGGUGGUCAUAUCAUAUGCUCCAAGGACCACUUGUAAUAAAACCUAUCCAAGUAAUUGUGUUUCACAAUUUCAGACGUGAUGAGCUGAUGUUAUGAAUAAAUGUGUGUUUAUAUAUUCAAAUAAAGAGUUUACAUAUUAUUUUUCAUUGUACAACAUCUGCAUGCACUUUCUCGAAUAUAUAUAUAUAUAUAUAUAUAUAUAUAUAUAUAUAUAUAUACGUAUAUAAAGUAGUGUUGAUGCACAAAAUCAAGAGGAUUUUGGACCAACGUAAAUCCGGCCGUGAAUCACACAAACGCACAAGAACACAAAGAUGUAUCGUGGUUCACCUCAAUGUUUGGGCUACGUCCACACUGAUGUUGAUUUUGAUUCACUGUAUGAAUGUAUGAAUUACAAUAGAUCGGCAAGGGAGCUCUGUGGAUGCAACCCUUGCCAUUUUGCUCUUUGUUUGGCUGAGAGGGUAUUGCCCUCUAUAUUGUGAGGGAUGUGAGAUGAGAGUCUCUGUUUCUUUUGUGAAGAUCGGCAAGGGAGCUCUGUGGAUGUAGCCCUUGACAUGAAUUCGUUGUUUUUCUAACCUUUGAUGACACAUUUAUUUACUAAAAUGAGUGUAUGUAGAAAGCAAACCAUUUAAAGUCUUAAAUUCCCCCACCUUUAUUAGCACACGAAGAAUAAAAAGAAAGAGUGAGAUCAACUAGGGGUUAGUUCUAUUCUCAUUCAUUGAUUCACUUAUUCCUUAAUUCGUUACUUCAUUCCUAAUAAGUAAAUAUGUCAUGAAUUGAAUAACUCAAAAGGUAAUCGAAGAGUAUGAACAAAAACAUUACUGUAAAAGAAAAAAAUUAGAGUGCAAAAAUCACUCAAAAUGAAUUAAGUAGGGUUUUUUUUUUUUUUUUUUUUUUUUUUGUUAUGCCCCCUAUAACACAAUAUCUCACAUUCCCUUUAAACUCAUAUUUUGUCACUUAACGUCAUAAAAAACAAUAUUCGCUUCACUUUGAUAAGUUCUGUUUAAUUCAUUGGGAUGGUUUAAUGGGGUCUGCUUCAGAGUUCAGAUCGUUUUGGUUAGCUAUCUAAAUAAAUGGAUAAUUUCGAUGUUGUAGUGAAGUUGUCCCACAAACAAUCAAAUUUUCAAAAGCUCCAAGCGUUUUUUUACCAUGUUCUUCCUCUGCAGCAAAACAAAGCAAUUUGAGCUCAGAAAAUACGGAGAGAGAUCUAGAGAGAGACGGAAGAAGGUGUUGUUUCCAGUGGGAGGCCAAGCGUUUUUUUUAAGGAAAACUAAUGAAAAUGGCUUGAAAACUUUGAGUUUUAACGAUAAGAACAAAAUAAAAGGUAAGGUGAAUGGUACAUGAUUGACUUUUUAGUGUAAAAAUAUGGUUUUUCGUUAAAGUGAACAAUACCUGGAACUUUUCGUUAAAGUUCCUUUUUUUUUACCAUCUUUCAUUUUUGUAUAGUAUAUCAUACAUUUUUGUGAUUAUAUCAAUAUAAGAAAACUGAGUUAAAUCAAUAUCCAAUUAGUUUUUGAGUAUCAUUUGACAAACAUAAAGACAAUAUUUGAAGUCCUUUAAAGAAUAAGGCAUAAAAAAGAACGUCACAUGAAUUUUGACCCUAUUCACAAUAUAGCAAAUUGAUUAAGACACUCAACUCACUUGUGGUGCAAGUUUCAUUCUAAUCAUAAAAUAUUCAAUCUUUUGCUUAGUAUUAAUCAAUAUUGCCAUGCCUGACAUAACAAAUAACUCAUUUAAGAGUCUGACACCUCCUUAAGGUGUUCAAAGGCAUUUUAAAAUGACAAGAGUAACAGACACUCGCAAGGAAAAUUGUGUGAGGGAACAUAAUUUUGGCACGGGUGCAAUUUUUUGCGAUUUGCAGAGGAAGAUGGAGCCAGAGUUUUCUAAUUUAUUGCAUGAAGUCAAGAAGGAAUGGACUCCGACAACAACUGGAGGCAUUCAGAAAUGGGUCAUUAAAACACGUGAAUUAUACAAGCCCGACAGAGUGCUACCCAUCCCUUUGAACUUAGACAGCAACUAAGCACGCCCACUUUGUUAUGUACCCAUCGCACCAUACUAGACUACAUAAAAUCAGUCAAUAUGGUGGUGGCGCAGGGUGGCUGCCGCGGUGGAACAGAAAGAACUAGCCAUCUCAACUCAAAGCACACUCACUAUAAUUCAAACACGAGAGUCAUCGAAACAACAAAAUUUAGCCAGUGUAUCAAAAAUUGAAAGGGGUAAAAAAAAAAUCAAGGGAAGCUACUAAUGUCUCCUCCAUGCCUACAGCGCCAGCCUACCAUGAAACUCAAGAAUUCCUAAAUUCAAAUUCCAGCGAAUGCCUUCUUGCCAGUGCCGGAAGAUCCAGCAGGAGUCACCUUCAACACGUUGAACCUCUUAGUCUCGAACAGUGGCCUGAACAUUGGUAAAGUACCCAAAAAAUGAACAAAAUGAGCACUAGCGCAUGCCAAAUUACAUACAUAAACAUGUAGUUAAAAACGAGCUAAGGUAAAUCACCUGCACUGGCCGAUGGUAACAUGAUCUCCUUCCUUCACACGGAAGCAUGGAGAUACGUGUGCCGGGAUGUUGGAAUGUCACUUUUCAGAUCUUAAGCUAGCGACAAGAACGAAAAAGAUUUCAGAAGAUCAAAGAGGUGUUGAAAAAUAUUAGUAUUUAGGUUUACUUUAAUGUUUGGUUUUCUGGGCUUAGCCUAUUAGCAUUAAGGUUUCGGUUUCUUACCUUUUUAGGGUUAAGCUAAGUCUAUUAUAAAUAGUAUGCUUGUUAUUCAGUUAAGAACAAGUUAGUUAUGUAGCUUCUUAGGGUUAUGUAGCCGUUCCGGCAUUCUCAUGUGUUUAAUAAUAUUCUUAUUAUUUUGUAGUCUUUUUUGUUUGGUAUGUUCAACUUGGUACCAAAAGCGGUUCAAUCUUUUGUGAUUUAAUCUGCUUUUGGUUGUUAUCAGUUUGUCUGUCUGUAUGUUUAGUUUGAUAUAUAAAAUUAAAACAAAGAAAAAAAGAUUGCUGAAGCUAUGUCGUGCCUCGCCACUCCGCUGCUUGAAUCGAUUCCGCAGCUAUCCGUUGAACUCGUUGUCUGCACCAGCACCCAUUGACCGCUGCUUCCCUUGCCGUACUCGCAUCCCCCGCCGCUGCUGCACUAGAACCGACCCACCAAGUAUGUUGUCUCGAUUAGAUCCCGAUGACAUUGCACCCCUCGCAGCCCCGCAAGCCAAAACCCGUCGCCAUACCCAUCUGCUCGUACCCGAACUUGCACCACCAUCUGAUUGCUUCGCUACUUAAACCUAGAAAUCAAUCGUCGCAUCCGUUGCAUCGUCGCCAUGCCACCAAAUCCCGCCUGCAACCCAUCGUCUCACCACCACCUGCUGUAAACCCACAUCGUUCGCUUGCUUGCGCGCCGCGCAGACCGGACCUGAUAAACCCACCCUGCUUGCUACUUGUUGUCUGACCGAAACCAGAUUGUGCCAUAAUUUGUCACUUUUCUUAAUCAUUGUGUUACGAAGCCCAAAAAAAAGGAAGGAAAAAAAUAGAAAAAGAAAACAGAAGAAGAGAGGGAAAAAAAAAAGGUAUGGAGCCCAUGAUCUGUUGGCUUAUUAUGAUUUGUUUGAAGGCCUUUUUUAAUUUUUUUUGGCCUUGUUGAUUGAAGCUACUAUUGGGCUUGGUUGGUUUUGAGACCUAAACGAGUUGUUAGACUGUUUGGAAUUGUUUUGUGACCGUCACUUGAGUGAUUGGACAUAUGACCACUCGAGUGAUAGUAGCUUUUUGGUUCUCGCUGUUUGUUGCUACAAUUGAGAUAUGGAAAUCUUGUCCAUUUAGUGAUGAAUUCUUUUCAUACUCUCAACACUGGCCAAUUAGAAUCAGUUUGCCAGUUUGCCAGUCAAGUCAAGUCAAGUUUGCAUGCCUGCUAGUUUGCCUAAUGGAGCCAAUCGGCAUCUGCUUGUUUGCAAACUCAUGUCAUAUGCCGCCAUGAGUUUGAAGAGGGGGGUGUUGGAAAAUAUUAGUAUUUAGGUUUACUUUAAUGUUUGGUUUUCUGGGCUUAGCCCGUUAGUAUUAGGAUUUCGUUUUCUUACCUUUUAGGGUUAGGGUUAGUUUAUUAUAAAUGACAUGUUUGUUAUUCAGUUGAGAACAAGUUAGUCAUUAGUAGCCUCUUAGGGUUUUGUAGUCAUCGUUUGUUUAAUAAUAUUCUUAUUAUUUUGUAGUGUUGUUUGUUUAGUCCCUUACUUUUAAAACUUUUUCCUUGUACAUACAUUUUAUUUUUAUGGGUAAAGUACAAAAAACUACCUUAACUAUUGGUCUCACGACACUUUCAUACCUCAUCUUUUUAAAAUGACAAUGUCAUACCUCAUCUUACGAAUUUGUGCCAAUGUCAUACCUCCUCCAUCAGUUUUUUUGUUAAUUUCUCAGUUAAAUGAUGACGCGGCUUGAUUCGGGACCCACUUUCUAUUAAAAAAUUAAUAAAUUUUUUUUAAAAACUAAAAAAAAAUCAUUUAAUAUUUUUUAAAUAUUAAAAUAAUAAAGAAAAGUUAUAAAAAUAAAAAUAAAAAUAAAAAUAAAAACCAAACAAAACUUCCCCUACGCGCCCUCUCUCUUUCUCCCCCAUUUUCAUCUCAUUUCCUCUUUUUCCUACCUACUGCAACCUAGAAAAAAGAAAAAAAAAACUUUGUCCCUUUUCCCCAUGCGCCCUCUCUCUUCUCCCCCACCUUCAUCUUCUUUCCUCUUCUUCCCCUUAUCUGCUGCAACCUAGAAAAAAGAAAAAAAAAACCACAAAACCUAUCUUCAUCUUCCCCGACCCCCUGCCCUGCAACUCAUCCCUUUCUUCCCCCUCCUGUCUUCCCUAAACCAUCUGCACCACCCUCGCACCCACUACCUGCAACCUAUAAAAAAAAUAAAAAAAAACCCAGAUCUCGUUCGCCAGGCCUAUUCCGCGGGUGGAGAACCGGUGCGCGGAGAAAAUGGGGGGAAUGUGUGUGGAUUUAAGGAGUGGGGUGUGUAGAGGAGGGAAGAGAGUGGGGUGCAGGGGAAGACAAUUGGUUUUUUUUUUCUUUUUUUUUUUGGGUUGCAGCAGAUAGGGGGAAGAAGAGGAAAGAAGAUGAAGAUGGGUAGAAGAGAGACGCGGGGGGGGGGGAGGAAGGGACAAAGUUUUGUGAAUUUUUUUUUCUUUCUUUUUCCUGGGUUGCUGCAGGUAGGAAGAAGAGGAAAUGAGAUGAAGAUGGGGGAGAAGAGAGAGGGCACGCAGGGGGAGUUUUGUUUUGUUUUUUUUUUUCUUUUUUCUGGGUUGCAGCAGAUAAGGGGAAGAAGAGGAAAGAAGAUGAAGAUGGGGGAGAAGAGAGAAGGUGCGUGGGGAGGAGGGACAAAGUUUUGUUUUUUCUUUUUUUUGGGUUGCAUCAGGUAGGAGAAGAGGAUGGGAGAUGAAGAUGGGGAGAAGAGGAGGGGGAGGGGGGGGGGGAGGGACAAAGUUUUGUGUAAUUUUUUUUUUCUUUCUUUUUCCUGGGUUGCAGCAGGUAGGAAGAGGAGGAAAGGAGAUGAAGAUGGGAGAGAAGAGAGAGGGCCCGCGGGGGGGGGGGGGGAAGUUUUGUUUUGUUUGUUUGUUUUUAUUUUUUUCUGGGUUGCAGUAGAUAGGGGGAAGAAGAGGAAAGAAGAUGAAGAUGGGGGAGAAGAGAUAGGGCCUGGGGGGGGGGGGGGAAGGGGCAAAGUUUUGUUUUUCUUUUUUUUGGGUUGCAGUAGGUAGGAAGAAGAGGAAUGGAGAAAAGAGAUGGCACAGGGGGGAAGUUUUGUUUGGUUUUUUUUUUUUUAAUUUAAUUUUUUAUAACUUUUCUUUAUUAUUUUAAUAUUUAAAAAAUAUUAAAUGAUUUUUUUUUUAGUUUUUAAUAAUUUUUUAAUAGAAAGUGGGUUCCGAAUCAAGCCACGUCAACAUUUAACUUAGAAAUUAACAGAAAAACUGACGGAGGUAUGACAUUGGCACAAAUGCGUAAGAUGAGGUAUGACAUUGUCAAUUUUAAAAGAUGAGGUAUGAAAGUGUCGUGAGACCAAUAGUUGAGGUAGUUUUUUGUACUUUACCCUAUUUUUAUUUUAAAUAAAUUAUUUUUCUUUUCAUUACAUUUUUUUAAUUAUUUUGCGAAUAAUAGCUUUGUGGUGCAUAUUUUUUUGCAAUAACUCACUUUCGUCGCACAAAGUUUUUAGACAUGAAUAUUAGUCGUCCCAGGUUUGUAUUUUGGCAUUUUAUGCGACAAACAUAUUCGUUCAUAAAAAUUUGGUGCGACGAAUGAGGAACCGUCACGCCUUAUUUUCCUCGACCAAUGCUUUUGUUCAUCGCGCAAAGUCUUUCUUCACGAUCUUUGCACGACCAAUUCUGCGCGAUGAGGUUUUCAUUGUGCAUACGUUUGUGCGACGCUAUUAAGUUUUGCACGACCAAGUUCUGUUCGUCGCACUAAAUGUUAAAUGUGGUAGUGAUUGAUUUUUACUUUAAUUUGAGUCUCAACUCAAUUCAAGUUCAACAAACUUUUAACAAAAUAGGGCUGAAAAUUUUAACUAGAAUGAACGAGCCACUCAAAACCCUAAAUUACGAGUGGGUGCGAAGAAUAUUUGAGUGCUUGUAAUUGUUGCUCCAUAUGAUUUUACAGUAAGCAAGGCUCCUAUCAUUGUGUGUGAUUAGUUUACUUUUGUGUUCUCAAUCACUUAUAUGUCAUUUUGCUCUUAUUGGUUUGAGGGAAUAAAGGCUCAAACUUCCUGACAUUUUCAUGAUACUUCAACAAAUCCAUUGAAAACGUACUAAAUUGUCUAACAAAUGGGCAAUUUGAUAUAUUCUUACUGUUGGAGGAAAGAUCAGCAGUUUUCAGUUAUACUGUAGAAAGGAAGAAUACAAGAGAAUAUAUAUGAAGGAUGACUUUUGAACGACAACUGAAAUUUAAUUUUAUUGCUUUCAAAUUUUUAUUACAACACUAGGCCAAUCUUAUUAUUGGCUAUUUUUUAAUAACAUUCAUACCUUUUGAUAACAACUAUGGAUAAGUUCUAAGAGAGACAACUCUACAUUGCAGAAAGUGCAUUACGUUUAACACUUACAUCAUUGACAUGAUCCUAGUUGAUCUAAGGUUGUUACAUAUAUCCUCCUUAGGUUCCUGAGUAAUUCUCUCUAGUUCCUGCUGAAAUCUCUCCAUGGCCGAGGAUGGCAAACACAUUGGUACCAAUAUUCCAUCCUCAGUGUUGUUUUUGUGUUGAACGUAGAAGCUAAUCAAAUCCAAGGCCUUGGCGGGUCCAGCAAAUACCGGCUGUCCCCAUCCAAAAUUGACAUCUCCAAAACCUGCACGCGUAUUAUCAGAAACUAUUAAAUAACUUCCUGUCGAUGAAUAUUGAGGUCGCCCUCUUAGUACCAUAAGAUCUGCCACUGAUCUUAAGUAUUCUUCAUUCAUGGUAGCUUUAGCCUUCUUCACCAACUCCAAAGCAUAUCCCAGUGGAUUUUUGCAUAGAGGUUCAGCCUUUGAAACUGCAGCUGGAUAUGCAAAUGCAUUGCCAUAGUAUCCCAAGGGAAGACGUAGAUUGUGGUGCUUUCCCCGUGCAUUGACAAUGCAUGAGACUCGAACAGCCUGUUUUGGAUUAAUUUUAAGUGCAAGAGUGCGACAUUUCCACAAACAGGCUGUGAUCAAGUCAAAUGUGGAGCAAGUGGAAAUUAGGUGGGGUGGAAUCUGUUUUCGAAUGACUCUCAUCUCCUUGGCACCAAAGUAGAAAGAUCGUUGAACCAUGUUUGACUGGUUACUGAAUGCAUAUGAGCCAUCAGAAUGAUCAAUCACGUCUUCAUAUUCAUGAUGAGCACAUGUAAUUCUUGGUGGAUUUCGAGCGAAAAAGAGCUUUCUCUCCCACACUGGUAGAAUAGAUGGUGCAUGUGCGCCUCUUGCCAUCUCCGCAAUGGCGGUCAGGAACAGGAGCAAUCCAGAUGCAUCACACAUUGUGUGGUUUAGGCGCAAUGCAAGUAUGAAACCUCCACAUGUAAGACAGGUCACCUGCAUAUUGCAAAAGUUAGUUACUAGACUUUUUUCUUGAUCAUCAUAUUCGUGCCAGUUAACAAUUCUUUAGAAGAAAAGACCCAAAAUAAAUAAAUAAAUAAAAAACCAUCUAAAUUAGAUGAUCUAAUUAGUAAACAAAACAUUUCAUAAAAAUUAGGAAUAAAAUUCAAGAAAGAUGGAGUCUCUUUGAAAGGCUCUCGUGCAUGUUGUAGUUACUUGAAAAAGUCUUUAACUAUAGAGGAUUUUAGACAAAAUGCUUAUAGAAGAGAAAAAUUUAGACAGAAGACAAAGAGGAAGACAUGCAAAAAACCUAGAAGAAGAACGGCAAAGGAAAACCUACACAACAAAGGUGAUGUGAGACUGGUAGAAAACCUAGGACCUAAUUAGGCGGAUACCAAGUAGAAAUAUAAUUUCCUCAAUUCAAUGUGUAUACAAAUUUUACUGUAUAGGAUUAAACAUAAGGAUCGUCGAAGAAAAAUUAGUUUCGAAAAAUAAUGAAAGCGUCUCAUAAUCUUUUCUUUCCAAAACAUCCUAAUGACUUUCUUUAAUCAUAAGAACAAAGAGGCGUGGUCAUAUUGUAGAUAAGUUCAAGUUUAGGUGCGGUGGUAGUAUGAUAAAUUUUCAUUUAUGAAAAGGGUUGCCAAUUUAAUGAAAAAAGUUAAAAACAGUUGCGGUGCCACCAAACUUCAACUUAUUUACAUUAUUGUUAGUGCUUUCUUGUUUAUGUCCUUAUUUGUCAUUAAAAAUUUCGUAUGUUGUUGAUUACACUAAUUUCUUACAAAAAAUAUCCGGGGUGUGUAUGUGACCUUAACGCAAAAAACACUACUCAUACCCUUAAACUACUUCAAAUUUUUUGUAAAGAAUUAAUGGCUAUGACCAAAUAUGAAUACGAAAAACUAAAUAACAUGUAAUUGAUAAUUAAUUGACUCACCUGAACCAGCAGCAAAGGACAACCAAUAAUUCCAUCAGAGCCUGGAAAAUUAAAUAAGAACUCCUCUAAGAGUGGACAAGGGGGUAGAAUUGUGUCUCCUAGUUGCUCUAGUGUGACAUCAGCAGAAGCCUCGACGAACAAGAUACCUUCACCAUUGCAAUCGACCACGAGCUUUUUGUUAGGCCCUUCCCUAAGCCUUCCAGCUAAAGGGUAGUAAUACACUAAUGCUCUACUUAAGGCUUCCCUAAUCACCUUAACGGGAUUACGAUUUUUAUUAAGUGAAGGAUUGGCUUUGUAACACAUUAUAACUGGAACCUGAAAUCUCAAGCUUUCUUGGUCGUCAAUAUCAGAGAGAAACUUUGUUUCUUGAGGCGUUGGCUUUGCCGGAGUUAUAAGUUCCGGCUGCAAUCGUUUCACCUGAAGUAUUGAGGGUAGCAUCAUUUCAAUAACAAGCUUAAGAACAAGCAAAAGAUCAAAGGAUUUGGAAUUUUAUUUUGUGGUAUGCAUGCUAACUAAAAGUUGAUAGUCAGUACUUAUAUAACGUUAUGUAGAUGCUCUAGGGUUCCCGAAUCUUCCGUCCAAGUUUCCACCCGUUGUGAAUGUGAUUCUUUUUUUUUUUGGAAGACAUGUGAUUAUUUUCUUUUCCAUUAAAAAUGUUGUUAGAAAGAAACGUUUAAAUCGCUUUCCAAAAAAAAAGAAAAAAAAGAAAAAAACGUUUAAAAUUAAAUCACGCAAUCAACAUGGACUGCAAAGAAAAACAUGUUGUUGAGAGCUAUGUGCAUGGGACCAUUUCACAGUUCACACCACAUAUUCGGAGCUAUGUGCAUGGGACCAUUUCACAGUUGCUAUGUGCAUGGGACCAUUUCACAGUUCACACCACAUAUUCGUACAUAUACAUUAAUACUGAAUUUCAUUUCAACAUCAGAAAUCUGAAUACUAACAGGGAUAUGAGGACAGGUGUACGGUAAAAAACCUUUGAUAGGAAUGGAAGGAAGAAGGCCAACAUCGUACGUACCUUGCCCCAAUUACAGCUGUGACUUUUGUAAAACAUCGAUUACACGUCUGCUAUAAAGACAACAUUGUUGUUGUAUAAAGACAGGCAUAUUAGCACGGGAGAAUAAUGUUCCACAUGGCGUGGAGCACGGUAAGUGUUGGGCUUCACACAAUCUGUUCUGCAAUCAUGACGAAAGUUGAGGUUCACACAAAUUGUAUCAAGACUUUGUAACAGCAGCAUGAAGGUUAGGAGUCGACUUGGAGGAGAAGAUCGCGAGCGGGUUCAGCUAGCACUAGUUAACCGAGCCCCAGAUUCCAUGUUCAUGGUUAUCGGCUAAUCCUCAACUCUUAUGUUCGGUGCUUAACUUCUGAACAUUGAACUUUUUGUCAAAUUUUAUGUUCAGCAUGUUCAAAUACAUGAUUCAAUCUAGUUGUAUUUUAUUUAAGAAAAUAGAAACAAACCCAAGAGGAUUUCAGAGAAAAGUGACGGCAUAGGGCAGAACAUUGCAGCUCAAACGUCACUAACAUACUUCAAUGAUUUAGGGUUUUGGUCACGAUACCACCUUACAUCUCAUUUAAAUUAGCUAGCUAACAAAAGCCUUCAAGACCCCAGUUGUGCUAAGCUAAUCUAAACCUCACACCAAAGCAAACCUAUCUCAGCCCUACACUUGUAAUUUUGGACUGAGUCAACAUAUUUGGCCGUUACAAAUUUAGAAAAAACUAAGGCAUUACUUUUGUUUAAUACAAAAAAUUGGAAGCUAGAAAUCAGUUUAUGCAUCAACACUCUCCUUCAAAUUGUUUCUAGUUUUGACGCCAAGCAAAUCCCUGAGGUAUACAAAACCCUCCUUUAGCGUAUCCUUAGUAAAUAUAUCAACAGUUUAAUCUUCAUAUUUGCAAUAGAGUAAUUCAAUCACAUUCUCUGACGUACAAAAGAUCUCUAAUAAAGUGAUGGUUCCUCUUUUCAUGUUUUGUUUUUUUAGUGAAUCAGAGGAUAUCCUGUUAGAGCAAUUACAAAGGUGGUGUUGAAAUUUAGUGAUAUAGCAUCUACUUUGAAAAGGUAGCUGGGUCAACCCAAUAGAUAAAUAAUCUCAAUUAAAAUUCUAGACGAGGAUUCAUGUACGGUUUCAAUCAUACUACAUAACAGUGAAGAACAAAAUGAAAUAGAGUAAAAAGAACAAAAGACUCACAAUAUAAUUCAUGGGCACACAACCAUUGAGAAAUAAGUACUUUUACAAAACUCAUCAAGACAGACAUCUACUACACUUGAAGUUUUCUCUUGUACUUUUAAUCUUGUAGCACACAGUCUUUCUUUUGCUCUCUUUUGGAUGAACACGACGUACUCAACAGGUUCUCCUCACGACUAAAGAGAUUGCACUCAACUUCGUCGCAUAGAUGGAAACAACUUCUUCACUCAAAUGAAUAUGAUGAAUAAUAUGAAAGGUAUGAAGUGUUUCACUAAGAUCACUCUUCUAACCUAGCACUCAAGAACUUUGCUUUGAACCUUUUAUGCUCAAAUCUUAUAACCAAGCAAAGAUGAAUGAUAGGCUUGAUUUCCUAUGAAACCAACAGCCUAGAAUAAAGGAAACUGGAAUUAUGUACUAGAAUAAAAUCAAAUUGGGUUUAUUUCUUAAAACUAGGCAAUUAAACUGAUAUUAUAAUCUUCAAGAUAUGCAAUGAUGUGAUUCUCGUUUCCUAUAUGAAUGCACAUGAUACUCCAAUAUAUGCUUUGAUGUGCACGUUUUCAGUAAUUAAACCUAGAAACUACGACACGAGUGGCGAUACUUUGGAUUAGUUUGGUAUUCCUGUGCUUUCUAAAAAAAAUGUGAUUUUGCUGUUCUAUGAGAAUAAACAAUUGUUACGUGUUUGGUAACUUUUUUUUUCUUUUUUUUGUAAAAGUGCUUUUAACAACAAAAAAACAGUCUGAGUGUUUGGUAAACUUUUAUAUAAAUUAUUGUGAAUGUGUUAAAUAACUAAAAAGGAUAUGGUAUGUAGUGUGAUAUAAUAAUUGACAAAGAUAAUAAUGUAGGGGCAAAAAUUGUAAUUUUGUAAAAUAUGUGGGGUUGUACUUGCCUUUGAAAAUUUUAUUAAAUGAGCAUUAAUUACUAUACUUCGAAAAAAAAAGCACUUUCUUUAAAAGCAAGAUAGACUCUGCUUUUGUUUUUCUAUGCUUUUCUACUGUCAUUGACAAUAGUUUUUUAAAAAAUCACUUUUUUUUUUGUGUGUGUUACCAAACACACUUAAUGUUCCAGAUUUUUUAAAAGCAUUACAAUCCCAAACCAGCCCUUUGUUAGAAUGUUUAGAAUUUUCUCAACCAAAUGGCUCAAAAUAUUUAGGGGAAUACUAUUAUGUAGGUUGCAUUCAGUGACUUGCUUAAUUUCUUUUAUUAGUGAAUAUGUUCUAGAUUGUUAAAUUAUUUUGUAUAAACUUAGCAUCCAUAAAGCAUUUUAAGUUAAACCAUAUUCACUAGCAAGAGCAUUUAAAUUGUAGGGGGUAGAAGACAAUUCUGAGAUCAAUCAUGUUUCGAAUGUUUACAUUUUUGCAAUUGAUUUACAAUUGAGUUGUAAGGAAAAACCAAAAGAGUGACCCUUCCAUCCACAGAAGGUACACUUGAGAUGAGCACGAUGAUUUUUAGUAAUGUGAUUCGUCUUGUUGCACUUCCCACAUCGAGGUCCACCGUCUUCUGAUUCGGCUUCUCGGCUAGUGGUUUUCAUGGCGAAUUCCGCAACUUCUGGUUGGGUAGUAUUGUUUUUCCCACUGGAAACUUCAGCCUAUCUCUCAUGGCAGAGAACCAAUGAGUAGGCUUUGUUUACUGUGGGCAGUGGCUCAAGAGAAGAGUGUUGCUGCGAACGGUGGCGUAAGAAUCAUUCAACCCCAUGAGAAACUUCAUGGUCUUAUGUGUUUCAAUGUACGAAACAAUCUCCUUCUUUGUUUCACAACUACAUGCCAGAAUCGAACAUAGUACUCCUCGUUCAUCCUAGAGACUUUUUAGUUUGGUGAAGUAGGUACUUACUGUCAUUCUCUAUGUGAAAUAGUUGGACGAUGUUCAUAUGAGAAAAUCUUUUAUGUGCUUAAUCACAUCUUUUAAGUUGCCCAAACUCUCAAUUUCUUUGCGGCAGUGCGCAAUCGAACAACAUGCAGCCUUGCCCCCACAUUUCAAGGAAAUAUCUCUUUUUUUUUUUGUCGAAGGAAAUAUCAUAUCAAUUGGGCAAUUUCAUGGGUGGAGAAGCUCUUGAGUAUAUAGGUGCAAUCAGUGGCGGAUCUAAAGAGGGAUCUGGGAAGUCCCAGGACUCUUCGAAGAAUCUAAAUCGUGCUUUGAAAUUUUCUAAGGACCCCCCGUACUUGAAGAUGAUGGCCAGUGCAGCUGCAACGGCAUCGUCUUCUGUCUUCCUAGAGAAGACGAUCGCGCGAAGAAAUAUUUUUUUUCUAUUUUAAGACUUGGCCCAUAAUGUUGUUUGGUUUUGUUCGAUUUUUUCUAUUUGUUGUGGGCCUAAUGUUUUGCGUAGGCUUUUGGUGAGAUGGUUGGCGUGAUGCUCGUUUUCUUGUUUUCAGGACCCACUCUUUCUUUGUCUUGCUUUUUUGGGUCUUUAUUUUGUCAAGUUUCUUGGUAAUUAAUGAAUUUUACCUUUGUAUAAUAAUAAUAAUAAUAAUAAUAAAAUAAUAAAAUAAAAAAAACCCAAACCCCUAUCACGUCCCCAGCAGUCCCACCCCAUCCCUUCCUCAACUUGAUAUUAUAUUCUCCCUUAAAAAAAAACUUGAUAUUUAUAUUUAUUUUGUGCAUUUUGGUAAUGAUUUUUCUCAAUUAAGAGGGAUUAGCAAUCUUGCCAAAAAAAUGGUGGAAGAAAGGGCUGCACCAAAUAUUUGCAUAUGUAUAUUUGCUUAUUUAGUGGGCUUUGAUUUUAUCGAAUUGCAACUGUUUCAAUGAAGAUGACAUUUUUCGCUAUGAAUAUCAUUGAGGGUCUACUUCUCAACAAAAUGGGAGAUCAAUAGUUGCAUGUAGAGGACAUUUUUCACUAUAAUUUUUUUUUAUCUUUAUUAUUGGGACCCCCCGAGUCUAAAAUCUUGGAUCCGCCACUGAGUGCAACAGCCUGCUUGCAAAUGAAUAGGAUGAAGUUGUUGCCACCAAGGUAUAAAAUAUCGAUGAUAUCGGAAAUAUCAGUAGUCCAAAAACAUGAAAAUUUCGAUGGAAAUAUCAGGAUAUUAUCAAUAUCGAUAAAAAUUGAAUAAAAACCACGGAAAUUGUAAGAAAAACUUGGAAAUUUUUAUUAAAACUUUGCAAGAUGUUUAUGUAAUCAAUUAUUUAUUAGUUUAUCACAAAAAAAUUGGAAGGAAAUGCAUUGCAUGAUGGAUUUAACUGAUUUAAGUUGAUUAUAUAGCGAGCUGGCAAACAGUGUGAGUGUAGAAAAUAUGUAGUAAUUAAUGAAAGAAGUUUAAACACACCAUAAUCAUUUAUAUAUAAUGAAUUAGUACAAUAUUUUACACUUUAUACAUAGCAUGAUAAGAUACAUGAGUGACUUAGUACCACAUAGAGUUCCUAUGAAGUUCAAAAUUUUCACUAUCUUCAUCAUCUCUAUGUAGUAAGUGUAUUGUGAAGAGUAGUCAACAACCAUGGCAAUGACUUUCAAGAACCAAAACCCAAAAGUCAAUAGGAAACCGAAUACUUCAGUAUUUUUCGGGAUUUUAGGAUUACCAAACAAAUGGUAUUUGGAAACCAAUCCCAUAUAAAAAAUUUCGGUAUUUUUCAGGAUGGUUUUGGUUUGGAAUUUUUCGGUUUGGGUUUGGGACUUUUUCGGUUUGGUUUGGGAUUUUCGAGAAUUUUUUCCAGCCCUACCAUGUAAGUGACCAAAUAAAAAAUAGAAAAAUUAAAAACCACGUGACAUUGACUAAGUAAUUAAUUGACACAAUUUAAAAUAUAAUACCACAAAAAAUUUGGAAUAUGUGCAAAUUUGUUUCUUGUAAAAAGAAUUCAAAACAAAACCAUAUAUAUAAAUAUUUUAGCAUAUUAUCACAAAAACAUAAGUGAUAUGGUGGUUAAGGUGUUAAGGAGUCAAAUAGGAGGGGUUUCAAUCCCUCUAUGCGCAAAAGGGAGACUUUUCAGAAAUUUUUAAGUAUUUUUGGAUUUAAUAUCGCGAUAAUAUCGGUAUUAUCGCGAUAUAUUAACGAUAAUUAAUGGGAUAAGUCACGAAAUAUCGUCAUCUAAAAAAUCGAUUUCGCCAAUAUUUUCGAUAUUUUGGUCCUUGGUUGCCACUAUAGGUUGUAAAAGAGUUAAGGAUACUGAGAAAGAUUGUAAAAGAGUACUGCAUUCUCUUAUUUAUUUAUGUAACUGUGAAAAAUAUUGGUACACAUAACCACAAAUUAACUAUUUACCUGAUAUUUCUUUUCACUUGUAAGUGAGAGGUUUUAGGUCCGAUUUUCACUAAAGGCGAAUUUAAAUCAUAUUAUUACUAGCCUAUUGUGAGGCUUAGCACACUCCCAACAAACAGCCACCCUCUCUCUCAGUCUCUCUCGAAGCAACUGCUGCAAGCAUGCAACUCUCUCGAACUGAAGAACAAAACCUCCCUCCACCACACAAAUACGGCCAACCACCACCACACACAACCAUGAGCCACCAGGAUCCGGCAAUUCUCCAUUUCCCUCUCUCAGACUAUCUCUUUCUAGGAGUCGGCGUCUCUCUCGACGAUUUCUACAACAACGGCGGGCUAAGAACUCUCUGUCUCGCAUUUGAUUUUUCAUCAUUUACUGCCGCUUCUUAUUCUCUGAAACGGAAGAGACCCCGAUGAUUGAGAUCCCGAGCGCCAUGCAAGAAAUUAAAAGCGAGAAGCCCCGGUAAUCCUCUUUAUUUAGGGAUUUGGGAUUAAUUUUUUAUUUAGGAUGCAUGUUUAAUUAGGGACACCACUAGUUUUGAUCAGGCCUUGAAAGAAGUGUGAUUAUAGAGCAUGCAUAUUCACUUUCUACUUGUGCAAUCUGACUUUUAGAAAACACAUCUAUUUCGACACCUCUGCUUACGUUAGAAAGCGAGGUGGACUACUCUAAGGCGUGCAGUGGUAAAUUGCGUAUUGAUUUACUGCUAAAAAAAGGAGAGGAAAAUAAAUAAAAAUAGAAAAAACUAAUAAAUAUAUGCAAUACCUAACAAAGCACUUAAAGACUUUUGAAGUCGUGACCUAAAAGUAGGGAUGGGCACUUGAAACCGAAAAUCAAAACCAAAACACGAACCAAAUCGAACCGCACUAAACGGUUUGGUUCUGCGGUUUUCAUACGGUUGUGGUUUUGAAACCGAACCGCAAUGUAGGAAAUAGUUUGGUUUCGGUUUUGGCUUUUGAAAAUUGCACUGAAACCAAAACCGCACCUCAAUUAGAUCAUGUUUUAAUUGGUUGUUUGUUAGAAUCUAUACAUUUAGUAUGGAUACAACCACACUGUAAUGUCAUCCGUUUCCUAAUUUUUACCUUUGGUGCUUAUUUCGUUCUGAAUAAACCAUCGUACGUUCUCCAACACUAGGUAAAAAAAUAAAAUUUAAAAAAAAUUCCGUGUCAUAGUCACUGUUAUUUUGAUCUCUCCAGAUUUUGAAAGAUGGAAAAAGAAAUACUAUGUAAAUGAAUGGUGUACUUAGCCUUUUAUAUGACAUGGAACAAGAUAUAUUUGGAAGUUACACUAAACGUUUAAAGAAUUAAAGUAUGUAUACAUUGAAAAUUACAUUGUGAUAGGAUGAAAUAAGCACCUAUUUUUCGGUAAGAGUAGAUCCUUCACAUGAGACCGUCUUAUGCGUACGUAAGUGUAAAUUUUAAAAGGAAUUGUUAUUGGCAUUUCAAAAUUCUCAUUCUACACUCCAAACUUUUUAUAUUUAGACAGAAAAAUACACUUAUGAGGAGUGUCGAAUGAGAUUUUGGAGUGCCAAUAACACUUUCCAUUUUAAAUUGUAUAAUUUUUCUCAAAAACCGAACCGAAUCAAACGGUUUGGUUUCUUUCGGUUUUGGCUUCAAAACCGUACCGAACCGCACCGCGAAAAGUUAUGAUUUCGAUUAAGGCUUCACUCAAAACUACACCGAACUGCACCAUGCCCACCCUUACCUAAAAGCCUACUGGCAUGCACGGAACACACACGCACACACAAGACACACGUGUGUCACAGUAAGGGAAACCCUGGCAGCCAGCUCAUUAGACCAUCUCCAACUCUUGGGCUAAAAGCCAAAUUUUUUAGCUCAGAAACAGUUUUUCUACUCUAACCUUUCUGGCCUAGAAUUUUUGCCCAAGAUUAUUAAAGAAUGAACUUAGGCUAAUUUUUUUCUUAAAUUACUUAAAAAAAAGAUGUAAACUAUCGUAAAUUAAUUUUAUGAACAUUUUAAUCUAAAAAUAUUUAAAUUCCAAUAAAUAUUGAAAAAUCACUCAAUCGAUACAUGAAACACUAUGGAAAAAUAUGAAAAUCAUGAUAGAGAUGUAUAAAUACAAAAUACAUAAAACAUACAAGACAAAUAACACAUGUGAAGCACAUACAAAACACAUGUGAAGCACGUACACAUGUGAAGGACAUACAAAAUACAUAAAAACAAUUAGUUGCAAAAUAAUAUUAUGUACAUGACAAAUAAAAUAUUAAGAAAAAAACUCACAAUUUAUGUUGCGCUCUUUUCACUAGCCAUGUCAAUCACAGUUCUCUCAAACUUCCCUGCCAUAAAGUGCAUGCUUUGUUGAUAGUCUUCCACCAAUCAUAAACACCACCAUCGUCUCUCCCGCCGCAAUUGCAGUUUUCAUGAAACUUUUCAAUGAUUUUAUCCCACAAAACCUUUUUAUUUUGAUUCGUGCCAACUGCACCAUCUUUGCUAACAGAAACUCAUGCCAAGCAUAAAGCAACAUCUUCCUCACAGGUCCAAUUACGACCUCUAAUAUGCUUUCUUGCCAUUUUGAAUAAUUUGGAAAUAAGAAAUGGUAGAAAGAAAAAUUGGAAGAAUUGUAGGAGAAAAUUGAGUUUUGUAUUGAUGUUUGAACAAAUACAUCGUUAUUUAUAGAGUUUUUGGGUGAAUUUUGAGUUAAAUAUAUAUUUUUUAAUUAUUUUAGCCAUUGGAUUUAAAUUUGGACGGUUAGAUCUUUUUUUACCGUUAGAUUUGAUUAUAUUCGAUCUUAGCCGUUGGAUUCAAUGUAUUUUAAAAUUACAUAUAAAAAAAACAAAAUUUGAAUUUGGACCGUUGGAUCAAUCAACGGUCUGUAAAGCCCAGUCGUAGGAUACAGAAAAGAGCCGUUGGGCUCUGGUUGGUGGUCGACAGCGGCCCUGACAGUGGGCCCCCUGUCGGGCGCUGAAGCCAAACUGUCAGGGCGACUGCACAAGUGAACGGGCCAAGACUAGGUUCCCUUUUAGUUAGUCCACACGUUUGUGGGCUAUUUCUUGGGGGGUAUUUGGCCUUGUUUUGGCAUUUGGCUUUUAGCCCAAAGAUUUGGCUUGGGUUGGGUUGGGUUGAGUUUUUUUUGGGGGGGGGGGAGGGGAAUAAGUGGGGUAAUUUGGCAAAUAGCCCAAGGUUGGGUGUGGUUUUAUAAAAGCCAAUUUUCAGCCCCCACUUGUCAUUUCUGCUCCCUUAAACCCUAGGUGCCGUUGAGAACUCCCUGGAAUCUCGCCUUCACUUUCCACUUGAAGAGCCUCUCACUCUCUCUUACUUCACUUCUCAGCCAACCUCGAGAACCACACCCCAAGCUUUACCUGAAUCGGUUGCCAUAUCUCUGCCAGAGCUCAGACUCAAGCUUAGCCUUUCUCUCUCAUGACGGUUUUUCAACAAAUCCGAGUUCCAAUCAUCAUUAAAAAUCUUUCAAAUCAGAGCUCCAGUCAUCAUUGAAAGGUAACAAUUCUCACUCUCUUCCGUCCCUUUCGUGACUGCUUUUAGAUUAAACGAAAAAAGAUGAGAACUAUCUCACGCUUGUGUUCUGGUUAUGUGCAUGGAACAGGUUCCAGAAGAUCAAGUGUUGGAAGGUUGAAAUCCAAGUGUUUAUGGUGUUACGAAAUUAUAGCCUUCAACACAUCCAUUAUAGCUGCCCGAUGCACUUGCACCGUAACUUUGCUGUCACACACGCAUUGGACCACUGUUGGCAUUAAUGUUGUAGGGCAUUUCAGGAGACUGCUCCUAUGUAAGAACUUGUAUGGUUUCCCCUCUAGUCGAACACUAUUCCAUGAAUACGACUGACUGUCAUCCAUGAUUGAUUUCUUAUGGGCAAACAAAUAGAAAUUUGGAAUCUAGUGAAGUGAUAGCCAACACAACUUCGUCAACUCUCUUCCAAAAGCACGGAAGUCUAGGGAAUCUAGUGAAGUGCUUCCAAAUGCAUAGAAUCUAGUGAAGUGUUUUUGGAAGCACUUCACUAGAUUCCAAAUUUCUAUUUGUUUGCCCACAAGAAAUCAGUCAUGGAUAACAGUCAGUCGUAUUCGUGGAAUAGUGUUCAACUAGAGGGGGAAACCAUACAAGUUCUUACACAAGUGCAGUCUCUUGCAAUUCCCUACAACAUCAAUGCCAACAUAAAUGUUCGGGUGGUCCAGCACGGGUGUGACGACAAAGUUCUAGUGCAAGUGCACCCGGCAGCUACAGUGGAUGUGUUAAAGGCAUGGUUUUAAAUAUCGAUAAUAUCGGCGAUAUUUCGCCGAUAUUAUCGUUUUUCAGAGGCUUCGAUAUUUUUUCACAUAUCCGUCUCAUUAUCGUCAAAAUAUCGCGAUAUUAUCGAUAAUAUCGCGAUAUUUUCGAUAUUAUCGAAAAAGUCGUCGUGGAUCCGUCGUCGGAAAGGCAGCCGAGGCUGCGUCGUCCCCCUAGCUGCCCAGAUCUCUCUGCAAUCCAUGCUCAAACCUAAGAUCUGCGCCUCAACGACACCGAUUCCCCCGCCGUUGUCGAAGUCGCGGCGAAAGAUCCACAACUCCAGAACGGAUCGAGCUCGCAGUUGUAGAUCCACAACUCGUGGUCUGUCCCCACGGCGAGGCAGGCGUGGUCUUGGGUUGAAGCAGACGGGGAACAGAGACGGAGGCGAGCGCGGCGCCGGCAGGGCAGGCUCCGGGGGGAGGAGGAGAAUGGGUGGUUGUUGUGGAGGUUGAGGUUGGGGUUUGGGGGCGAUUGGGGGUCGUCGUUGGAGUCAACGACAGAGGUGGGGUUGUUAUCGGUGGGAUCGGUGAGCAAGGCGGAGAAGGAUCAAGAGAACUCAGAGUUCCUGGGUUCGCCGACGAGGCGGAAUACGCGGACCAGGAGGAAGGCGAGGGAGGAGGAGAAUGCCAUGUGGAAGAAGGAUCGAGAAAGGUCUCUGUGCGUGUGUAUGGGAGAAGGGAGAAGAGAGAAGGAUCGAGAAUUCGAGAGAUCUGUCGAUCUGUGUGUGUGUUUGUGGGAGAAGGGAGAGGGAGAGGGAGAAGAGAGAAGGUUCCAGAUAUAAGUCGUGUGUGCGUGUGUGGUGUGCGUGUGUGGUGGCGUGUGUGAUCUUGUGUGUGCGUGUGUGUGUCGGUGGCGUGUGUGUGUAGGUGGUGUGUGACGUUGUGAGAAAAGAAAAGCAUGGUAAAUAAUUCAACUUUUACAUCUUUUAGGAAUGGUACAAUGUAUAAAGUGUAAAAUAUUGUACUAAUUUAAUAUAUAUAAAUGAUUAUGGUGUGUUUAAAUUUCUUUCAUUAAUUACUAUAUAUUUUUUACACUCAUAAUGUUUGUCAGCUCGCUAUAUAAUCAACUUGAUAAUGUUAAAUCCAUCAUGCAAUGCAUUUCCUUCCAAUUUUUUAUGAUAAACUAAUAGAUAAUUGACUAAAUAAACAUCUUGCAAAGUUUCAAUAAAAAUUUCCAAGUUUUUCUUACAAUUUCCGUGGUUUCCAUGUAAUUUUUAUCGAUAUCGAUAUUAUCCCGAUAUUUGCAUUGAUAUUUCCGUGUUUUCGGACUACCGAUAUUUCCGAUAUUACCGAUAUUUUCUUCCUUGGUUAAAGGCUAUAAUUUCAGAACACCAGAGACACUUGGAUUUUAACCUUCCAGCACCUAUCUUUUUGGAACCUGUUCCAUGAACAGAAAAGCAUUGGAUUGUUGUUCCAACUCAGUAACAUAAACUCUAAUGAAAAUUUAUGUCUACAGAACCUUAAACCUCUUUUGGAAGUGCUGCAAAUGUUCUUAGUGAAAAGUUUUUGUGAACAAAUCUUUAGCAAAUAUGCAAGGGAAAGUACUUUUAGAAUACAAAAAUAUUUUCUCUAAAAGUACUUUUAAUCUAUUUAAAACGCUUUCAAACAAGUUCAGAAAUGUUCAUGUUUGUUGUAUCUCUAAACUAUCCUAAUACAAUUGUAGGCAAUUGCAGCACAGCUAGACGGCCAUAUUUUCUUCCGCGUAAGUGUUACUAUUCCCCUUUUGUGAUUAGAUGAUUUUAUUAAUUGUACGUUUGUUUGUUAGGUUUUUCACCUUUAUGUGAGGAGACAGAGAUUUUUCAAUGAUUUUGGAACACGACUUGUUAUAGAAGUGUCGUAUACAAGUAGUUGGAUAUUUGAAAACAAAUCCAACACUUGUGUUAAUGACACUUCAUACAAAAACCGUAUUUUCAAAGUACUAAAAAAAUUUCUCGUAAGUGGGGAAUGAUGAAAUUAAUAAAUUUUAUUUUGCUCGUAAAUGAACAGGAAGAUUAUAUCAUUGCUUUAGGUCCAUUGCGUUGGUUGAAAUUAGUAAAGAAAAUUGCGGGAGAUUGCUUUCUUCACUAAGUGCGUCCGACUUGCAUUAUCAACACGAUGAAACGGGACGCUCGAGUGAUGCAGAGUUUUAAGCAUUUGCAUUUAUGAAGGAUUUCAUAUAUAUAUAUAUAUAUAUAUCAUUGUGAAACCCUAAUACCAAUUCACAUGAAGAAUAUUAGGGUUCCAACUUAAGCAUUUGUGUUUAUGUUUUUAGCUUAACUACAUUGUUAGUAGUAUCGAUUUUCUUUAAGAAAAUUUCAUUCCAAAGCACUUCAGCCACAAUAAAAAGUUUGUCCAAUUGGCGAGAAAGUUUGUCUGAAUAAAUCCAAACUUUCCCAAAAUUCUAUAUUGAAAAUACAAAGUAAAGUAUCAAAACUCUACCAAAAUAAUUACCAAAACAUAUUAAGAAUAAGAUAAAAUAUAUAAUAUGAAUUUGACACAUCAAAAUACCCCCAAACUUAACUUUUUGCUUAUCCUCAAGCAAAAUAGAACUAAAAAACAAAAAUAAAAGCUAACGAACUAAGGACUUAAACAAAACUAAACUAAGACAAAAUUUUCACCUCUAAGUUGCAAUCCAUAGAAAAUGUUAAAAAUCAGAACAUCUUUUCAAAAGUUCCAACCAAUCCCACCAUAGAGUCUAAGUUAUUUAGAAUCAAUUAGAAAAGAAUUCACAAACUUCCUUUGGUAUAAAGUGAACCAACAUAGUUAAGGAGACUCGACUAAAACCCUUAUCUCUUGUCCUUUUAUUCAACACUUCACACAAACUCACUUGAGACAAGUAUUAUAUAUUUAUAUUUUUUUUUUCUUCUUUUCAAUUUUUGUUUUUUAGUAACAAUAGUGGUCGUGCAAUGCCAGUUUACUUAAACUUUCGAUCCAACCCAUGUAGCUAGCUUUAAGUCAAUAACUCCUAAACCACUAGGGCUUUAGGGCACUAGGUGUAAAACACUCCUAAGGACUUACUAACUCAAGCUGAAAAGGCUACGAAACCAACUAACCACCUUACCCCAUGCCAAAACUUUACCGUUUGACGCGAGAAUCACUACUGUUUAGGCAUGACUAACCCGGUUACAAAGCAAAGCCUUGGUUGGAACAAUUAUUACUUUAUUCAUAACAAGAACUAAACUUUACUUUACUAAGAUUAAAAAUUAAAGUUUAACAUGGACUAAAAGUAAGUGUUUCAAUCUCACUCCCCACAAACCAUGUUGAUGUGAAUGUGCAAAUUGUCAAAGCAUAACUCAUAAAUUAGUGUCUAAGUAACGAUAAAUAGAAAAGACCAUUGUGGGAUUAACCUUUACCAUGUCCAUUUGUUUUCUUGAAAUAAUCUAUGGAUAUUAACUUAAAAAGAAUAAAAAAAUUUAUUUGACUUGAAAAUUAAAAAAAAUUCUAAAAAUUCUAAAUUCCAAAACUUAUUUCAUACUUUGUCCUCAAGGUGUAGAAAAAUAGUAAAUAAAAUAAAAUAAGAAACAAAACAAAAGAAUAAAUGAUAAAUAAAACAAAAACAAAUAUAAAAGAAAAUGGACACACCUGGGCUCAUUUGAGAAGUCCUCAAGGUAUGACAACCCGUGGGCCUUCGAAAGAUCAAAACGUGCUGAUAGUGGAAUGCCCCCAUGUUUCUGAUGCCCCAUUUCACAACCCUAAGGGAGCAUUUUUUCUCACUAACCUAAAUUUUGUUGUAUGUUUAUCAUACAUCUAAUUAUUUAUCAUGUGUCAUUUUACUUAAUUUUGAGUAAUUUUUUUUCAAAAUUAAAAAAUUAACAUUUAAUGUGAAAAUUCACAAAGAUUAAAUGAAAUGACACGUGAUAAAUAAUUAGGUAUAUAAUGAGCAUACGUCAAAGUUUAGGGUUGAGGAGCAUUUUAUUUGACGAGCAUACGCCAAAAUUUAGGAUGAUGAGCAAAAAUGCUCCCCAACCCUAAAGCUGCCCCUUGUGCUCAAACGGCUCUCCUCCCCUUGAAUUCAAAACAGCUCAAAAAAUCAGACAGAAAAUGCACACGAUUGACACACAUGUCGUGCAUCCGUCCGUGUAUGGGUCUCCUUAGGGUUCCAAACAGAAAAAUACUGUUCAUUAACAGUACACGAAAUGCCCCUGGAGUGAGGGAUGAGAGAGAUUGACAGUGGAAAAAUCUCUCCUACAGCCGGAUCUCUGGAAUUUUCCAUGGUUUCUAUCCCCCACUAAUUCCUCUCCCCCUCCUUCCCGCGCCUAAUUCACUCAGCCCUCACCUCUCUCUACCCCACUCAGACUCCCCCAUCUCCCAACACUGUCAAUCUCUCUCAUCCCUCACUACUCUGCCUCUACCAUCUGUCUCAUUCUCCCUCUCCGCAAAACCGAGAACCACCAUCACAUCAUCUCCAAACACCACCCAAACAAAAUAACGUCCCUGGAGCUUUUGCGCUGAUUCCAGUUUUUUUAGCGGUUUCCAAGAAACGCAGUCUGCGAUGCCUGUUCCGUCCUGAUUUGAGGAAGAUUUCUCUAGCGACUGUAAUUUCAUGGUAAGUUGGCUUAAAACAGUUCCAAAAUUUGGGAUUGUUUGGGAUAUUUUUAGGGUUUUCCGGUUCUUGAAGAAAAAUCAUGGUUAAGAGUAAAUUAAUUACAUUUUAAUUUUCAUUUAAUUCAGGUAACCGUCUUCAGUUGGUUGUUUUGAACGCUGGAACCAGUGAUCUUUGAAAACGGUUGGUUCUUGAAUAAUUUUAUUUAUAAUUUAUAUCCUUUUGUUGUUUGAAUGGACUUCCUGUAAUCUAAAUGAAGCUACAUAUCUGUUUUUGUAUUCUGUAUUUGCUUUGUCAAAUUACUUCUUUUUUGUUGAAAAAUGUUAUUUGGUUUUGCAGAUCAAAGGGGUUAAUGGUUAUGUGUUCUUCUUGAUAAUUGUAUGUGUUUAUGCCCUCAUGAUAUUGUGAGAUAUCAUGGGAUGUUUGUGUCUUGAAGCACUUUUCAUUGUUCAUGGUAGUCUAGUAAAAGCUAAAAUGUCUCUCAUUCCUCGCAGAGCUGAAUGUGUUUUAGAAACCUAGCGCUUUCUCACAUGAAUUUUAAAAAGGAACUUUAACGAAAAGCACCCGGUACUGUUCAUUUUAACGAAAAAUCAUAUUUUUACACUAAAAAGUCAAUCCUGGUACUAUUUACUUUACCCUUUAUUUUGUUCUUAUCAUUAAAAUUCAAAGUUUUUUCAUUAGUUUUCAUUUUUAAAAAUUGUUUUCGUUUCUCCUUCUUUAAAAAUUGCAGAUUUAAUUAACUUUUUAAAUUAAAUUCGUUUUUCUUAAUUUAAGUCUUUAAAUCACCAUUUUCUAAUAUUUUGUUCUUAACAAUUAGUUGAGUUUUGGUUUACAUAAAUUUAUUUAAAUUAAUUUCUGUGGUGAACGACUUUGCUUAACUCCGCCGUGUAAGUUUAUCUUACAUUGCCGGUCCCAAGCCCGGAUAAAGGAGGAGGGGGAGGGCGUCAGGUAGUCGACAGCCGGCACUCCAUGAUCACGUCGAAUCCUUAUGAAAAUGAAUCCAGAACGAAAUCGCGCUAAAGCUAGGGCGUCACCCGUAAGUGGCGCGUUGUGUGGCCUGAGCACAGUGAUAAGUGAGCAAGGGUCGCUGUAUCUCCAUCGGCACCCGGAUACAGUGUUAAAUGAGCAAGGGGGCUAUAGAAACUUCUUUUCGAACGACUCCACUCAAAGUUGUUUGGGAGCAUAUGCUCCUAUCAACUUUACAGGGGACACACAAAAGAAGUACUUUGAUCCUAUUAGACGGGGAAGGGUGAAGAAGCUAGGACAGAAGGGUAGAGUUCAAGAGAGCAAAAUGCGUUUAGGAACGUGGAAUAUAUAGGAACCUUGACGGGAAAAUCUAUGGAAGUAGUAGAAGUUAUGGUGAGGAGAAGGAUAAAUAUUUAUGUGCCUACAAGAAACUAAGUGGGUUGGUCGUAAGGCAAAGGAUCUAGAAAACUCAGGGUUUAAACUAUGGUAUUCGGGCACAAAUAGAACGAGAAACGGUGUUGGCAUCAUCGUGGACAAGACCUUGACACAAGAUGUUGUAGAUGUCAAGAGGGUAGGAGAUAGAAUCAUGGCAAUCAAGAUUGUAAUAGGACAAGAACUUAUCAAUGUGAUUAGUGCGUACGCACCUCAAGUAGGGUUGGAUACGAGUUCGAAAGAGAAAUUUUGGGAAGACCUUGGAGACUUGGUGCAAGGAAUUGCUCAGACGGAGAAGUUAUUUAUAGGAGGAGAUUUUAAUGGACACGUGGGCAGGGAGACAGGCAACUAUGGAGGUUUUCAUGGUGGCCAUGGUUUUGGGGAGAGAAACGAGGAUGGGGAAGCUAUCUUGGAUUUUGCAAUGGCAUAUGAUCUCUUCUUAGCCAACACCUUCUUUAAGAAGAGAGAAGAACAUGUGAUCACCUACAAGAGUGGGUCGUCAAAAACACAAAUAGAUUUUCUUCUAAUGAGGAAAGGGGAUCGUAUAACUUGUAAGGAUUGCAAAGUUAUACCAGGAGAGAGCGUGACUAAUCAACAUCGCUUGUUGGUGAUGGAUGUACAUAUCAAAAGAGUGAGAAAAAAGAACAAGACUUGGAAGUGCCCAAGGACUAGAUGGUGGAAUCUAAAAGAAGAAAAACAAGCCAUUUUCAAAGAGAAAGUAAUCACCCAGUGUGUGUGGGAUAGAGAGGGGGAAGCUAACCAAAUGUGGGAUUCCAUGGCUAGUUGUAUCCGAAAAGUAGCAAAAGAGGUAUUAGGAGAGUCCAAGGGCUUUGCCCCACACCAAAAGGAAUCUUGGUGGUGGAAUGAGGAGGUACAAGCAAAGGUGAAGGCUAAGAAGGAAUGUUGUAAAGCCUUAUAUAAGCAUAGGACCGAUGAAAAUGGUGAAAGGUAUAGAAAAGCGAAGCAAGAGGCGAAGAAAGUUGUGAGAGAAGCUAAGUUAGCGGCUUAUGACGAUAUGUAUAAGCGACUAGAUACCAAAGAAGGAGAGUUGGAUAUCUAUAAACUAGCUAGAGCAAGGGAAAAGAAGACAAAGGACCUAAACCAAGUGAGGUGCAUCAAGGAUGAGGAUGGAAAGGUUCUUGCUACAGAGAACGCGGUUAAAGACAGAUGGAAAGGUUAUUUCAUAAUCUUUUCAAUGAAGGACAUGAAAGGAGUGAUUCUUUAGGGGAGUUGAGUAACUCAGAAGAGUGUAGAAACUACUCUUUUUAUCGUAGAAUCCGAAAGGAAGAAGUGGGUGUAGCUUUGAAGAAGAUGAAGCAUAGAAAAGCAGUAGGCCCAGACGAUAUACCAAUCGAAGUGUGGAAAGUUUUGGGAGAGAUAGGUAUAACAUGGCUCACUGACCUUUUCAAUAGGAUUUUGAAAACGAAGAAGAUGCCGAAUGAGUGGCGAAUGAGCACUUUGGUGCCUAUCUACAAGAAUAAGGGCGAUGUACAAAAUUGCAUGAACUAUAGGGGAAUUAAGCUAAUGAGUCAUACAAUGAAGCUCUGGGAGAGAGUCAUUGAGCAUAGAUUGAGGCAAGAGACACGGGUUUCGGACAACCAAUUCGGGUUCAUGCCAGGGCGCUCAACCAUGGAGGCAAUCUAUCUCUUACGAAGAUUGAUGGAAAAAUAUAGAGAUGGGAAAAAGGAUUUACACAUGGUCUUUAUAGAUUUGGAAAAAGCGUAUGAUAAGGUCCCAAGAGACAUUCUUUGGAGGAUUUUAGAGAAGAAAGGAGUACGAGUAGCAUAUAUCCAAGCUAUACAGGAUAUGUAUGAAGGAGCAAAGACUGCCGUAAGAACUCAUGAAGGACAAACCGAAAGCUUUCCCAUAACUGUAGGAUUACAUCAAGGCUCAUCCUUAAGUCCUUACCUUUUUGCGUUGGUAAUGGAUGAGUUAACAGGACAUAUUCAAGGUGAUAUUCCUUGGUGUAUGCUUUUCGCAGACGAUAUAGUGUUGAUAGAUGAAACUCAGGAAGGGGUAAAUGCAAAGCUUAACCUUUGGAGAGAAGUGUUGGAAUCUAAAGGUCUUCGCCUAAGCCGAUCAAAGACAGAAUAUAUGGAGUGCAAGUUCAGUGCAAAUGGAGGCCAAAACGAGUUAGGGGUGAGGAUCGGAGAUCAAGAAAUACCAAAGAGCGACCGUUUUCGUUACCUAGGAUCUAUCUUGCAAAAGAACGGAGAAUUAGAUGGAGAUCUCAACCAUAGAAUACAAGCUGGAUGGAUGAAGUGGAAGAGUGCAUCCGGCGUGUUGUGUGACCGCCGUAUGCCACUGAAGCUCAAGGGAAAAUUUUAUAGGACGGCAAUAAGGCCGGCGAUGCUGUAUGGCACAGAAUGUUGGGCGGUGAAGCAUCAACACGUACACAAAAUGGGUGUAGCAGGAGAUGAGGAUGCUUCGUUGGAUGUGUGGGCACACGAGAAAGGAUAAGAUUAGGAAUGAGGAUAUCCGGGGUAAAGUAGGAGUAGCCGAAAUUGAAGGAAAGAUGAGAGAAAAUCGGUUACGGUGGUUUGGACAUGUGCAAAGAAGGCCUACUGACGCUCCGAUUAGAAGAUGCGACUAUGGGACAGAGGGUUCAGGGCCGAAGGGGCAGAGAAAGACCUAGGAAAACUUUGGAAGAGACCCUAAGAAAAGACUUAGAGUACUUGGAUCUAACGGAGGACAUGACACAGGACAGAACACAAUGGCGUUCUAAGAUUCAUAUAGCCGAUCCCACUCAGUGACUUGGAUUUUCCAAGUCUCCAACCGAGAAGUUUUCCUCACUCGGGAAAUUAAGGGAACACUACCUCAACCUAUAUGCUCCACUCACAAAGCUUCAACAUACAAGCUUCAACAAAAGAAAAUUCAAAGAACUUAGCGAAGAAGGCUUUGGUGUAUUUAACACAAUACGUUGAAAUGAAGGAAAGCUUAUUUAUUGAUAUCCCCGAUAAGUUACAAAUAUGUACAUAUACUUGAGUCAAAAUAAACAAACAAGAGGGAGCCUUCACAAAGGUUGCUUAGGAGAAGUCUCAGCAGUCGGUAGAGCCCCAGAAAGAGAAGGCACCGGAGGGGGAUCAUUCGGAGCCUCAGUACUGGACAGAACCCCUAGAAGGAGGAGGCAUCAGAGGUUGAUCAUUUGGAGCUUCAUUACGCGGUACAGCCCCAGAAGACGAAGGCAAUAAAUGCCUUUGGAACAAACCCACAAAUCUCUGAUGAUCAAGUAAAACCUGACCAUCAGAUUCCUUCAUCUGGUCAAGCUUCCUCUUCAUGUUUGUAGCAUAGUCAUGUGCGAGCCGGUGCAACUGUUUAUUCUCAUGCUUGAGCCCUCUAAUCUCCUGUUUGAGACUCAUCACUUCAGCCGCCAAUGAUUCAACUUGGCGGGUUCGAGCAAAUAGGCGUUGGGCCAUAUUAGACACAGAACCUGCACACUGAACACUGAGAGCCAGAGAAUCCUUAACAGCCAACUCAUCAGACCGUUUGGAAAGUAGUCUGUUAUCUUUGGGAGUGAGAAGGUUCCUGGCCACUACCGCAGCGGUCAUAUCAUUCUUCAUCACGGAAUCCCCAACGGUAAGAGGACCAGUAGGGGAGACGAAGGAUGGGCGCCAUAUGUUGUCUGGAGAAGGCGGGGCUGCCUCUUCAACAAGGUUCAAGUCAAAACGACGGUCGGAGGGGCCAGACAUUUUCAAAGGUGUUGAAGAGAGAAGAGGUCGGACAAAUCAAGAUCUUAGAAGUGCAAGAAUGGAGCUUCUACUGGUGGAUAUUCAAGUGUGCUUUGGAACUUAAUGUCAGCCCCUAUAAAAAUCUGCACUCGACGAAGCUUCAGAAAUCGAAGAGGCGCCUGCUCAGAAAUCGAAGAGGCGUUUGCUUUCUCAAAAGCUGGGCUGCUCAGAGACCACGAGGGUCGAUCUCAGAAAUCGAAGAGGCGUUUGCUUUCUCAAAAGCUGGGCUGCUCAAAGACCACGAAGGCCGAUCUCAGAAAUCGAAGAGGCUUGCUUUCUCAAAAGCUGGGCUGCUCAGAGACCACGAGGGCCGAUCUCAGAAAUCGAAGAGGCACCUACUUUUUCCAGCCUUGUCAGCACCUGUCACACGCACACUCAGCUUUGCGGAAAUUAUGGGCAUUCUGUCGAAGAUUUCUGGCGAAGUAGAAAGCACAUGAAUCGUACUGUUCAAUCACCCACUUCCCACACGCAACAGUAGCUCAUGGGUACCACAGAUAACUUUGCCAAAGUUCUCUGACAAAGUUGAGACACGUGAAGCUUGCAGCUCCCACUACAUCGCUCUGACCAAGAAGGGUAAAAGAAUAGCAAAGAAACAACACUAACAAAGUUUAGACACAUAAAUUUUGAAGGUCUAGCUACCAUAUUAUUACCCACAAGGGUAAAGGAACAGUACCACUGCUGGAUAAUUGGAAAGUCCCGGUGUGUCAACCUCUGUGCUUCGUGGCAAGGUAGACUAGCAAACAUGCCCAACCUUUACUCACAUUCGAGAAAACACUCCCAACAAGAUUGCUUGCUCCAAAAUCGAAGAGGCACCGCCCUCCGAAUCUCGAGAGCCAGACUCCCAACAUGAUUACUUUCUCAAAAAUCGAAGAGAGGGUAAAGGAACAGUACCACUGCUGGAUAAUUGGAAAGUCCCUGUGUGUCAACCUCUGUGCUUCGUGGCAAGGUAGACUAGCAAACAUGCCCAACCUUUACUCACAUUCGAGAAAAACACUCCCCAACAAGAUUGCUUGCUCCAAAAUCGAAGAGGCACCGCCCUCCGAAUCUCGAGAGCCAGACUCCCAACAUGAUUACUUUCUCAAAAAUCGAAGAGAGGGUAAAGGAACAGUACCACUGCUGGAUAAUUGGAAAGUCCCUGUGUGUCAACCUCUGUGCUUCGUGGCAAGGUAGACUAGCAAACAUGCCCAACCUUUACUCACAUUCGAGAAAACACUCCCAACAAGAUUGCUUGCUCCAAAAUCGAAGAGGCACCGCCCUCCGAAUCUCGAGAGCCAGACUCCCAACAUGAUUACUUUCUCAAAAAUCGAAGAGACAUCCGCUCUCCGAAUCUCGAGAGCCAGACCCCCAGCAGGAUUGCUUUCUCAAAAAUCGAAGAGGCAUCGUUUCUCCGAAUCUUCGAAGAGCCAGGAUCUCCUUGGAUAAAGCUUGUCUGUAAUCUUCACACGCAACAUCAGCUUUCCAGAUACCACAGACCACUUUUUCAAAGUGCUCUGACAGAGUUAAAACAUGUGAAGCUGGCAGCUCCCACUACCGUGCUAUGACCAAGCAGGGUAAAGGAAUAACAUUAUUACUUGAUGUUAGGGAGACUCCUAUAUAUGUCGACCUCCAUCCCUAACGGACAGGCAGACCUGCAAAAAUGCUCAACCCUUCCUCUUAUCUGAGAGGGCACUCCCAACGAAGCCUUUCGAAAUAUUCAGCUUUCUUUCCCCCCGAUAAUACCUCUGUAAACAAGCUAUACUAGAGCAAGAAUAUCUCAUAUCAUCAGGGUUAAAAGCAAGAGUAUCCCAUAUCAUGCUUUUUCCCUGUCUUUUCCUUUGGCCUUGUUCUUACCUGCAAGACAAGGAGAAAGAGAGCAAUCAGUCAGCACUUGGAAUCAAGCUUCCAGCCAGGAACUGACUGCCUGGAACCCCUUACCUGAUUACUUACCUGGCAUUGCUCUCGAGUACUCAUCUUCAACAUCUUAUGCUUCCAGGGAAGAUACCGCAUCUGCCUGAGGAACAGAUAGGGCAAGUGAGAAGGAUACAAGGAAGCAUGUGGAGACAAGCGUAACAGCACACGUGCCGAUACAUCCACUACUCUGUCAAAAGCAAAAGUAUCCCAUAUCAGCAGGGUCGAACGUACUCUAGAUUUGAUGGACUUGUUUUGACCCUCAAAUUCUUCAGUCGGCCUUAUACUCUGGAGGAAACCAGAAAACCCUCCAGCCCAGUUCAAGAAUAAGCCUGUGGAAAGUUACUUCUUCAAAAGCAAAAGUAUCCCAUAUCAUCUCUUCUCAUUUUUCUUCUCUUUAUCCUUCAUGCUGCCUGCAAGAUAGGGAGAAUGUGAACAAUCAGCCGGAGCUCUGAUUGCUUACCUUGUCUGUCACCUCUUUCAGCAGAUCCCCUAGCUCGGCGACUUGGGGGACUCCUACUACAUGGUUUGUAUCGCGCUUGACCAAGCCUGAAACUACAAGUAAGCUUCAAGUGAAAUUGAUACAUUACCUUGUGCAUCUCCACCAGUUACAGAUACCACCCCUGGAUGGAGGAAGAGUACUUCCAGAGAAGAUGCCUACCUAUGAGACAGAUAAGGCAAGUCAAGACGAUACCACACUCCGGUACUUAGAAGUUUCGUGGCUUACGAGAUCAUUCUCCCACAAUAUUUCCUAAUGUCAUUUGUACUAAAUCAUUCACUUGUACUCACUAAAGGAGAGCUUGAACCUAUGUACUUGUGUAAACCCUUCACAAUUAAUGAGAACUCCUCUAUUCCGUGGACGUAGCCAAUCUGGGUGAACCACGUACAUCUUGUGUUUGCUUUCCUAUCUCUAUCCAUUUAUAUACUUAUCCACACUAAUGACCGGAGCAAUCUAGCGAAGAUCACAAAAAGUGACCGUUUUCGCUACCUAGGAUCUAUCUUGCAAGAGAACGGAGAAUUAGAUGGAGAUCUCAACCAUAGAAUACAAGCUGGAUGGAUGAAGUGUAAGAGUGCAUCCGGCGUGUUGUGUGACCGUCGUAGGCCACUGAAGCUCAAGGGAAAAUUUUAUAGGACGGCAAUAAGGCCAGCGAUGUUGUAUGGCACAGAAUGUUGGGCGGUGAAGCAUCAACACGUACACAAAAUGGGUGUAGCGGAGAUGAGGAUGCUUCGUGGGAUGUAUGGGCACACGAGAAAGGAUAAGAUUGGGAAUGAGGAUAUCCGAGGUAAAGUAGGAGUAGCCAAAAUUGAAGGAAAUAUAAGAGAAAAUCGGUUCCGGUGGUUUGGACAUGUGCAAAGAAGGCCUACUGACGCUCCGGUUCGAAAAUGUGACUACGGGACAGAGGUUCGGGGCCGAAGGAGUAGAGGAAGACCUAGGAAAACUUUGGAAGAGACCCUAAGAAAAGACUUGAGUACUUGGAUCUAACGGAGGACAUGACACAAAUGAGCGCAAUGGCGUUCUAGGAUUCAUAUAGCCGACCCCACUUAGUGGGAAAAGGCUUUGUUGUUGUUGUUGUUGUUGUUGGUGAACGACUUUGCUUGAGCCAAUUAUACUACGAUAAUCUUGUUUCUCUAACAAGUAUUUUAGUUGUUUUUAACCUUUUCCAGGUGUAAAAAUAUCUGUCACCCCCUCAACAUGGAUGCCUCUAAUAUGGCUAAUCAGUCAGACCGACAUCCAACCGAUCGGGUCGGUGUCGGGUCGGUGACCAGAUCGAGCUAGCAGAUCAGACCGACAUCCAAGAAGCUGCAAAAUUAGAAGGCAACAAUAUUACAGUUUUAACAAGUAGCAUGGAUCCUGAUGCUUUCAACGCUGCAAAACAAGGCAAUCUCGAUGUCCUUAAGGAACAUGGCGAGAAUCUGGACAAAAUAUUGACUGCAACCAAGAACACAGUCCUUCAUAUCUAUACAACAUGCUAUAGGCACCCAACGUAUGAAGGAUCUGGCGAUGAGAUACUUGAGUCAAUGAACACUGUGAACGGUAUCCUUAAAAUGUGUCCAGUAUUACUAUGACAGCAGAACGAGAGUGGUGAUACUGCCCUACACAUUGCGGCAAGAUAUGGGCGUGCUGGUAUAGUUAUAGCUCUCAUCCAAGCUGCAAAAACUUAUUAUCCAGGCAACCUCGAGCAAGGCUGUGCGAUUGCAUCAGAAGAUGCCCUCUCGUAGGAGCAAAAGCUCAUCAGGAAAACCAACAAGAAGAAUGACACAGCACUACACAAAGUUGUUCGCGCUUCACCACACCAAAGUAAUUAAAGCGGACAACUUCGUGCAGUGUUGUGUCCUUCUUGUUGUUGGUUUUCCUGAUGAGCUUUUGCUCCUGCGAAGGGGCAUCUUCUGAUGUGAUCGCACAGCCUUGAUCAAGGUUGCCUGGAUAAUAAGUUUUUGUAGCUUGGAUGAGAGCUAUAACUAUACCAGCACGCCCAUAUCUUGCCGCGAUGUGUAGAGCAGUAUCACCACUCUCGUUCUGCUGCCAUAGUAAUGCUGGACACAUUUUAAGGAUACCCUUUCACAGUGUUCACUUAGAAAACCCUGAGUUUUCCUACUCUGCUGAUGAUGCCGGCGAGACUCCUCUCUACCUAGCUGUCGAGAGGGGAUACGAUCAUUAUUGUCUUCAAAUACUUGAAGGUUGCAAAAAUCCAACAUAUGAAGGCCCAAAUGGUAGGAUGGCUUUGCACGCUGCAGUUAUCCGCAAUGAUGAAGGUAAAUGUAUAUAGAAAAUAGUUAAAGAAUAUUCCUUUUAUCUGUGAUUUUGCAAUUGAAUUCUUGGGAUAGUCUUGUGAUUAUUGUAGGGUUUCAUGCUUUAGUUUUAAGCGACCCCCUUCGUUAAUCUUGCUGUAUUCAUUAUGAAUUUUGUUUCACCUUGCAGCUGUUGCCGGCGUGCAUUUGUCACACAAAACUGCCGGGAACCUUUCAGCCAUAUUCGAUGUUGGAGGAGUCUUUGGUGGAAUUUUAGCAGGAUUGAUAUCUGAUAUGCUCGAAGCUAGAGCUGUAACCUCAAUCGCGUUUUUGUUACUUUCGGUUCCAGCCCUUGUUCUCUACCGGUUUUAUGGAAGCCUAUCGAUGGUCGCCAACAUUGUUUUGAUGUUUCUUUCGGGAUUGCUGGUGAAUGGGCCGUACUCACUCAUCACAACAGCCGCUGCUGCUGAUCUUGGUACGCAGACCACGAUCAAAGGAAAUUCCCAAGCAUUAGCCACUGUAACUGCAAUCAUAGACGGAAUAGGUUCUGUUGCAGCUCUUGGCCCGCUUUUGGCCGGGUAUAUCUCCACGACGGGGUGGAACAACGUGUUUGUUAUACUGAUUCUUGCUAUUUUCUGUGCAAUUUGUUUUUGAUUCGGAUUGCGAGAACCGAGAUUAAAGGGAAAUUGAAUGAGGGAAAAUGGUCUUUAUAUAGCCGCAUAGGAGGCACACAGUGAUUGAGAUUUUCUAAUUUCUUGUCAUACCACAAAAGCAAGUAGAAUUUAGGCAGAUCCAUUUCUCUGUACGGUUUUUUAUCUCAUUGUUUUGUUCAACAUUCAUUAUUCAAAAUUCAACUUAUUUUUAAAAUAGAAAUUUGGUUACUUCGCUGCGGCAAUCCACCUCAGAAUGUUUAGAAUGGUGGCUCCUGCUCCUUGGGAGGUACCAAAUAAAUGACUACUUGAAUUGGGAUUUUGAGCAUAAAGAUUCCACUGGUCUGUAAAAAGUGGACCUAAUCCUUGGGGAUGUGGCAAUACAUCUAAGAAAUUAUUCCAUCGAAUGUUUUCUCCCCUGGAUUCGGGAAUGGCGACAUGAACUAAAUGUCCUGUCCAAGCCAAGGAACUCACUCCGAAUAGUUCUGAUAAGUGAUGAUUUGGAUGAAAUUCGACAUUUUUAGAUAAAGAAGUGCUUUGAAUCAUUGCUAUUCGACUUGUUUGUUGACACGGACAAAGUCAAGGAAAAACAUUUGAAAUUAUUUCAAUAUUGGACCUUGGACAUAUAAUAGUACCGAAUAGAAUCUCUUUAGAAAAAAAGAUCUUUUGUCUCAUGUUAGCCUGCUCCAGUUCCCUUACGAAACUUAAAGAGUUAGAGAGUUAAGCGGAAAUAAACAUAAACAGAAGUGUUUUCCCCCAAGAUUGGUUGGUUAGUCAUCCUGACUUGAAACAGGUUCCAAAGAUCAACUGAUUGGCCGUGUAUUAGCAGACGAUAUAUAUAUAGGCACACGAUGUAUUGCCGUUCGAAAUCAAGUAUUGGGAUUGGACUUGUCACUUGAUUCAUAACCUUUCAAACACAACCAAUAUCUAUCUGAACCUCCUUUACUUAUAGGAGUACAUCUUGGAUCUGUCGAUUAUGUUAUGGCAGAAACCCCACUCAUGGUGACCUGGUUGAAUUGGGAGAAACUGUAGGUAUUAUUGCAGGUCAAUCUAACCCUUCUUGAAGCCAGGACAAAACACAACUUAUUGAUUAUACCACAAAAGUUGGUUUUUAUUAAUUUUCUCUUAAAAUUUUUUAUUUUUAUUUUUUCAAUUUGGUGUGUAUAUGUCACGUGGACAGUCCAUGAGCCACUUAAAAGGUGAACGAUUUUUGGCCCUCACUACACCCACCGUCGUGAACGAAUUGAACGCAUACUCUAACAACCAUAUAUCUGAGUGCACCAAAAUGACAAUUUAACCCUCGUAAGUAGCUCGAGUAUUGUUCGCGUGACAAAUGUGAAAACAAUUUUGAAUAGGGGCUCGAUUGAAUGUGCUUUUAAAAUGACUGAAAGAGUUUUUGGUUAAAAUGUUUUUAGAACCAAUAUUUAAUAAAAAUGUAAGUGAAUCCUAAAAAAGUACUUGAAGUGCUUUCUAGAAGAAAUUCAAGUGCUUUUAAAACUUAAAAACAUUUUUUUUAAACUUAUUUUAAAAGCGGUUUCAGUUAUUCUAAAAGUACUUUCAGAUAAACCUUCCAAUGUUGAGUCAUUUAAAACCGAGCACAAACAUGGCACGUCGUCAAUUUCUUUUAAUGACGAUAAAAUGGUAAAAGGGAUCCUGGGCUAAAUUCACCAAUCCAGGCUCUUGAAAUUUGAUCCAACUAUCAAGGUUAUUAUAACUUUUAAAGAAGGUCAUGUUUUUAGCCGUUGGAUCAAAUUUCGAUCAUUUUCCAAUAAAAUGACGUGGUUUCGGCCCCCGUUUCCUGUUCUUUGCCCGCGCAAGCACUUUGUACCUUCAGGCCCAAGGAAGAAAAAAAGGGAAAGGGUUUCCCUAUUGGCCGUGGGAUUACUCAAAAGAGUUAGAAAUGACCUAUUUUUGAUAGGAAAACCAUGUCAAUUACCUGUUUAAACAUGGAUUUCUACGCACCACUAUAAAUGAACACCCUCCCUCCCGCCACCAUGAACGAACACAAACAACACCAACAGUUUCUCGAGCUCUUAAUUUCCCGGCCGCGAAAAACUUGUAAGUCGAGAGGAAUUCAACUUGUAAGUCGAGACAUGGGUUCGGCUGGCUCGAAGAGCAAGCAAGACAAUGCGAAGAGAAAGGACUUGAUGAAAUCAGUGAAGAUGAACAGGUACGCGUUUGCGGAUGCACAGCGCGAGCAUAUUCUCGCGCUCCUUAAAGUAGCGGAGGCUAUAAAGUUGUUUGUAGAAAGCCAUUCUUUCGAAGUUUCGACGCACUCUUCAAAUGCAGACAGAGGAAACGAGCUGCAGGAAAACUCAGACUGUGCUGAGACAGAUGAGGAACAAGAGGAGGUGGAUCAAACAGUGCCGUCACCGCGGGGAGAUUCCGAUUGCUCCGAUGGUGACGGUGAUAGAAAAGAGGUGGUGAAGACAAGUAAUGAAAAGGGUAGAGAGAGAGAAUUGUUGGAAGCAUUGAAAGAUGUCGAAGACUACUUCCGUCGGGCGUAUGAUUCUGGUUUGCACGUUUCGAGGAUGUUAGAGACCGACAUGGCUCAGGUGCAAUCAGCAGCCGAGGAAAUUAAAGGGAAUCUCAACCGUUCAAUGACGCGGAGCCGCUCCAUCUCAUCUACAUUAUCUUGGUCUUCCUCUCGUAAAAGUCUACGUAAAUCUAGCUUAAGAAGUUCUUCAACACGGGCUUGUUUCGAUGGUGGUCUCCUCGGUGACAAGGGAUCUCCAAGCCAUUCGUUAACGAUAGGAAAGCUAUAUGCUUUGGAGGAAAACCUCUACAGCGAGCAGAAGGUAAUAGAGGAAACUGAGAAAAUUUGUGACCGAAAAUCGGAAGAUCUAGACACCAAAAUAUACGAGAUUGAAAGCUUGUAUUGCAGAAUUUUGACGGCCAAAAAGAAUGCUAAAUCAAUCUCCGAGACAAUUCGGAAAAUGAGAGAUGAAGAGCUACAACCACAGCUCGUUAAGUUGUUAAAAAGGUAACCUAGAUUUCAUAGUUUUACUGGUUUUUUUUUUUUAGUUGGAGUUUUGUUCUAACCUCUCUUUCUCAAUUUCUGCAGCAUAAUGAGCAACUCAAAGAAAAUGUCUGAAUUUCUGGAAACCCAAAAGAGAAUAAUGUCCGAAGUGAACUCUCUCAAAUGUCCGUCCAAUGGAACGCUCUGCAAUGACUCGAACCAGGUUGCUACUCGGAUGCUCGAAAAGGAACUUCUAAAUUGGCGUACACACUUUGCGUCGUAUGUUUCUUCGCAAAAGGCGUACGUCAAAGCUCUAGACCGCUGGCUAGCUAAGUUGGACGAUGCUGAAACUGAAAGCAAGUUAAAAUCAAAGGGGGUUAACCCGUCAUCGCUUGCAAUUUGUCGACAGUGGUCAGAUGGCCUAGAUAAGCUGCCGUAUCAAGCUGUGACUGGCGCCAUCAAAAGCUUCGUGAAAGAUGUCCGGGCACUGAGGGAUCAACAACAUAAGGAGCGCCGACAAAAGAGGGAGGUUGACAAGCUUGCCAGAAGACUCAGGAGGGAGAAUUUUUUGCAGGAAACAGACCUCAAGGAACAGAUGCGGACUGAGAAGAAGAAACUUCAUACUAUUACGCAGAAGAUGCAAGAUAUCGCUGUGAACGGAUUUCAGACGCAGUUUUCUGAAGUUUUCGGUUCCAUGGCUAAAUUUUUCGACUCCAUGGCCGAGUUGUUUUCAAAGUCUGCUACAAAAAAGUCUGGUCGUCCAAGCAAAAAUGCAAGCAGGACUCGUGUGAAAGCGAUCGACAGAUGAAAAGGAUGCGUACUAGGUUUUCAGAAUGUUGGGUUUCUUUUAAAGUAUACAAUUAUGUACUCUUGUUCGAAUAACAGUAACCUUAACAAUUACAAAUUUUGAGUUCUAACAGAUAAAAUUUAUGCAUACGACUUGAAAAACUAAGGUACAAUAACAGAACAAUCUCUCCGUAAAUCCGACCAGCCUGAAUACCUCGGAUAUACAAUGCGUUCUUUCAUCGAAUAAGCUUUCUAACUCUAUCGUUCGCCAAUAGGGUACAAGUAUUUAUUCCAAAACUCGAUAAUACAAACAUCUUCUGCAUCCUUGUUCUCUGGAACAGAUUCCAGCACCGGAUUUUGGAUGAAUGUAUAUACAUAAGGCGAACUCAGGUCCAUUGGCUGUAUUAUUGCUGACCGGUUGCCCAUCAAGGAAUUAUCGACAAAUAAACGAGUGAUUCUAUCUGUCCAAGAAGAAUUUGAGAUUCUGAAGUCCCUCGGCAGAAAUGCUUCGUCUGACUCGAGGUCUCUCUACCACCACAUGUGGAGGUGGCUCCAAGUGGAAACUUACCAUGACAAGCGUCAAAUUGUCCGUUGCUCCCCGCUUUAUUGCCUCCUCUACUAUUUGCUUGCAGCACAACUUCACAUCAUUGUGCUCUUGCAGUCUCCUUCGAGCGAAAUCAACAGCAUUUCGGCUGGUGAACACAUCCCAUAUCCCAUCACUGCCAAUGAUCAAAAACUCAUCAUCUUUGCUCAGUGUCAUCAGUUUAAGUUCUGGCUCAGCGCUCAAGGGUCCGCCCCUUUCACCCACGUCCUUCAUUCCUUCAAGAUGCCAAUUACCUAAUGCACGGGUCACACCUAACUCACCAUUUAGAAAACCAUCAUCAAUAUAUCCACCCAAGGACUCAAUCCGCGUUCUUUCUUUUGUACAACAUGGCCUAUGAUCCCUUGACAUUUCUAUAGCCACUCCACAUCGCGAUAAUACAGCCCGGCAAUCUCCGGCAUUUGCCACAAGCAAAGAUCUGUUCAAAAUAAUAAUAUCAAGGUGAAACAGGCUAAUUGGCACACAAAAGGUCUAAUAAAUAAAAAAAUAAGCAGUCUCAAGAACGGGGCUUGACAAGGUAAAACCGGAACUUGGGUGGGGAGAUAUAGGGCAUGGAUACCAUUUUUAUUUUUUGUUUUGCUCAUUCAAAGACAAUUCAUUUUUCCACGUAACACCGAAUGAAUGGGCCUAUGAAGUUUUUUCUCUUACUCUUUAACCUGAUGACCAAGACUUGCAGUGACAGAUUAUCCAAGACACCACUUGUAAUAUAACACCAUGAUUAUAAAUAAUAACCAACCUACACCGCAAGAAAGAGUUCCUUACCUCCCAAAUAUCAUUGCAGUGAGUGCAGUUGUGCCAGAAACAAGAGCCUCAAGAGAACACGUCUUUGCAAAUGCAGCAUCUGUCUCCAUAAAUGACCUUGUAAUCACCUUUUCAAGUUCUAAAGGAAAGUCAGCAUCCUCAACAAUGACUCUUGGUAAAUUGUCACGAACAAAGUGUGCUGCAUCCUUUCCUCCAUGGCCAUCAAAUACCUGUUUAUUCAAAUUUCCAUUUACAUUAUUAAGAUUGGAGAAAAAACAGAAGUCAGAACUGAUGUAUGAGCUUUCAUUGGGAUGGUUUGAAUUGUUGUAAAAGGAAGAGAGCGAGAAAACUUACACCAUAGAAGGAGAUAGCUUCCCCACCGAGUAGAUUAUAACCAAACUGCUUAGCUAAGUCACCAAUGCAUAUAUGAGUAUCCUCCAUAUGGGUUCGACCACCAAUAUCAGACCACUCUCCUGACCGAAGGGCAGGAACAAAGUUCAACAGGCUCUGCUUUUUGUCUGCAAUCACUGUAUCCUCGCCUAUGCUUUCAAGCUAAAAGGCGGUAAACAUGAACGAACUCAAAUCAGAAUGUGAAGGAAUGCAAGUAAAAAGAUUAAGGAAACAAAUUUUUGGAAACCAAAGUUACACCAAGUAUUAUAUGCACAGUUUCAUAUGGAAAAUGUUCUCCAACCAGAAAACGAACCACAAAAUCAAUUCACAAAAGUUGACAUAGCAACUAAACAUCAACGCCGACGGGAUGCCACCAAAAGGAUGAGAAAUGAAAACCUACUAAAGCAAAGUCUAAGGCUGUGAAUAUAUAAAUUCUGUCAACACAUAACAAGCACCAAUUUCCCUCCAUAUUCCACAAUCCAAGGAAUCUUUGAAAGGAAGAGCUUUAAUCAUAAGCAUUCAGCUGCACAGAGCACAAUAAGGAAAUACAUAACUUCUGCAAAGGAAUCGCCUCACGAUCAAUGAAAGCGAAACACAGAAGUGAAAUUUACUAAAUUGGGGUGGUUCAAGGCUUCAGGCACAAAAAUUUCGUUUAAGAUGCAGCACAGCAGCAGUACAAGCUAAUGACUACAGGAAAAUUAAUGGGAGCAGUGCAAGGAUAAAAAAAAAUUAACUGAAAGCUUAAGUAAAUAAUAAAGGGUAAAAGUUACUUCCAAUCAUCAAUCCCAUAAGAAAACAAAGAUCCAGAACUCAAUUUCAAACAAAAGGUCCUAAAACGUUUCAAAAUUGAGACAAACCCAACAGAGCAAAGCAGUCAAAGAACAAGAAGCUUCACUUUCAAAUGAAUUCAACAGGGUUUUCUGAAGACUGGACUCAAAUUUUACCAAAUGGGUCCAAAAAAGUUGCAAAAUUGAGAAGAACCCAAUACAAUCAAGCAGUCAAGGGACAAAAGUUUAUACUUGAAAUCAAUUCAACACUCAAGUUUAGCCAAAGGGGUCCUAAAAGUUUCAAACUUGAGACAAACCCAACAUAUUUAAGCAGUCAAAGGACAAGAAUUCUUACUUGAAACGAAUUUAUCAUGUUCUUCUGAGGACUUGAGCUCAUCACAGUAGGAGUUUCCCGGUCCAAAUUCUCCUCCUCCGUCCGGUGGUCUAAUUGCAGAGACCACUGCUUGUUGUUAUUGUCGUUGGAAUCGAUGUCGUUAUUAUUCUCCAUGUUCCCCAUUUCUUGACCGAGCUGUUCUGCGUCUAUCAGGCACAUGAUGGUGCUGAUGAAAUUGUUAAUGGCGGUGUUACUGUGUUUCUGAGGGAAUCGGAAAGUAGUAAGAAACAGAGAGGGAAGAAAAAUAUAGAUUUGUGGGUGACUCUGGUGAGAAGAUUCUGAGAAUAUGUGAGUGGGAAAUAGGGGCCUCUGGUUAUUGUAGUUGUUGUUGUAGUCUCAGAGAGGAGAGAGAGAGAGAGAGAGAGAGAGAGAGAGAGAGAGAGAGAGGAAUGCCAGAUUUUUCUGUGAAAGCGUGGCUGGAAACCAGUUUGUUGGGUUCUUGUGAUAUUAUUAUAUCUUUUUCCUAUUUUCAUUGUUCAAAUGUUUUAUGUUUAUAUUUUUUUUAUUGGUAAAUAAAAAAUUUCAUUUUAUUUUAAAAAUUUACAUUGCAUUUCAUUCUCUUUUUUUAACAAAUAAUUGAAUAAUCUAUAGAAAUUUAUCUAAACCAUGUAAAGUGAGGAAAGUUUCAAUUCGAAACUUCAAGCGGUCCAAAAGCUAUCUAGAUUUGGAGUUAAAAUGAAUUAUUCCCUUAAAAUUAAUAAUUACAAUAGUAAUAGUCAACUGAUUUUACUAUACAUUAUCAAAUAAUAUGAGUUAUCUUCAAUUAGUUGGUGCACUCGUUAAAUCUUUUGAACUUUUUCGGUGCACAUUUAAUUAUUAAAAUGUUUUUAGGUUAUGGAUGAAUUACAUGUCUAUAUUCCACAAGACACGUUCUAAAUUCAAUUUCUGAUGCUGAUGAAUCACAAGAUGACGGUUAAUGAGAAGCUGAAAUGCUUUUGUGAAUCUUCGAGGGUAUGAAAGAAUGAACUGAUGUUGACCAAGGCACGCUAAAAUGCCAUUGUACUUCAUGCAUUUUUGUUUUCUAAUAGUUUCGUUAAAAUCAACAUCUUUAUUUUAUCAAAUCUCAUAAAUUUAGAGAUACCAUUUUUCCCUCAAUAUUUUAGAGAGACGUCAAACUAUGCUCAAAAUUCCCAUAUGGAAGAAAUGUCCUCGAAAUUAUCUAAAAAUGCCUUUAUUUUGCUUUUAUUAAAUCUAAAUUGUCAUUUGAUUAAAUGCCACAACUAGACAAAAAGAAAGUUCCAUCUGAAAAUGUCUUAACCAUUAAUAACUAAUUAAUUAAUUAAUUUGGUAGUAACCACCAUUAGCCAAAAAUCACAGUCUUAAUCGUCCCUUUUUGACAAUAUAUUAUUAGAUGCGUGAGAAUAUACAAUUUUAAGUGCAAUGACCAAAUAUAUUUCACAAUUGAUGAUAAAAAAUAAAUAUAAAACAUUAAAAAAGAAUUGUGCUUACAUCACGCACAGCUGUGGGAUAUGUCCUUGAAUUUUUGAUAAAAAAAGACAUAUAUCAGAAUAUAAAAAAUAAGACAAAUUCCAUGUUGUUUUGGUCGGUAGACAAUUUCCUUAUUUAAACACUAAAAAAAGAAGUUUUGUUUCUUGUUAGAAUUAAAAAAAAAAACCAUUGACCGUGGUAAUAAAUAGAUAAGCUACACAAUAAACCAUCUAUAAUUUUGUAAUCGAAGUUAUUAUCUACAGAAGUCGAAGUCAAAACCGCAUGCUUACAAAUACAAAAAAAUAUAACUAAAUUUAAACUAAGUGACUAAACUAGAAAAGAAGUUAAAAAUGAAAGAAAUGUUUGGGCAAAAAUAGAACAAAAAAUCUCCAAGGAUGGGAUUUGGAAUAGACUUCCAAGAUAUAAGUAACUAUACAUGGUGGUGUUAUUCACACACUUCUUUUUUUACUUUUAACACAUAUUCUGUUAAUUUAUGUCAUUUUAUUCUCUUCAAUUUAUUAAAUAUGAAGGCUAAAAAUUGAAAUAAAUGUGCAGAAGGUAAAUGAGGUGUGUGGAUAGCACCAUCUCUUAUAUAUGAUGGGUUUUGUUUCAUCCUUUUUACCCUCUACACCCCCUUUGUUAGUUUCUGUACUUUAAUUCUCUUCAAUUCAUUAAAUCUGAAAUCUGAAAAAUUGAGAGAAAUGGGUAAAAGGUAAAAAAAUGUGUGUGGAUAGCACCACUUCUAUUGAGUUUUGUUUCGUUGCAUAACUUUCCAUAACACAUAAGAUAGAAGAGUAGUCGGCUUGAUUAAGUUAGCGCAUAUAUACUUAACCCAAAAAUAUUUAAUCUUCCACCUGAUUUUUCCUACACUUGUCCAUCAAGCCUCAGAAUAUGAUGGGAGGAAUUCUACUGCCCCAACAAUUAUUUUCAAAUCCAUAAGAUUUGUCCAAGGCCUAAUAAGUUAAAAGACAAGUUAUAUUAGGAAGUUAGUUUAAUUUAAUUUGACAACAAUUGCUCCAAAAAAGUUAGAAAGUGAAACUAAAGGACAUAUUCAUUAAAAGGAAAUGAUAAUGCCAGAAAAUGACAUUGGAUUUUUUCUUCUGCUUUCCACUUUCACAAUGGCAAAUUGAUAGGGCUUAAAUUCUGAUUCUUGAAUGUAAUCGGGAUAUACAGAUUCUUUAUAUAUUUCUCAUCGUGAAAAUUGAUAUACAUGGAGAAAAAAGUAAUACAGUUGUAUGUAGAACUAUAAAGAAACGAAAUAAAACUUACAUGCAUUUAGAAGUGCACAAUGGUAUUCACAAAUCGUGAUACGUUUCAACAAUUUUUCACAUAAUAAUAAAUAAUUAACUUGAAAUACCACAACCAUAGCAUCCGGUUGUAGAAGUCUUUCGUGCUUUUGCCUUUUGCCUCUACGAAGGGUUGCUUGCUAGUUGCUACAAUACCUCCACUUCUCUGCAACCUGUCCACCAGCACCAUAUUUUUUACAUUUUAAAGUAAUUUUCUUUUUCACAAUAAUUGCACUGCGGCUGUAAAUUCACUGUCAAUUAUUUCCGGUCACUCAAACAAGCUAUUGCUAAAGAGUGGGGGACUCAACUUUUACCCGGUUCACGUGGACGUGGAUCAAAAGCACUUUCGGGCUUUCUCCUUUUCUGUGGUAGUAAAAGUCAAGCCAUGUAAAAGAAGAAAGGGGAGCUAUCUCUUCCUCUUUUAAAAAAUUUAAAGGAAAACUAAUGAAAAUGGUCAGAAAUUUUAAAUUGUAACGAUAAGAACAAAAUAAAUGGUAAAUAAAUAGUAUCAGUAUUGACUUUUUUGUGUAAAAAUAUGAUUUUUCGUUAAAAUAAACAGUACUAAGAUAUUUUCGUUAAAGUUACCAAAUUUUAAUUAUUUGGUUUGGUUGGCAAUUAGCUUAUUAAACACAGAAGGAACCUUCCUAGUCGGCUGAUUACUUAACUUCCAACAGAAGGGAAGGAUACGUGGUUCGGUGCUUACUAGUGGGUGGAGCCUGACGUGGCAUAACAUCGUCCACUAUACAUGGAAAUUGCCGAAUGACGUACAUCAAAUGGAGUCGACAAGACAGGAACGUCUCUAACUAAUUACCUAAUUUUAUGUGAGAAACUUAAAACUUGAAAUUGUAUUAUUGGUCUUGAAUGUUUUAGUGCCAAGUCCUUGUGUUGGCCAUGCUGCUUGGCUAGACAACAGUUAUGUGAAGCAUAGUGAUUUUCGAGCGUCCAUUUUCUUGACAUGAACUCGUUGUUUUUCUAACCCUUGAUGACGCGUUUAUUUAUUAAAAUGAGUGUAUGUAGGAAGCAAAUCAUUUCAAGUCUUAAAUUCCCCCACGUUCAUUAGCACACGAAGAAUAAAAAGAAAGAGUGGGAUCUACUAGGGGUUAGUUUGUUUGAUUGUCAUUCCUAGAUUCACUUAUUUCUUAAUUUGUUACUUCAUUCUUAAUAAGUAAAUAUGUCACGAAUUGAAUAACUUAAAAGGUAAUCGAAGAGUGGAACAAAAAUAUUACUGUAAAAGAAAAAACGAGAGUGCAAAAAUCACUCAAAAUGAAUUAAGCAGGGCUUAUUUUUUCUUGUUAUGCACCCUAUAACACAAUAUCUCACAUUCCCUUUAAACUUAUAUUUUGUCGCUUAACGUCAUAAAAAAACAAUAUUCGCUUCACUUUGAUUAGUUCUGUUUAAUUCAUUGGGAUGGUUUAAUGGGGCCUGCUUCAGAGUUCAGAUUGUUUUGGUUAGCUAUCUAAAUAAAUGGAUAAUUUCGAUGUUGUAAUGAAGUUGUCCCACAAACAGUCAAAUUUUCAAAAGCUCCAAGCAUUUUUUUUUACCAUGUUCUUCCUCUGCAGCAAAACAAAGCAAUUUGAGCCCAGAAAAUACGAAGAGAGAUCUAGAGAGAGACAGAAGAAGGUGUUGUUUUCGGCGGGAGGCCAAGCGUUUUUUUUAACCAUGUUCUUUCAUUUUCGUAUAGUAUGUCAUACAUUUUUGUGAUUAUAUCAGUAUAAGGAUUGAAAACUGCGUUAAAUCAAUAUCCAAUUAGUUUGUGAGUAUCAUUUGACAAACAUAAAGACAAUAUUUGAAGUCCUUUAAAGAACAAGGCAUAAAAAAAAAAACGUAAAAUGAAUUUUAACCCUAUUCACGUUAUAGUAACUUGAUUAAGACACUCAACUCACUUGUGUGCAAGUGUGAGCCAACAUAAUUUUGGCACUCCGGGUGGAAUUUUUUGCGAAUUGCAGAGGAAGUGGGAGCCAGAUUUUUCUAAUUUAUUGCAUGAAGUCAAGGAGGAAUGGACUCCGACAAGAACUGGAGGCAUACAGAAAUGGGUCAUUAAAACAUGAGAAUUAUACAAGCCCGACAGAGUGCUACCCAUCCCUUUGAAUUUGGACCGCACCUAAACACGCCCACUUUGUUGUGUACCCAUCGCACCAUACUAGACUACAUAAAAUCAGUCAAUAUGGUGGUGGCGCAGGGCGGCUGCCGCGGUGGAACAGAAAGAACUAGCCAUCUCAACUCAAAGCACACGCACUAUAAUUCAAACACGAGAGUCAUCGAAACAACAAAAUUUAGCCAGUGUAUCAAAAAUUGAAAGGGGUAAAAAAAAAAAAAAAAAUCAAGGGAAGCUACUAAUGUCUCCUCAAUGCCUACAGCGCCAGCCUACCAUGAAACUCAAGAGUUCCUAAAUUCAAAUUCCAGCGAAAGCCUUCUUGCCAGUGCCGGAAGAUCCAGCAGGAGUCACCUUCAACACGUUGAACCUCUUAGUCUCGGACAGUGGCCCGAACAUUGGUAAGGCACCCAAAAAAAAAUGAACAAAAUGAGCACUAGCGCUUGCCAAAUUACAUACAUAAACAUGUAGUUAAGAACGAGCUAAGGUAAAUCACCUGCACCGGCCGAUGGUAGCAUGAUCUCCUUCCUUCACACCGAAGCAUGGAGGUACGUGUGCCGGGAUGUUGGAAUGUCUCUUUUCAUAUCUUAAGAAAACGGCAAGAAAGAAAAAGAUUUCAGAACAACAGCAAAGAGGAUGGUACUUGUUAAUUCUCCAAAAUGACAACAGAUACAAUAGAAAAUGUAAAAAAUUAAUGCGAACGUUAUACCUUUGAUAUUUCUUGACAUAAUGUAGAUAAUUCCUUCGAACGAUGAUUGUUUUAUUCAUCUUAGCACCAUGGCAAGUGCCAGCCAGGAUGCGGCCCCCAUAGAAACAUUUCCAGUGAAAGGGCAUUUCUUAUCAAUGUAAGUCCCUGUAAGAUGCAAAAGGCACAUGUAGCCAUCGUAUCAAUCAGCAAAUACAAUACUGCACGUACCCAAUACUGAGACAAGAAAUAAACAGUACAACUCGGCUCAAUUUGGAGUAGAUUUACGAACCGAACAUUGGAAAUCCCAAAAAACAUAAGCAUUUCAAGUGAUUGAUUUGAAAUUCGAGUUAUUUCACAGACUAACACUCAUAUAUUACGCCUCUCAUCGGUCCAGAUUGCUAAUGGUUCUCGUUAUCUCCGUUAGGCAAGUGUUAUCUUGAUCCAGCCAUCGGAUUGUGUUUAGGGAAACUGAGGGGUUCAGAUUAGAAGUAGAUCAAGAGACAAAAUUAACCAUGAAAAUGAUGGUGUGUUCAAUUCAAUUCCCUAUAAUCCCAUCCAUUCAAUUAUGUUCAACGGCUCAGAUUUAGUAACUUUUGUCCCUGAUCAAUUGAGCGGCUGCGAUCUUCGUGGAUUUUUUUUUUUCGAGAGACUAACAGAAUCUUGAUCAACAUGGCAAACCACCAUAUAUACUAUAUUUUCUUCUAUUCCUAUUAAAUUCCUCAUUAUUACUCUAUCUCAUCUCAUCUAUUCAAGAGCAACGAUUGAGACCAAAGAGGAGAGAAGCUUCACUGAUAAGGUAAUAAUCAAGUGGUACGAACAGGAACGGAGCUAUAAAUUUUUUCUAAUGGGGGCAAUAAAAAAUAACUAAGAAAAUCUUAUUAUAGUAUGGUUAUAUACAAUAUGAUAUUAAAGAUGAUUUCAAAUGAUGAUGUAUCAUAAUUCCAAUGUUACAAAAUUUCAAUAUAGUAGUGGAAAGUGACAAAGUGAUGAGAAAAAUAUAAGUACAUGAUAGGCAUGAGAGGGUUUUUUUUUCGGUUUGAAUGACAGAACAAGAGCACUAUUGCUCAUAUAAUAUUUGAUAUGGAGUAUAAGUAGAAUGAAUGUAUGUUGGAUAUUAGAUAAAUAUAUUUUCUUCAAAAAUAACCCGUGUAUAUUAUAUAAUUAUAAUCUGCAACUAAACAAACAAAUUACUUUAGUGGGGGCAUCUACCCCCAGUGAGCCUUCAUUGGCUCCGUUCAUGGGUACGAAGAUCCAAAAGUCCUCCAGAUGGUGAAGAAGAGGUUAGUUUGGCCAUCCGUUGAAAGAAAAACAAAGCCGGAUUUUCUAAUAUGCUCCGGUGCAAAGUUUCCAGUGUAUAAGAUACACUAGAUCUUACGAUGCAUGGACACGGACACAGACAUAGGGAUACGUCAAAUUUUUAAAAGACACGAUACGUAAUGGAUACGGAAAUUUAUAUAAUAUAUAUUUAAAAAUACAUUUUAAAUAACAAUAAAAAAAUUAAUUACUCAAAUUUAAUUUGUAUUAUUCAUACUCUCAAAAAGAAAGGAUGGUAGUGGUGUAAAUGUGGGCUAUGUAGUUUUGGGCUUUAGUCUCAUUUAAACCCUAAAAAUGUAAAUAAAUAAAAAAAAAGAAAAAAAAGAAACUGUGGUGUCGUUUUUCUCUACAGAAACAAACAAAUGGCAUGUCGACUUAUAACAAUCAUCUUCUUCGCGAAGCCUCCUCCACUAGAUCGGGUCGUCUUCGUGCGACGCUUUCCUUUGCCAAAUCGCAUUAUCUUCUUCGCGAGGCCUUUUCCCACCAAAUUGGGUCAUCUCCGUCAUGAGGUUUUCUUCCACGAAAUUGCGUCCAAGGCCAUGGUGCAGAUAUCUGUAUCCUAAUAGUCGGAUAACCGUAUCCAUCUGUCAAACGCCGUAUCUGUUGAUUCAAAUACGUAUCCAACACAUAUUCGACCAUAUCAAAUGCGUAUCGUGUCCAUUUGCGUAUCCGACAUGCGAUAUGCGACCGAUGUGCAGUAUAUGUGCAUCGUAGACUAGAUCAUACUAGAAUUUUCAAAAACAGGACAUGCAAAACAUCAUCAGAUAUCCAAUUCAAAUUUAUUUUAAAAAAUAAAACAAUUCGAUCGAGUUGUAAGUUUUCCUUUUUUUUUUUGUGCCUAGGGUUUCAACAGCGAUAGCGAUGAUGGAGAUCGAUAGCAUGAAGGACGUCACUGCUGGUCAGAAGAAAGUCAAGUGGUUCGAGAAUCCAGAGAUCCUCCAAAUACUGAAGACGAUGUUUGAUCCUUGGCUGAACGAAGAUGGCAUGCCUGACGCCACCUCUUUCUUCAGUCGUUGCCCUAGAGGCUUUGGUAACAUUUUUUUCUCUUGUUAAUAUAUACAACACCAACAACCGAGAGUCUUAUCACAAUAAGAGCUGUUCCGUUUUGCGCCAUGUCUUCCGGUAGCUUCUUGUUAAGUGAAGUCCACACACUUCCCCUCUUUCUCCUCUCAGCCAUGGUUUCCUAUACCUUGCUCCACUCCUCGUACGGCUCCGGCGUCUGGUCCAAGAAGGAGUGGGUCAUCCCUGAGAUCGACGACGACGACACCGUUUUGACGUUCAAGGGGAACUCCAACUUCUUCUGGGCGGACCGCGAGCGGCAAGCUCGUGAGGCGGUAGAGAAUUCGAAGUCGGAUUUGCAGAUUGGUGAGUCUGCAAGUCCACAAUGUAAAGCUGCACUUCAAGAAACUACUCGUAUCAUUGAACAAAGUCUUACAACUAAUGGAAAAGCAAUAAGGGCGUUGUUUGGUGCAAGCCAGGUUGGAAUUUCACACUUUGCACCCACCAUUUGUAAAUCAUGAGUCCAGUUCCAACCGGUGGGAAUUUUUUUUUUUUUUUCACUUGUCACUUGCAUAUUGACCAAGUUUGUGUGCAGCUUGAUAUUGAUGGUGACUUCAUAUAUUUUCUGGCAGAUGCUGCUGUUAUAGCGGUAAAAGUUACUUCUUUCUUAGAUUUGUCACUCCGUUUUCAGUUUAUCAAAUUGUUGAUGUUUAUUUGCUUGACACUAUGCAGUUUUAGUAUGGAAAUCCCGAUAGAGUGAGUUGCAAAGGCGAGGGAUAGAGAUGAAAGAGAGGGAGAGUUAGUGAGAGAGAUGAAGAGUUUUGUUUGAGAGACAGACAAAUUUUUGGACGGUGGAAACGGUCCGGGUUGGGGAUCCAUUUCCUCAACAAUUAGGAUUCGCCCCGCCUCACAACUAAUGUGGACUCGCCCUGUUUCAAAUUUAAAAAAAUUGGACCUGCCCCCUACCCACGGGUCCAUGCCCCAUUAAUUUGUCCACCCCUAGUUGUGAUUGUUGUUUGAUAUCAUAUAUUAUUAUUACAAUGUCCAAGGUGUGGGAAUUGUUAUAACCUUAGGGGAGGUUCUGCCGAAAUUUCGAUAUAAUUUGUAGUGUUUGUUUGACUGUUUUUUAUUUUUUUUCAGCAAAGAAAAAUACCCAGGGACCUUGUCUCCAAUUGAAGAUGGCGAAGGUCACCCAAGUGACCAACGGACGUAUCACGAUCAGAUACGAUGAGUGGCAUUGGGCUGCACCAACGCUGGAGCAGCAUAGCGCAUUGGCCCACAACAUUGGUCACAUUGUUUGGACUUAUUGCCCUAUGCUAUAGAAGUCUUGGAAGGCGAUGCCAGGCUAGGUAAGGACAAAUGUGCGCACUUAUUUGUCGAUAAGUAUCCUGCCUUUAUUGCUUUUUCUUGAAAUUAUAUAUUUAUAUUACUUAAUGUAUGUAAUUAAUUUGUUGCAUUGCAAUUGAAUUACAAUUUCGACAACAUCAAAGACAAUAUGUUGUCGUACGUCAACAAGCUCUUCGUUGAACGGUACAAGUGGAAGAGAGGCAUGCACCAAUAUUUUCAAACAUUUGAUGAUCUGCAGGUCGCUCUUAAGGAGGGUUGCCCGAAGGAGUUUGAGGAUUCGGAAAAAAUUGGGUGUGGCUCUGCAGUCAUUUUCAAGUGCCCAGCUAUGUGGUACGUUUUUUAUAUUAAGUCUGUUUGUACCAUACUUGACCAAUCUCGAAACUAUUGAGCACCGGUCAACGUUAUACCGUCAAAGACCCAUAAAAGUUUCCCUCUAACCAGGAGGCCAAUCACAGUGCGACACGUGUCGACAUCAGAAGUCAAUCAUAGCGCGACACGUGUCAACAUCAGAAGCCAAUCACAACACGACACGUGUCAAUGUCAGAAUGAAACUAGAAACUCUCUUCUAUAAAUAGAGAUCAUUCUCUCACAAUAUUCCUUAAUGUCAUUUGUACUAAAUCAUUCACUAGUACUCGCAAAAGGAGAGCUUGAACCUAUGUACUUGUGUAAACCCUUCACAAUUAAUGAGAACUCCUCUACUCCAUGGACGUAGCCAAUUUGGGUGAACCACGCACAUCUUGUGUUUGCUUCCCUGUCUCUAUCCAUUUACAUACUUAUCCACACUAGUGACCGGAGCAAUCUAGCGAAGGUCACAAACUUAACAUUUUCUGUUGUAUCAAAGUCCUUACUGAUUUUGUGCAUCAACAUUUGGCGCCGUCUGUGGGAACGACACUUAUUCCCACUAUUUUCAGCUUUGUUAAGGUGGUUUCCACCAUUCGUACACUCUUUUUUAACCAGGCAUCCCUCUCCAACAUGGGGAGCGAAGGAAGCCACAACACGCAGAAUGACACCCUUCUUGCACUUGGUGUGAGGCAACGAAAGAAGGAAGAAAAUAGGGUUGCUCUUUAAGCUAAAGUCGAUGAGCUAGAAGCUCAGAACAACAAGAUAACAAUGAAGAAUGAGGUCCUCUAGGAGCAGUAUGAGAAACUCUUUGAGACGCUCCACGAAACUAGGCGUACUCAAACACGCGAGCUCGUUACCCCUGUGGACAUCAACCAUCAUCUAGGUGCCCCCCAACACGGAGGGUCACCUUCAUUCGACAU
rnacentral:lncRNA from 1 species